rnacentral:lncRNA from 1 species
CUGUCACCAGGAAGGGGAACCCUAUCCCCUUCUGCCAGGAUCGAAGAUGUUGGAAUGAUGAAACCGAGUAACACAAAACGUCAUUAGAGAACACCAACAUGAAGGAUGUUUCUGUCCCAUCUCUCUCUCUCCCUCUCUCUCUCUCUCCACUUUGUUGUGAAUAUCUUCAUCAUGGCACCUGAUUGUAAGGUUCUACACCCCCUUACCUGAAAUACUUGAAUUCCUCGUGGGAGGGGUGUACCAGAUUCAUAUUAAAUCCACUGGCUAGGACUUUAAGGUUUGUAUUUGCAUGGCCAUUGAUCAACUAACUAAAAGUCAAUGUAAGCUAUUUAUCCAACUUGAUGGGUGGAGUAAGAAGGUUUUUGAGAUGCAACAACAACAUGGCAUUAUCCUUGCAGCGAGAAUAAGACGUUAGACACCGCUGGGCCCAUUGUUGUUUAUCCUGCCAAAAUACAAGCAACUGUGACAAGGAUGGAUACACUAACGACAAAAAAAAUAUGAAUGUCGCAUAGUGUUCUACAUGUGACACCAACCUACCAAUUUUAAUGUCGAAAGCCUUGCUCUUUUCACCAUUGGGCAGAUUCCAUUUUUGGCCUACCGUCGCUAGAAAACUUAGAUCACCAUUUGGUGAACGCACCAAGUCGAUCCCUCAUGGCACCUUCAAGAGUCAUGGUGAUCCUAAGACACCCACCCAGUUAAUUUUAGAUGGACAUACACAUGAUAAAUGUUAUCCCAUAUGGUAGUGAACUCAAUGAAGAUUCCUCAUGUGGCAAAAAAGGGAUAUAUAGUAAGGACAUAAUUGCAAUCCAAAUUAACCCAAGUAGGUCAAAGGGGAGGGUGGAGAGGGGAAGUAGUAGAGGAUGGAGAAGGAGAGGCAAAAAGGCACUGUAGAGGUAGAGCCUUUGAGAUAAUGGUCAAGAAUUAUUGUGGAAGAGUAGCAAAGAGUCUGUGAAAAGAGUUGAGAGAAGAAAGGUCAGGCCUCGAAGAAGAAGCAUACCUGGAUGACUCAUAGUAACAUGAAUCACUUCUUAUGGUGGUGGCAAUAAAAAGAGCCAAUAGAGGCUACUUCUUCAUGGAAUCUCCUCCACCCUCCCUGGCUCCAUUUUCCCUAUGAUACUUUAGGUGUGAAACCCUAAUCUUAAGAGGCUCUUUGCCUUAUGUAAUGCUUUUAUUACCCUUAGCAAAAUCCACAUUUUGUUGGUGACACCCGGACCAUCUAGGCGCUCUCCAAGCAAAAGUUUCUAGGAUGAUGGCCUUGUGUUUGCUUUGGGUCACAUGGAUGCUAUGCCAAUGCCAAGAUGAUGCCAUGACAUCCCCACCCUAGAGUGUGCUAAAUUGUUAUGGGCAGUUACCGCAAUAUCAUGGAACCAUGGAGGAAUAGAAGAUUUUUCAAACUUCAUAAAAUCAAGACUUGAUGCCAACAAUGGUCCUACUAGUAUAAGGGCGUGUUGUCAUGACCUCGCUUUCGCCAAUCGUAAGCUACAUGCUAGGUCAUCUAAUAAGGUUGGUCUAUACUACAACCGAGAAUUAAUUUCAAGAUGAGUGUUUUGUUGCUUCCCUUUGCCAUUUACAGCAAGUGCAUCGCUUGGUUAUCAUACUAGCAUAUCAUAUCGGCAUGAACAUGAAGUUUUGAAAUCCGGUGAACUUACAAUUGACAUGAGAUCUUGUAGUUCUAUGAGAUAUCAGUGUUUUCUAAGGGUAGCCAUUCAACUCACCAAGGCAUAUUAAAUGAGAUGGUGUACCACAAGUAAAUGGCUCAUCCUUCAAAUGGGUAAAUGGUGCCUUUCUGUUGAAGUCUUUUGUUAGCAUAUGUGCUUUUCUAGAUAAACCUGACAAUGGAGACAAUCACUGAAGGAAAUAUGCCCUAGAGGCGAUAAUAAAGUUAUUAUUUAUUUCCUCAUAUCAUGAUAAAUGUUUAUUAUUCAUGCUAACCGGAAACAUGAUACAUGUGUGAAUACAUAGACAAACAUAUAGUCACUAGUAUGCCUCUACUUGACUAGCUCAUUAAUCAAAGAUGGUUAUGUUUCCUAACCAUAGACAGGUGUUGUCAUUUGAUUAGUGGGAUCACAUCAUUAGAAGAAUGAUGUGAUUGACAUGACCCAUUCCAUUAGCCUAGCACUUGAUCGUUUAGUAUACUGCUAUUGCUUUCUUCAUGACUUAUACAUGUUCCUAUAACUAUGAGAAUUAUGCAACUCCCAUUUACCAGAGGAACACUUUGGGUACUACCAAACGUCACAAUGUAACUGGGUGAUUAUAAAGGAGUACUGCAGGUGUCUCUGAAGGUACACGUUGAGUUGGCGUAUUUCAAGAUUAGGUUUUGUCACUCCGAUUGUCGAAGAGGUAUCUCUGGGCCCUCUCGGUAAUGCACAUCACUAUAAGCCUUGCAAGCAAUGUGACCAAUGAGUUGGUUACGGGAUGAUGCAUUACGUAACGAGUAAAGAGACUUGCCGGUAACGAGAUUGAACUAGGUAUUGGAUACCGACGAUCAAAUCUCGAGCAAGUAACAUACCGAUGACAAAGGGAACAACGUAUGUUGUUAUGCGGUUUGACCGAUAAAGAUCUUCGUAGAAUAUGUAGGAACCAAUAUGAGCAUCCAGGUUCCGCUAUUGGUUAUUAACCGAGAAUAGUUCUAGGUCAUGUCUACAUAGUUCUCGAACCCGUAGGGUCCGCAUGCUUAAACGUUAUGAUGACAAUUUUAUUAUGAGUUUAUAAGUUUUGAUGUACCGAAGUUUGUUCGGAGUCCCGGAUGUGAUCACAGACAUAACGAGGAGUCUCGAAAUGGUCGAGACAUAAAGAUCGAUAUAUUGGAAGCCUAUAUUUGGACAUCGGAAUCGUUCCGGGUGAAAUCAGCAUUUUACCGGAGUACCGGGAGGUUACCGGAACCCCCCGGGGGUUUAUUGGGCCUACAUGGGCCUCGAGGGAGAAGAGGGAAGGAGGCGGGAGGGGGCCGCGUGUUGGGUUUCGUAGUAAUUUCAAAAAUUCCCUACGCACACGCAAGAUCAUGGUGAUGUAUAGCAACGAGAGGGGAGAGUGUUGUCUACAUACCCUUGUAGACCGUAAGCGGAAGCGUUAGGACAACACGGUUGAUGUAGUCGUACGUCUUCACGGCCCGACCGAUCAAGCACCGAAACUACGGCACCUCCGAGUUCUAGCACACGUUCAGCUCGAUGACGUCCCUCGAACUCCGAUCCAGCCGAGUGUCGAGGGAGAGUUCCGUCAGCACGACGGCGUGGUGACGAUCUUGAUGUUCUACCGUCGCAGGGCUUCGCCUAAGCACCGCUACGAUAUUAUCGAGGUGGACUAUGGUGGAGGGGGGCACCGCACACGGCUAAGAGAUCCAAGGGAUCAAUUGUUGUGUCUUUGGUGCUAGCCCUGCCCCUCUAUUUAUAUGUUGAGCCCCAGGGUCGAAACUUGGAGCAAAAGCCUCCUCAAAGUCGGUUUUGCCCGAAAGGCAAGAGUCCCACUCGGACUCCAGGACCAAACGCCACAAUCCUUGGCGUCUGGCCCAGACGCCAUGGGCCUCGGCGUCUGGCCCAGGGCCAGACGCCAGGGUCUCCGGCGUUUGGCCCCCUGGCCUCCGCAAAACUCCUUUUUGCACCGAUCUAAAGCCUCAUGGGCUUGACCCCUUGGCCUAACCAUAUCAUCCAAUAUAUGAAUCUUUACGUCUCGACCAUUUCGAGACUCCUCGUCAUGUCCCCGAUCUCAUCCGGGACUCCGAACUCCUUCGGUUCAUCAAAACAUGUAAACUCAUAAUAUAACUGUCAUCGUAACCUUAAGCGUGCGGACCCUACGGGUUCAAGAACAAUGUAGACAUGACCGAGACACGUCUCCGGUCAAUAACCAAUAGCGGGACCUGGAUGCCCAUAUUGGCUCCUACAUAUUCUACGAAGAUCUUUAUCGGUCAGACCGCAUAACAACAUACGCUGUUCCCUUUGUCAUCGGUAUGUUACUUGCCCGAGAUUCGAUCGUCGGUAUCCAAUACCUAGUUCAAUCUCGUUACUGGCAAGUCUCUUUACUCGUUCCGUAAUACAUCAUCUCACAACUAACAUAUUAGUUGCAGUGCUUGCAAGGCUUAUGUGAUGUGCAUUACCGAGAGGGCCCAGAGAUACCUCUCCAACAAUCGGAGUGACAAAUCCUAAUCUCGAAAUACGCCAACCCAACAUCUACUUUUGGAGACACCUGUAAUGCUCCUUUAUAAUCACCCAGUUACGUUGUGACGUUUGGUAGCACCCAAAGUGUUCCUCCGGCAAACGGGAGUUGCAUAAUCUCAUAGUCAUAGAAACAUGUAUAAGUCAUGAAGAAAGCAAUAGCAACAUACUAAACGAUCAGGUGCUAAGCUAAUGGAAUGGGUCAUGUCAAUCAGAUCAUUCAACUAAUGAUGUGAUCUCGUUACUCAAAUAACAACUCAUUGUUCAUGGUCAGGAAACAUAACCAUCUUUGAUUAACGAGCUAGUCAAGUAGAGGCAUACUAGUGACACUCUGUUUGUCUAUGUAUUCACACAUGUAUUAUGUUUCCGGUUAAUACAAUUCUAGCAUGAAUAAUAAACAUUUAUCAUGAUAUAAGGAAAUAAAUAAUAACUUUAUUAUUGCCUCUAGGGCAUAUUUCCUUCAGUCUCCCACUUGCACUAGAGUCAAUAAUCUAGUUCACAUCGCCAUGUGAUUUAACAGCAAUAGUUCACAUCACCAUGUGAUUAACACCCAUAGUUCACAUUGCUAUGUGACCAACACCCAAAGGGUUUACUAGAUUCAGUAAUCUAGUUCACAUCGCUAUGUGAUUAACACCCAAGGAGUACUAAGGUGUGAUCAUGUUUUGCUUGUGAGAGAAUCUUAGUCAACGGGUCUGCCACAUUCAGAUCCUCAUGUAUUUUGCAAAUUUCUAUGUCAACAAUGCUCUGCAUGGAGCUACUCUAGCUAAUUGCUCCCACUUUCAAUAUGUAUCUAGAUCGAGACUUAGAGUCAUCUAGAUUAGUGUCAAACUUGCAUCGGCGUAACCCUUUACGACGAACCUUUUUUCACUUCCAUAAUAGAGAAACAUAUCCUUAUUCCACUAAGGACAAUUUUGACCGCUGUCCAGUGAUCUACUCCUAGAUCACUAUUGUACUCCCUUGCCAAACUCAGUGCAGGGUAUACAAUAGAUCUGGUACACAGCAUGGCAUACUUUAUAGAACCUAUGACUAAGGCAUAGGAAAUGACUUUCAUUCUCUUUCUAUUUUUUGCCGUGGUCGGGCUUUGAGUCUUACUCAACUUCACACCUUGUAACACAGGCAAGAACUCUUUCUUUGACUGUUCCAUUUUGAACUACUUCAAAAUCUUGUCAAGGUAUGUACUCAUUGAAAAAACUUAUCAAGCGUCUUGAUCUAUCUCUAUAGAUCUUGAAACUCAAUAUGUAAGCAGCUUCACCGAAGUCUUUCUUUGAAAAACUCCUUUCAAACACUCCUUUUAUGCUUUACAGAAUAAUUCUACAUUAUUUCCGAUCAACAAUAUGUCAUUCACAUAUACUUAUCAGAAAUGUUGUAGAGCUCCCACUCACUUUCUUGUAAAUACAGGCUUCUCCGAAAGUCUGUAUAAAACCAAAUGCUUUGAUCACACUAUCAAAACGUUUAUUCCAACUCCGAGAGGCUUGCACCAGUCCAUAAAUGGAUCGCUGGAGCUUGCACACUUUGUUAGCUCCCUUUGGAUCGACAAAACCUUCCGGUUGCAUCAUAUACAACUCUUCUUCCAGAAAUCCAUUCAGGAAUGCAGUUUUGACAUCCAUCUGCCAAAUUUCAUAAUCAUAAAAUGCGGCAAUUGCUAACAUGAUUCGGACGGACUUAAGCAUCGCUACGGGUGAGAAGGUCUCAUCGUAGUCAAUCCCUUGAACUUGUCGAAAACCUUUUGCGACAAGUCGAGCUUUGUAGACAGUAACAUUACCAUCAGUGUCAGUCUUCUUCUUAAAGAUCCAUUUAUUCUCAAUUGCUUGCCGAUCAUCGGGCAAGUCAACCAAAGUCCAUACUUUGUUCUCAUACAUGGAUCCCAUCUCAGAUUUCGUGGCUUCAAGCCACUUUGCGGAAUCUGGGCUCAUCAUCGCUUCUUCAUAGUUCGUAGGUUCAUCAUGAUCUAGUAUCAUGACUUCCAGAAUAGGAUUACCGUACAACUCUGGUGUGGAUCUUACUCUCGUUGAUCUACGAGGUUCAGCAGUAUCUUGAUCUGAAGUUUCAUGAUCAUUAUCAUUGGCUUCUUCACUAACUGGUGUAGGUGUCACUGAAACAGUUUUCUGUGAUGAACUACUCUCCAGUAAGGGAGCAGGUACAGUUACCUCGUCAAGUUCUACUUUCCUCCCACUCACUUCUUUCAAGAGAAACCCCUUCUCCAGAAAGUUUCCGAAUUUAGCAAAAAAAGUCUUGCCUUCGGAUCUGUGGUAGAAGGUGUAUCCAAUAGUUUCCUCUGGAUAUCCUAUGAAGACGCACUUCUCCAAUUUGAGUUUGAGCUUAUCAGGAUGAAAUAUUUUCAUAUAAGCAUUGCAACCCCAAACUUUAAGAAACGACAGCUUAGGUUUCUUGCCAAACCAUAGUUCAUAUGGUGUCGCCUCAACGGAUUUAGAUGGUGCCCUAUUUAAUGUGAAUGUACCUGUCUUUAAUGCAUAACUCCAAAACGAUAGUGGUAGAUCCGUAAGAGACAUCAUAGAUUGCACUAUAUAUCUAAUAAAGUACAGUUAUGACGUUCGAACACACUAUUAUGCUGUGGUGUUCCAUGUGGCAUGAGUUUGUGAAACUAUUCCACAUUGUUUUAAUUGAAGACCAAACUCGUAACUCAAAUAUUUGUCUCCGCGAUCAGAUCGUAGAAACUUUAUUUUCUUGUCACGAUGAUUUUCCACUUCACUCUGAAAUUCUUUGAACUGUUCAAAUGUUUCAAACUUAUGUUUCAUCAAGUAGAUAUCCCCAUAUCUGCUCAAAUCAUCUGUGAAGGUCAGAAAAUAAUGAUACCUGCUGCAAGCUUUAAUAUUCACCGGACCACAUACAUCAGUAUGUAUGAUCUCCAACAAAUCUGUUGCUUGCUUCAUUGUUCCGGAGAACGGCGUUUUAGUCAUCUUGCCCAAAAGGCAUGGUUCGCAAGCAUCAAGUGAUUCAUAAUCAAGUGAUUCCAAAAUCCCAUCAGCAUGGAGUUUCUUCAUGCGCUUUACACCAAUAUGACCUAAACGGCAGUGCUACAAAUAAGUUGCACUAUCAUUAUUAACUUUGCAUCUUUUAGUUUCAAUAUUAUGAUUAUGUGUAUCACUACGAUCGAGAUCCAACGAACUAUUUUCAUUGGGUGUGUAACCAUAUAAGGUUUUAUUCAUGUAAACAGAACAACAAUUUAUUCUCUUACUUAAAUGAAUAACCGUAUUACAAUAAACAUGAUCAAAUCAUAUUCAUGCUCAACGCAAACACCAAAUAACACUUAUUCAGGUUCAACACUAAUCCCGAAAGUAUAGGGAGUGUGCGAUGAUGAUCAUAUCAAUCUUGGAACCACUUCCAACACACAUCGUCACUUCACCCUUAACUAGUCUCUGUUUAUUCUGCAACUCCCGUUUCGAGUUACUAAUCUUAGCAACUGAACUAGUAUCAAAUACUGAGGGGUUGCCAUAAACACUAGUAAAGUACACAUCAAUAACAUGUAUAUAAAAUAUACUUAUGUUCACUUUGCCAUCCUUCUUAUCUGCCAAUCACUUGGGGUAGUUCCGCUUCCAGUGACCAGUCCCUUUGCAGUAGAAACACUUAGUCUCAGGCUUAGGACCAGACUUGGGCUUCUUCACUUGAGCAGCAACUUGCUUGCCAUUCUAUUUGAAGUUCCCCUUCUUCCCUCUGCCCUUUUCUUGAAACUAGUGGUCUUGUCUACCAUCAACGCUUGAUGUUUUUCUCGAUUUCUACCUUCGUCAAUUUCCGCAUUACGAAGAGCUUGGGAAUUAUUUCCGUUAUCCCUUGCAUAUCAUAGUUCAUCACGAAGUUCUACUAACUUGGUGAUGGUGACUAGAGAAUUCUGUCAAUCACUAUCUUAUCUGGAAGAUUAACUCCCACUUGAUUCAAGCGAUUGUUGUACUCAGACAAUCUGGGCACAUGCUCACUAGUUGAGCGAUUCUCCUCCAUCUUUUAGCUAUAGAACUUGUUGGAGACUACAUAUCUCUCAACUCGGGUAUUUGCUUGAAAUAUUAACUUCAACUCCUGGAACAUCUCAUAUGCUCCAUGACGUUCAAAACGUCGUUGAAGUCCCGAUUCUAAGCCAUUAAGCAUGGUGCACUAAACUAUCAAGUAGUCAUCAUAUUGAGCUAGCCAAACGUUCAUAACGUCCGCAUCUGCUCCUGCAAUAGGUCCGUCACCUAGCGGUGCAUCAAGGACAUAAUUCUUCUGUGCAGUAAUGAGGAUAAACCUCAGAUCACGGAUCCAAUCCGCAUCAUUGCUACUAACAUUUUUCAACAUGAUUUUCUCUAGGAACAUAUCAAAAUAAACACAGGGAAGCAACAACGCGAGCUAUUGAUCUACAACAUAAUUUGCAAAAUACUACCAGGACUAAGUUCAUGAUAAAUUAAAGUUCAAUUAAUCGUAUUAUUUAAGAACUCCCACUUAGAUAGACAUCCCUCUAAUCCUCUAAGUGAUUACGUGAUCCAAAUCAACUAAACCAUGACCGAUCAUCACGUGAGAUGGAGUAGUUUUCAAUGGUGAACAUCGUUAUGUUGAUCAUAUCUACUAUAUGAUUCACGCUCGACCUUUCGGUCUCCGUGUUCCGAGGCCAUAUCUGUAUAUGCUAGGCUCGUCAAGUUUAACCUGAGUAUUCUGCGUGUGCAAAACUGGCUUGCACCCGUUGUAGAUGGACAUAGAGCUUAUCACACCCGAUCAUCACGUGGUGUCUGGGCACGACGAACUUUAGCAACGGUGCAUACUCAGGGAGAACACUUCUUGAUAAUUUAGUGAGAGAUCAUCUUAUAAUGCUACCGUCAAUCAAAGCAAGAUAAGAUGCAUAAAAAGAUAAACAUCACAUGCAAUCAAUAUAAGUGAUAUGAUAUGGUCAUCAUCAUCUUGUGCUUGUGAUCUCCAUCUCCGAAGCACCGUCAUGAUCACCAUCGUCACCGGCGCGACACCUUGAUCUCCAUCGUAGCAUCGUUGUCGUCUCGCCAAUCUUAUGCUUCCACGACUAUCACUACCGUUUAGUAAUAAAGUAAAGCAUUACAUCGCGAUUGCAUUGCAUACAAUAAAGCGACAACCAUAUGGCUCCUGCCAGUUGCCGAUAACUCGGUUACAAAACAUGAUCAUCUCAUACAAUAAAAUUCAGCAUCAUGCCUUGACCAUAUCACAUCACAACAUGCCCUGCAAAAACAAGUUAGACGUCCUCUACUUUGUUGUUGCAUGUUUUACGUGGCUGCUACGGGCUUAAAUAAGAACCAAUCUCACCUACGCAUCAAAACCACAACGAUAGUUUGUCAAAUAGACUCCGUUUUAACCUUCUCAAGGACCGGGCGUAGCCAUACUCGGUUCAACUAAAGUUGGAGAGACAGUCGCCCGCAAGCCAUCUAUGUGCAAAGCACGUCGAGGGAACCGGUCUCGCGUAAGCGUACGCGUAAGGUUGGUCUGGGUCGUCUCGUCCAACAAUAUCGCCGAACCAAAGUAUGACAUGCUGGUAGGCAGUAUGACUUGUAUCGUCCACAACUCACUUGUGUUCUACUCGUGCAUAUAACAUCAACAUAAAUAACCUGGCUCUGAUACCACUGUUGGGUUUCGUAGUAAUUUCAAAAAUUCCCUACGCACACGCAAGAUCAUGGUGAUGUAUAGCAACGAGAGGGGAGAGUGUUGUCUACAUACCCUUGUAGACCGUAAGCGGAAGCGUUAGCACAACACGGUUGAUGUAGUCAUACGUCUUCACGGCCCGACCGAUCAAGCACCGAAACUACGGCACCUCCGAGUUCUAGCACACGUUCAGCUCGAUGACGUCCCUCGAACUCCGAUCCAGCCGAGUGUCGAGGGAGAGUUCCGUCAGCACGACGGCGUGGUGACGAUCUUGAUGUUCUACCGUCGCAGGGCUUCGCCUAAGCACCGCUACGAUAUUAUCGAGGUGGACUAUGGUGGAGGGGGGCACCGCACACGGCUAAGAGAUCCAAGGGAUCAAUUGUUGUGUCUUUGGUGCUAGCCCUGCCCCUCUAUUUAUAUGUUGAGCCCCGGGGUCGAAACUUGGAGCAAAAGCCUCCUCAAAGUCGGUUUUUCCCGAAAGGCAAGAGUCCCACUCGGACUCCAGGACCAAACGCCACAAUCCUUGGCGUCUGGCCCAGACGCCAUGGGCCUCGGCGUCUGGCCCAGGGCCAGACGCCAGGGUCUCCGGCGUUUGGCCCCCUGGCCUCCGCAAAACUCCUUUUUGCACCGAUCUAAAGCCUCAUGGGCUUGACCCCUUGGCCUAACCAUAUCAUCCAAUAUAUGAAUCUUUACGUCUCGACCAUUUCGAGACUCCUCGUCAUGUCCCCGAUCUCAUCCGGGACUCCGAACUCCUUCGGUUCAUCAAAACAUGUAAACUCAUAAUAUAACUGUCAUCGUAACCUUAAGCGUGCGGACCCUACGGGUUCGAGAACAAUGUAGACAUGACCGAGACACGUCUCCGGUCAAUAACCAAUAGCGGGACCUGGAUGCCCAUAUUGGCUCCUACAUAUUCUACGAAGAUCUUUAUCGGUCAGACCGCAUAACAACAUACGCUGUUCCCUUUGUCAUCGGUAUGUUACUUGCCCGAGAUUCGAUCGUUGGUAUCCAAUACCUAGUUCAAUCUCGUUACUGGCAAGUCUCUUUACUCGUUCCGUAAUACAUCAUCUCACAACUAACAUAUUAGUUGCAGUGCUUGCAAGGCUUAUGUGAUGUGCAUUACCGAGAGGGCCCAGAGAUACCUCUCCAACAAUCGGAGUGACAAAUCCUAAUCUCGAAAUACGCCAACCCAACAUCUACUUUUGGAGACACCUGUAAUGCUCCUUUAUAAUCACCCAGUUAUGUUGUGAUGUUUGGUAGCACCCAAAGUGUUCCUCCGGCAAACGGGAGUUGCAUAAUCUCAUAGUCAUAGGAACAUGUAUAAGUCAUGAAGAAAGCAAUAGCAACAUACUAAACGAUCAGGUGCUAAGCUAAUGGAAUGGGUCAUGUCAAUCAGAUCAUUCAACUAAUGAUGUGAUCUCGUUACUCAAAUAACAACUCAUUGUUCAUGGUCAGGAAACAUAACCAUCUUUGAUUAACGAGCUAGUCAAGUAGAGGCAUACUAGUGACACUCUGUUUGUCUAUGUAUUCACACAUGUAUUAUGUUUCCGGUUAAUACAAUUCUAGCAUGAAUAAUAAACAUUUAUCAUGAUAUAAGGAAAUAAAUAAUAACUUUAUUAUUGCCUCUAGGGCAUAUUUCCUUCACCGCGCGCCCCUCCCCUUCCUAGUCCGGAUAGGACAAGGGAAGGGGGCGGCGCCCCCCUUUCCUUCCCCUCUUCCUCCUCCUUCCCCCCUUCUCCUACUCCAACUUGGAAAGAAGGGAUUCCUACUCCCGGUGGGAGUAGGACUCCCCCCUUGGCGCGCCCUCCUUGGCCGGCCNNNNNNNNNNNNNNNNNNNNNNNNNNNNNNNNNNNNNNNNNNNNNNNNNNNNNNNNNNNNNNNNNNNNNNNNNNNNNNNNNNNNNNNNNNNNNNNNNNNNNNNNNNNNNNNNNNNNNNNNNNNNNNNNNNNNNNNNNNNNNNNNNNNNNNNNNNNNNNNNNNNNNNNNNNNNNNNNNNNNNNNNNNNNNNNNNNAGUUACCGCAAUAUCAUGGAACCAUGGAGGAAUAGAAGAUUUUUCAAACUUCAUAAAAGCAAGACUUGAUGCCAACAAUGGUCCUACUAGUAUAAGGGCGUGUUGUCAUGACCUCGCUUUCGCCAAUCGUAAGCUACAUGCUAGGUCAUCUAAUAAGGUUGGUCUAUACUACAACCGAGAAUUAAUUUCAAGAUGAGUGUUUUGUUGCUUCCCUUUGCCAUUUACAACAAGUGCAUCGCUUGGUUAUCAGCAUGAACGUGAAGUUUUUGAAAUCCGGUGAACUUACAAGUGACAUGAGAUCUUGUAGUUCUAUGAGAUAUCAGUGUUUUCUAAGGGUAGCCAUUCAACUCACCAAGGCAUAUUAAAUGAGAUGGUGUACCACAAGUAAAUGGCUCAUCCUUCAAAUGGGUAAAUGGUGCCUUUCUGUUGAAGUCUUUUGUUAGCAUAUGUGCUUUUCUAGAUAAACUUGACAAUGGAGACAAUCACUAAUCGCUCCCCUAAACUACGACGAAAGAAUGCGUUGUCUUUCCAAGGGUGGAGAUGUCAACAUGCUCAUAACGGACCAGUGCAUGAGUUUUGCAAGGGAGAUAAUGCGAACGUCAAUUAAUUAGGCUUGUUCACUUGCUUUGGUUAUAUCUUAAGUUACUACCUUAUCAGUUACCAUAAUAUUAGGUUCCAUGUUUGUGUGAUUCUUAUAAGAUUAGACUCGCUAUUUUAGGGGCAAAAGGCAAUAAUUUUUAUCUCUCUUAUCUCUACUGCAUGUGUUGUCAUCCUACACAUCCUCUCAAUUCUACAAAUCCUCUUUCCCCUUUGAUCUCGUACCAUCGCGGCCCUAGGACAUAAGGUUCGAUGACAUAAGUAACGUCUUGCGUUGCCAACUUAAUUUCCAAGGUCAAGCAACGAGGAUGUGGCAACUUGGCAUCAAAGCCAUUGUCGUUGUUUAUCAAUAAGCAACAAAUGUGGCCAUGACUCAGCUCGAACUAAAAUAUAAGUAUCAAAGCAUGCACGGAGCAACCGAACCAAAUUGUUUAUUAUGUGUAACAACUAACCAUUAGCAACACAAAAUUUGUUGUCAUGCACUACGAACCCACAAACAUCAAUGUGUUCUGCAUGUGAGCAUGUUCUUGAGAAGAACGCGACACCCGUCAUUGGGCCCUUAGACAUACAUGACAUGCUGACAACACCGGCAAGAUCCAAGUUGUUGUUAUCAACAUACAUAGCCACACAAACAUCAUUGCGAAUUCCUCAUGUCGUCGAUGUUGCUGUUAUUUUGGCAUCACCGUUGUUGUUAACCGCCAGGAUGCUCAUCAUGUAUCUUGCCAAGUUGGAGUUGCUUGAGCUUUGCUCACAUUUGCUACCUCAUACUAAAUGUUUGUGACCACCCCUAGAAAGGGCUUAUGCCUCAAAUAAGAGGAGUCAUUCUGCUGAGGUUAAGACUGGUUGCUGGCCAAUUACAACAUGAUGAUAAGUUGUCUUGCUAGUGAAAGAAAUGUGGAUGCACAUGGCAUGCAAGAGAAGCAUAUAGUCAACUCUUUUUUCCGAAAAGAAUAUAAUCAACACUUAGUCAUCUUCGUUUAUUUUUUUGGCCCACUUGUAUUUGAGUCGAUUAUCUUCCUUGACUGCCCAAUAAUAUUGCAUGAUCUCCUUUAUACGCACACUUUGUCCUACCAAACUUCUACAUUAUUGUUUUCUGUGCCAUAUUUCACUCUUUGUGUCUUUGUCAAGGCACCAUGGAAUUAUAUUUUUGCAUCUUGUUUCUCGUCCUACUAUCCAUCACACUUCUUACUGUAUUCCCCAUCAGGACACAAUAGUGUUCACUCGGAAUCUAGUCUAUGUUAAAUAGAGGGUAUCUAUGGUGAAUCAAGCUGGUGGUAGUGUGAACUUGUACAAUUGGUGUUAAGAGUUUAGAGAAGGUGUGGGCCAUGGGCUGCUUGAGGUUUAGAGCAAACGCUCCAAAACCAGGUCUCGCAGUAAUAUUGGUAAGUCGUCAUAACUUGUCCUACUUAAAGGGGUGGAUAUCAGAUACGCGUUAAAAAUUCUAACUGAGAAUUUGAUAUCGUGAUCUGUUUCCUUCAAUAUGAUAGAAAAGUCAGUCUUCAAUCAGAACCAAAGUAAUUAAUCCCUAUUUACUGGUAAUAAGGUAGGGCUGAGGCAAUCAUGAGGAACCCCUUUAGUUUGAACUUAACACAAUCUUUCAUUGGCAACAUUCAGUAUGUAAAAUAAGUAUAAUCCGAAUGUGUAAGGUUUUCCUUUUCAAUUAAUUUGGCCUCUACUUGCAACUUCUGGUUUAUUUUUCUGUUCAUAAUUUGUAUAAUGUGAAGUCUUAGACUGGCCGGGUAGUUUAUUUUCCAGAACAUGAAUUAGCUGAAAAUGUUCUCUUACCAUUUCAAGCAUAAACUGAUUGUUUAUUUUACUAAUUACCACAACCAAACUGAGCCGAAUUCAGUUGGUGUGGGAGGUGUAGACGUAUGCAUCAUCACUUAGGUCCGAGUUUCAUUUGACAGGUGAGUUACGGUGCCUUUCUUAUACUUCUGCUUUGUCAUGUGAUGUGUUAAAAGUCAAAGCUUUGUUCAGAAAAAAAGAAGGUAUAUAGAUGUUCUGUAUUAAUAUUCUUCUUGUACUUCCCAACUGUGCCAGAAUCAGAGGAGCUGCAACGUGUUCAUAGGACCACUCCUGUUAUGGUAGACAAUGGAGUAAAAUACUGGAAGCUGGGUGGCUAUUGUAAUAACAAUACAAACAUAAUGCGUCAAGGUUUGUAAUUAUUUUGAGGUAAGUUUUUAUUUUACUCAUUAGCAAUAUAUAUAUAUAUAGUGACUAGCAAUACCAUGUUUUUAUCAGAAUUCGUUGACGAAAAUAGAACCAAGAACAAAGACAUGUGGUUCAUGUUCACUGAAGACGAACAUAAAAUAGUUGAAGAUGUUCUUUUUCUAUGAUGCAUGUGAAGGAUGAGUUCAUUUUGGCCAGUCUUUGCACAUAUUACAACUUACUUUUGUACUGUCUCCAUAAUCUGAAAUUAGAUGGAUGGUUACUUUGAAGAUAUAAUUAAAUAAUAUGGUGGGAGAUAGAACAGAAUUGUGAUGGUUCCAAAUAGCCCAAUAUCUAAAUUUUCUCAUAUUGUUCUAUCAUUCUUUCAUUAAGAUGUCUUAUUAUUAUGUGAAAAUGUCUCCAAGGUGGGCCGGCACAGCAACGCGCGCCUUUAUGGUCUAGUAGAGCUCUGUGCCAGCAACGGUGUGUGUUCUUCUGGCAUUCACAUGUAGUGGAUCUACAACAGAUACUGGGGGUCGAUCUAGCUAAACUCAUGUGGCAGCAUAGGUUGUUCGCGACUCAGGGUUCUGCAACAUACGGUGGUGACUUUAGUGGAGGUCAUCAAUACUCAAAGCUUAAGGUGGAUGUUAAUCGCUAGCCAACGCAUGGGGUUGUGGGACGGUCCCCUUAGUGGACUUAUGACGGCACCCGUCACCUCCCAUAAUAGGUGGGCCGUGGGUCCUGGCGGCAACGGGCAUUCUUGUCUAUGGGACAGGUGUCUCUUAGCACAACUCAAAACCUAGCUAGUGUACAUCGGCAUGUCCGUUCACGUGGCGAUACACAUGUCAGGGGUGCGUGUGUGAGCGACUAUCGUACCAGGGAAUUCUUCCUUCGAAGUUGGGCGACAAGAAGCGCGAGUUCGGUUUAGUGGUGCUCUUCGUGUACAGAUUCUUGAGCUAUGGAGCAAAAACUCUAGGUCUGGCCUUCACUGGUGUUUUCCCAGCGAGGUCACAACGUUUGAUGGCCCAAGGUUAAAGGUGAGUUUAGCAAUGCGAUCCAGUCUUAUCCCCAUCCCCUCGUCCUCAUCUCGGUACUUCCUCCUCUAAAAAGAGGUGCGUUUGAUUGGCAACUCGUCGUGUUGCCAUAAACGAUGAGGCGUUGUUGCUGACAAUGCCUCAUAAGCACUCACUAUUGACAUCGGCACAUAAGGUACAUCGCAAACCAUCGGCGUGGUCAUGUACACCUAAAACUUACAAGACGGGCGAGUGAUGACACAUUAAGUGGUACUACAAUUUACUAUAUCCGUUCUUUGGCGGAAUGGCUACUAGUAAGAUCUGAUGUCUUCAUAAUCAAUAUGAUGAAAAGUUGAAGAAGAAGAACAUUCAUGUUUGAUGUGAGAUCCACGGUGAAGAUGCAACAUGCAAGGCAAUUAUAUGUAGGGAUUUAGAGUUGUAGUUUACCAUGUGUAUAUAAUGUUACCUGGUGAAUGUUCGCCAGAAACACAUGGCAUUUCGAAUGAUUUUGAUGUCAUUUCUAGUUGUGUGGGGAUGACAGUUUCGUCAGAGCGACAUGAAAUUUUCUAGGAAGAUGAAAGUUUUUAAGACUUCAUUCCAGAAAAUGCCAUGUCGCUUUGAAAAAACUACCACCCCACAUACACCAAAAAUGCCAUGAAAAUCGUUCGAAAUGUCACCUAUUCCUCCUCGCGAACAUUCGCCAGAGAUGAGGGUCCUAUAUUUAAUGUUCCUAUCUACUGAUCAUAGUGUUCAACACACGAAAAAAAAGGAAAGGCUCUCGGCCCCCGCGUCGUCCCGAAGGGCGACACGGGCGGCUCCCCCGACCCACCGCCGCCAGGCCCCUCUACUCCGCCCUUCCUACCUCGCCGUUGCCAGCGUUCCCACCGGGCAAAGUCCCGACAUGGGUAGGCGGCGGGUUGGUCUCCGUUUCCUCUCCGUCCCUCUCCUCUAGCCCUCCCUAACCCUAGUUGCUGCCGCGGUGCGGGCUCCUUUGUCGCGUUGCUGAGGUGCUCUGCUCGGGAGGCGAUGGUCACGGCCAGAGAGUUGGCGUCGUGUUUCCAUCUCUCUCCUCGACUUGGUGGUGCUCCGACCUUGCACCCGCCCCGGCCCAGAUCUGGGGUCCGGCAGGGCUCUCCGACCCGGUUGGUGGUCGCAACCUGUGGGGCUGUGGCCGCCGCCUCCUUCGUGUGGUGGGUCACGGCAAGGGUGCCGGUGGCCGCCUCGACUGGCCUGGCGCCAGAGGCUGAUGCCUCAAGUGAUGACCCCUGUCUAGAUCUGGGGCAGGGUGGGGUCCGGUGAGCCGGAUGGGCGGCCGUGACCAGGGGUCGUGGCUGCCAUCUUUCAUGCGUAGUUUGGAGCUCCUAUCGUCGGUUGGCUUUCCCCUUCCAUUGCACGUUGGGGGUAAGUGGGGGCGCCAGCGAGGGUCGUGGUGGAUCUACUUCGCUGGGUGAAAUCUGUGUUGACCAGCGGUGGUGCUGAGUGUGGAGGCCCUCGGAUGCUGGGGGCGGUGGCCCUGGAUGGCGAGGCCGCGCGUUUAGCUCUGUGGCAAGCAGUGUAGCGGUGGUGGUGGCAUUUCUCCUUGGUCGUGUGGAUGGCGAGGAGGGAGGCGGCAGGAAACCUGGUGGUGGCGGUGCUUCGGCAGCGGUGUUGCCCAGAUCAUUGUAGGAGAUAUGCCCUAGAGGCAAUAAUAAAUGAUAUUAUUUAUCUCCAAGUUCAUAAUUAUGUUUAUGUUCCAUGCUAUAACUGCAAUGAUUCUCGAGUCUGCAAUAUCCACGAGGCUCGGAGGAAGACUCAUAUGCACGUGUGGAAUAAUAAAUGGUAAGAAGUAUUCCUAGUUUGGCCUCUAAGACUAGCUCAAGUGUUGCAUGAUGGUUCCGUUUUCCUGAUCAUGGGCAUGUCUAUGCCAGCAACUUUAAGGGCGCAAUGUUAAGAGAACAUUUGUGUUGAAUCGACCCGGUUUGAUGUUAUGAUAUGAGAUUCAUUCGUCAGAAGUUAAUGGUAAAUAACACAGAGAUGGUUAACGUUUGCAUUAUUCCUUAGACCAUGAGAGUAUCGAGUUUCUUCAUGCUUGCUUCAUGAAAUUUGGGGUUUGUUAAACGUCAUCCGUAAAUGGGUGGCUAUUACGGCGGCUUACGGGUUCAUGGAAAAGUGUGUCAAGUAACUUGAUAGCUCAAGAUUGGGAUUUGCUCCUCCGACGAUGGAGAGAUAUUCUCGGGCCCUCUCGGUGUUACGGUAUCCAUCAUCGUCUGGCCAGACACAGUGUGAUUUGAUCACAGGGAUGCCGGAACACGGAAACGAGAAAAGAGAACAAAACCAGUAACGAGGUAACUAGCAUAGUGGACAAGUUGUUGAUCCAUGGGGAUGCAAGUAAAAUCUCACCUUGGGUCUUUGUAACAUAUCGCGAAGCAACAGGAAUAGCACACGACAACUGGAGGUUCACUCGAAUAUUCAUUCGUGUGGGUAUAGGGGUCAAUAUGGGUGUCCACGGCUCCGAUGUUGAUCAUUGAUCGAAAGGGGUUCCGGGUCAUGUCUAUACUUCACCGAACCUAUAGGGUCACACGCUUAAGGGUCAUCUAUCUGCUGAAUACUAGACAGGGAGUCUGAGAGAAAAUCACCGAAAAAAGUUUCGGACAGCGGAAUCGUACCGCAGAGAGAGGUCAUCGGAUAAGUUUUGAUGAUACCGAAAAGUUGUUUUGGGAUAUACCAUUGAGUCAAAUUGGUUUCGGCACAUGCCUGAUAAUUCUUGGAGGGUGCCAGAAUCAUUCUGGAAGCUUUUUGGAAUUUUCUGAGAUAAAAACCGGAAAUGUUCCGGAGCUGCCGGAACCACUUCAGAUGCGUUUCGCAGAUGAAAAUCACUAAAAUGGAAUUGUUCCAUAAUGCGUUGAAAAUUAUUAUGGUGGGUAUUGGAAAUGUUCUAAGCCCACAUAAAUAUUUUCAGUUCGAGCGGACGCUGAAAAAUGUCGUCGUGAAUAGUGAAAGUGCUUUUUGGGAUAUUUUAUGGAAAGCCACCUUUUGGGGCUUUACCCAAAAGAUCUAGGAAUGACAUGGAUGGAUUGGGAGGCCCUCAUGGGGGCCCCCCAAGGGGUGUGGCCGGCCACACUUGGGGCUCCACCUUGGAGCCCCUCUUGUUCCUUGGUUUCACUCUUAUGCCCUUGAGGAAGGACUUCAUUCAUGUGCAUUUUGGGUUGGCAGCCCUCCACACUCAUCCCUUGCUCUCAUACACAUGCCAUGCAUUAUCUGGCUUCUUCUCUCCCUCCCACGAAAAGAGUUUCGUAGAGCCAUAAGGCUGUCUGGGUUCCGGCAGGAAUUAGUUCUGGACGGCGAAGCCCUGCCGGAUAGAUGACACCGUAUGUGUGCAACUCUGUAGAGAGAUCGUAGUUUCGGUCUUAGUUCGUGAGUGCCUCCCGAAGGGCUGUCCAUGUGACCGUCCGAGUUUCGAAGGUCCUCCCGAAGGGUUGUCCGAGUGAACGUUCGAGUUUCGAAGGUCCUCCCGAAGGGAUGUCCGCGACACCGUCCGGGGGGGCCGUUCGACCGCCUCCCGGAGGGUUAUCUGAGGAGCAGAUGAGGGUAUACAUCCUCGCGGUUGGGAGGUUGUAAAUCCUAGCUGCGGGGAUUUGCACCGCCGUUCGUCAUCGACUCUACUUCCCGCUGCGCUACGAGUCGGUAACAAAAAAGAUCAAACCAUGUAUGCAGUCACCAUAGUGGUCCUGGGCUGGUGCGUAGGUCGGAAAUUUUUUGUUUUCUGCUGCGUUCCCCUACAGUGGCAUCAAGAGCCGUGCUAUGCGUAGAUGCAGAUUACGAUCUAGAAUACAUGGAGAUGUAUGGGUAUUUCAUAAUAUAAUUUUGGAGUAGAUGAGAUCUAUUGCUGAAAAUUAUUUAUGCGGGUGACAGAUGAAAUCUGUUACCCGACGUUCUUGUUGCUUCCCUAGAAUUUGCGUUUGCUCAAUCUCGAGACAGCAUGGUGGAAUUUGACAAAGUUCUGCCAAUCCGUGAUCCUGAUUGAUCAUGGAAGUGCUAUCAGUUCUUUGGGUUCUGCCGUAGUCAAAAGAAAGAUGAAAUUCGCAGAUGAAAGGGCAUUACAGAUAUGAUCUGCACGGGGGUCAUGCGUAUGACGAAGUUUAGUAUGGGGUUCGAGAUUUUAUUAUCUCGUGCUUCAUACAUCCCGAGAUGUUAAUCUAGCAACUUGAAUUAUCAUACUUGAUGAUGGACGUAGGUAGCUUCGGUUUGUUUCGAAACCUUAGAAGCCACGUAAAACCUUUUUUGUAUGAACCGAUUAGAGGCGUGUAACUUGGUUUUGCAGGAUGGUUUGCAUGUGAUGUGGUAUAGCAGUGCUCAUAAUAAUCUGAUUAUGUAUGAGAUGACUAUAUAAUGUAAUUAACAUGACCUGCGUGUCAUGAUUCGGCAUGAUGGCUGGAGCCAUAUGAUUGCACUUUAAUGACUUGCGUGUCAACCUUAAGUAAUGCAUUUAUUUUAUCCGCUAUGUAGAUAGCGAUAUUAUCUGGUGCAUCGACAAGGUGGUGGCAAUCUUCACGAAGGUGAACGCCGAUGCGAAUGCCGAAGACGAAGAAAUGAAAGACUUCUCCGUCAGAAAGGGCUAUACCAUAUCAUGCUAUUAUGAAUUGCCUGAGAUGUUUAUCCCUUUGAUGCACCCUUCUUGAUUGCGCCGUAGUCGCUUUUUAUUAGGGUGAUCUCUCACUAAAAUAUCAAGUAGUUAGUGUUAUCCCAAGUGUAGCACCGUCACGGCACCUAUCUUUUCGGGGUACGCCAUGGAUGCACGGGUACGAACGAUUAGAGAAGUGUGAGGCGGGUGAGGUCAGACUUCGCAGCAAGAUCACUUGGUUGUCUUGACGUUCAUGGCAGGAUCGUCCUGAGCUCAGAACACACGCAUCGAAAGAUGAGCAAGAGUCACAUAGAGAUGUGAUCGGCAAGUUGGCCUACCGAUUAAAAUUCCCGUUAUGAGAUGAUGAUUCUAUGAUGAUGAGUUGAAGUCUGGAUCUUGUAUCACUCAAAAUUAGUUAUGAGAGAUAUUGAUUUGAGUGGGAGCACACUGUAGAAUUAACUUGUUUAAUUCUCAGUGCAAUUAAUUUUGAACACUGUCAAGUGUGAUCUGCUAAUAGUUAUAGAAUAAUGGCUCGCGUUUCCACCUUCCCUAUUAAAAUUGAAUAGCUGUUAAAUAUCUGGUUAAAACUUUACGGUUGGUAACGUAAUGUGACGAUUGUCCUCAAGAGUGCCGAGAAGGACUUUGUCCUAUCGCAUACUUUCGGUAUUCUCCCGCUAAUGCUAUGGAUCAUGUGACUCUCGUCCUUCGAUCCAAAAGCUAGAAUUCCGUUUUCAGUCAAGUGCAACAUGUUUGCUUCCAUGAGACCCGAACUUUGAAACUUUGGAUAGUUAUGUGAUAUUCAUGGAAUCUGAAAAUCAUUUUCAGAGACAUACAAAGGCUAACAGAUAUGUGAUAUCCAAAGCAAUGUUUGUUUUGCAAACUGUUAGUAAAAGUGUUUACUAGGAAUUUGACUGAUAAGAGAGGGAUCCAGAAGAAAGCCUUUCAUAUGAUGAAGUUGGAUGCUUUUUCUGGAAGUAGGAGAAAUACUAAAGUUAAACUGUUAGAAGUAAAAUGGCAAAAAGAAAAGAAGUCUGGAAUAUCCAGCUCAUGUAUGAAUGUCAUACAAGUUUUUGAUGUAUAGUAGGCUGGUCAAAGAUAUAGUUCUUGGGAAUUAUGGUUAAACAUGUUAAUCACUAAUUCUUGGGUAUUGUGAGUUAAUCACAAAGAUACCCGCUAGAUUGCAUUCUGUUACGAAUCAAUGUAAGAGCUACUGUGGCCUAAAAGGCUAGCCAGAAAUGAGGUUAAGGUAUACACAGGGAACACAGUAAAUGUUACUAUACCGGUGUAUUGUCGUCUGUAUUUAUUUUCAUAAUUCAUUUAGAGUUUUUCAAACUCUAGCCCAUUGCAUAAGGUAUCUUGCAAGAAGGUUGUUCAUAAGAGAACUUUUUAUGUUCGAUGUUAUGAAUAACACAAGGGCCAUACUUUCAUUAUGAAAGAGAUGUAUGUUAUGAAUAUUGAUAAUAAUACAAUACCUCUGGGUUUACUUUCAUAAUUCAUUUUAGAGUUUCAUACACUCUAGCCCACUGCACAAUGUUUGUUGCAAAAGAAUUGUUCAUAAAAACAACAAUUGUUGUUAAGUAUUAUGAAUAACAUGAAGGGCCAUGCUUCAAUCCAAGAUGGGAUGUAUGUUAUGAAUAUUGAUGGUAAUAUGAUACAUCCAUAACACUGACGCUAAAUGUCGCAAGACUAAAAGAAUACCACACAAGUGUGGCACUACAUUUGGUCACAUUGGAGAAACCCGCAUGGAAAAUUCCAUUAUGAUGGACUUUGAAGUCGUUUGAUUUUGAAUCAUCUGACACUUGCAACUUUCCUCCGAAAAAUGAAGUGACUAAAAUACCGUUCAGAGGCCAUAAGGAACGAACAACAAACUUAUUGGUGAUCAUACAUUUGAUGUGUGUAGUCGGAUAAGUGUUGUUAGUAGUGGAUUUAUCUAUCUUCAGAAAUGACUCAAGUAGAUAUAUGGAUAUUUACUUGAUGAGACGUAAGUCUGGAUCUUUUGAACUCAUUCGAAAGGUUUUCAAAAAUGAAGUAGAAGUUAUUGUAACAAGAAAAUUACGUUUCUACAAUUUGAUUGCAGAAAGGAAUAUUUGAGUUACAAGUUUAGCGAAUAUCUGAUGAGUUGUGAAAGGGGUUUCAUAAACUUGCACCUCCCGGAACACCACUGCAAGUGGAAAGUCCGUGGAGAUGUAAUCGAACCAUUAAUGACAUGGUAAGAUCAAAGAUGACAUAAAUAAAAUUGCCAUUAUCCCUUUUAAAGAGUGAUGCUUUAAAGACUGCGGCUUUUACACUGAAAAGAGCUCCGUCGGGUCUGUUGAAAUGACACCAUGGUAUGGUACGCCCAACCAUGUUAUAUCUUUUCUUAAACAUUUGGAAUAUGGGGUUUGUGUAAAGGUUACAGACCUAUUCCAAAUCAGACAAGUGCUACUUUCUAGGUUAUCCCAAGUCAUUGGGUAUUCCCCCACCACUAUACCGAGGCAAAUAGUUUUGCCACGAAACGGUAUGCUUUUAAAGAGAAUGGUUCUUUCAAAAAGGGUGAGUGGGAGGACAGUGCAAACUCGACGAGAUAACAGUAUCUUCGUCAUCAGGUCAAAGGAAAGGAACCUUGGAAGUAAUUCCAGAGUUUCCUACUGCGACUGAUACGGAAGUCUCUACAAUAAAAUGUAUGGACUUCGGUCGAACUUGCAGCUGAACCAUGUAGGCAAGGCUCGUGCAAACCUCUCAGGUGCGCAGACGAGAUAUUGUUAUUGAACAACAGUAUACCUAUGAUACACAAGGAAGCGUUGAUGGGCCCUGACUCCAGAAUUGGCUAAAUGCCAAUACAAACCGAGUUAGUUUCCAUAUAAGUGAUUCAAGAUUAAAACCUUGAUACACCUUUCGGAAGACUUAGAGUCUAAUGAAUAUUUAUGGAACUUAAAACUGAUAUGGAUAAAAAUGUUUAUCCAUAAAGCACGACUUGUUGCAAUAACAAGUUCAAGGAGUUGACUAUGAUGAGGUUGUUUCAUCGUAGCAAUGCUUAAAGUCGGUUCGGGUUGAACUAGCAAUUAAUACAUAUUUCAAUCUUGAGAUAUGAAACAUGGAUGACAAAAGGAUUUCCAUCUGAUGGAAAUGAAACCUAGCACUUGUAUGUGAUACAGUUCAAAGUAAUUUGUCGAUCCAGAGGAUGCUAGUAAGGAUGCAAACUUCAGAGUUCCAGCGAUGGACAGAAGAGAGCAAAAUGGAGUUGGAAUCUUCGUGUUUUGAUGAAAUGCUCAAAAGGGGUUUUGACUUCAUCAAUGGGUAACGAAGAUGCUUGUAAUUCAAGAAAGUAAGUGGGAGCGCAAUAAUAUUUCUAAAAACCUUGUGUGCUUGACACAUUGGUAAUUGGAAAUAAAUUUCUUGACACGAAUUAGGACUUCAUUUGAAAAUAGUUUUUCGAUGAAGUGCUUAGGCUAAAUAGCCUUGAUAUUAGGCAUGAUGAUCUAUGGAGAUAGAUUUACCUAAUAGGGCUAAGCAAUAAAUACAUAUUGACAAGAUGCUAAAACCGUUUAGCACUAAGAACGACAAGGAGUGAUUCUUUCCGAAGUCACAUGGAAAGAGUUUUUGCAGGAAUCAGUGUCCCAAAACACUGAUGAGCAAAAUACAUGAUGGAGAUUCCACACACUCAUGUGUUUGGAUUAAUCAUGUAUUCCAUGUUAUGUAAAACAACCAUAUAUGUCCAAUACUCCCAAGAUGUUGCGAGUAUGGAUACUAAAGUGAUCAAAGUACUGAUCGUGGGACAACAGUAAAAGAUGUCAUUGAGUACUAGAGUAAGUACUGAUGAUAUGUUUUCUCGCAAGCGGAGAUCAUGAAGAGUUUGUUGUAAAAUGUUACAUCGAUACAGUCUUCAUCUUUUCUCCAUGUGAUUUUCGAUUUAAGUUAAGGGUUUUUUAUAAUACACAAUAUGGUGGCACGGUAGUUGGAAAUUGUUCCCAACAGGAUACUAUGGCGAAUUCUAUAACAAAUGACUAAGUAUGUUGACGCUUUAGAAGCGACAAACAAGAUGUUGAAACAUAUAGUUCAUUCAUGAACUUAGUAUGGUUCCAAGAUGGCUUUUGUCAAUGGGACACUACUGCAGGUAGUUUCCCCAUAACUCAGUCUGAGGAAUCCAGGUUCAACCUGUGAUUCACAUUUAUACAAAGCCAAGUCCGCACAAAAUAUGAAUUUUGUGAAAGCGUGAAAACGCGAGGAUAUGCAGAGAUAGACACGGAGCUGAAGUUGUCAGAUCUGAUGGACAUUAGGCUAUACCACAUGCGAAGCAUUUUUUACAUCGGCAUGCCAUAGGUGUAAAGUGCAUUAGCAUUAACUAGAUUAUUGACUCUAGUGCAAGUGGGAGUCUGUAGGAUAUAUGCCCUAGAGGCAAUAAUAAAUGAUAUUAUUUAUCUCCGAGUUCAUAAUUAUGUUUAUGUUCCAUGCUAUAACUGCAAUGAUUCUCGAGUCUGCAAUAUCCACGAGGCUCGGAGAAAAACUCAUAUGCACGUGUGGAAUAAUAAAUGGUAAGAAGUAUUCCUAGUUUGGCCUCUAAGACUAGCUCAAGUGUUGCAUGAUGGUUCCGUUUUCCUGAUCAUGGGCAUGUCUAUGCCAGCAACUUUGAGGGCACAAUGUUAAGAGAACAUUUGAGUUGAAUCGACCCGGUUUGAUGUUAUGAUAUGAGUUAAUGGUAAAUAACACAGAGAUGGUUAACGUUGCAUGAUUCCUUAGACCAUGAGAGUAUCGAGUUUCUUCAUGCUUGCUUCAUAAACUUUGGGGUUUGUUAAACGUCAUCCGUAAAUGGGUGGCUAUUAUGGCGGCUUACGGGUUCAUGGAAAAGUGUAUCAAGUAACUUGAUAGCUCAAGAUUGGGAUUUGCUCCUCCGACGAUGGAGAGAUAUUCUCGGGCCCUCUCGAUGUUACGGUAUCCAUCAUCGUCUGGCCAGACACAGUGUGAUUUGAUCACAGGGAUGCCAGAACACGAAAACGAGAAAAGAGAACAAAACCAGUAACGAGGUAACUAGCAUAGCGGACAAGUUGUUGACCCACGGGGAUGCAAGUAAAAUCUCACCUCGGGUCUUUGUAACAUAUCGCGAAGCAACAGGAAUAGCACACGACAACUGGAGGUUCACUCGAAUAUUCAUUCGUGUGGGUAUAGGGGUCAAUAUGGGUGUCCACGGCUCCGAUGUUGAUCAUUGAUCGGAAGGGGUUCCGGGUCAUGUCUAUACUUCACCGAACCUAUAGGGUCACACGCUUAAGGGUCAUCUAUCUGCUGAAUACUAGACAGGGAGUCUGAGAGAAAAUCACCGAAAAAAGUUUCGGACAGCGGAAUCGUACCGCAGAGAGAGGUCAUCGGAUAAGUUUCGAUGAUACCGAAAAGUUGUUUUGGGAUAUACCAUUAAGUCAAAUUGGUUUCGGCACAUGCCUGAUAAUUCUUGGAGGGUGCCAGAAUCAUUCUGGAAGCUUUUUGGAAUUUUCUGAGAUAAAAACCGGAAAUGUUCCAGAGCUGCCGGAACCACUUCAGAUGCGUUUCGCAGAAGAAAAUCACUAAAAUGGAAUUGUUUCAGAACGCGUUGAAAAUUAUUAUGGUGGGUAUUGGAAAUGUUCUAAGCCCACAUAAAUAUUUUCAGUUCGAACGGACGCUGAAAAAUGUCGUCGUGAAUAGUGAAAGUGCUUUUUGGGAUAUUUUAUGGAAAGCCACCUUUUGGGGCUUUACCCAAAAGAUCUAGGGAUGACAUAGAUGGAUUGGGAGGCCCUUUGAGGGCCCCCCAAGGGGUGUGGCUGGCCACACUUGGGCUCCACCUUGGAUUCCCUCUUGUUCCUUGGUUUCACUUUUAUGCCCUUGAGGAAGGACUUCAUUCAUGUGCAUUUUGGGUUUUUGUGUUAAACUACCCUACCCCUUGGGAUUUCCUAUAAAUAGAGGUGGAGGGGCAGCCCUCCACACUCAUCCCUUGCUCUCAUACACAUGCCAUGCAUUAUCUGGCUUCUUCUCUCCCUCCCACGAAAAGAGUUUCGUAGAGCCGUAAGGCUGUCUGGGUUCCGGCAGGAACUAGUUCUGGACGGUGAAGCCCUGCCGGAUAGAUGACACCGUAUGUGUGCAACUCUGUAGAGAGAUCGUAGUUUCUGUCUUAGUUCGUGAGUGCCUCCCGAAGGGCUGUCCAUGUAACCGUCCGAGUUUCGAAGGUCCUCCCGAAGGGCUGUCCGAGUGACCGUUCGAGUAUCAAAGGUCCUCCCGAAGGGCUGUCCGCGACACCGUCCGGGGGGCCGUUCGACCGCCUCCCGGAGGGUUAUCUGAGGAGCAGAUGAGGGUAUACAUCCUCGCGGUUGGGAGGUUGUAAAUCCUAGCUGCGGGGAUCUGCACCGCCGUUCGUCAUCGACUCUACUUCCCGCUGCGCUACGAGUCGGUAACGAAAAAGAUCAAACCAUGUAUGCAGUCACCAUAGUGGUCCUGGGCUGGUGCGUAGGUCGGAAAUUUUUUGUUUUCUGCUGCGUUCCCCUACAAUCAUGUCAUGGAGGUCUGUUUUGGUGGCGGCGGACUUGGAUCGUGGUACCUCGGUGUGGCACGGUGAGACUCCGAGAAAAAGCUUCGCGCUUCGUCGCCAGCGGCGGUGAUGCCUGUGGGUGUCACGUCCCUCUUGGGGGCGUCAUUGUGGUUCUCCUUCCGUGUCAGGGCUUCGGGUGAAAACCCUCGACUGUCUUUCGGUCGCAGCGAUGGCGGCGUGUGGCGUCGUCACCCUCUUGGAGGCGUUGCCGUGGAGCUCAGGCACCCUUCGGUUACGUCUUGUCAACAUCGGCGGGCGAACUCAGAUCCUCUUUCUCGAUGCCCCCUCGGCUCUGGCAAGAGGCAUUCCUAGCGGCUUCUUAGUCUCUCUUGGAAGCACGAGUUCUCUUCUUGUCAGUAGCCUAGUUUUAACUUUGAUCUGCUUUGUAAGAGGAUUUUCCUCAUCACCUUGUAUCGGUUCCGCCAUGUUGCUUUAUAUAUAAAGCGGGACGAAAGCCUUUUUGGGUAAUGUUCCUGUCUACUUUGUAGAAAGUAUAGGCAGGAGUUACAUUAAACUUGGGCCUGCUUAGAGGGUCCGGUGGUCUCCGAAUCAAGCACAUGUAACCGGGUCGUGAGAAGCGGCUGAUUGAUUAUUGCAAACUAUAACCGACUUCGGAGUCGACUCCGGUUCUGAUUACAACUAGCACCCAAGCAGGCUUGCUCUACAAAUACAUCCUCCCCCUUCGACUAGCAGGCAAGAUCAGAUCACAUCGAUUCCAAAACACCAAUUUCGUACUAUCUCAUCUGCAACUAAAAAUGGGAUAUAUGGACGACUCAAGGAUGUAUAAGCGGCUGAAGCGCAAGGAGAAGCACCUCUACCUGGUGCUGGACGACUGGGACGAGGGCUUCACCAUCCGCAAGAUCGACGCGGACAGCCCUGACGAUCACUGCCGCAGCCUCCUCGACGAACCCCCUGUCAUCCGUCUGCUCUCUCCCAAUCCUAUCCACCGCAUGGCGUUCGCCGCCCUGGGCAGCAGCCACAUCCUCGCAGCCAGCAACAAACACCCCGCCACCCUCGUCUAUGACACCGACACCGCCGGGCUGAUCACCGGCCCUCCCGUACCGGACGCGCUCCAAGACGCCUACAAAAUCUUCUUGAGUGUGGUUUUCUGUAGCUCAGGCUACACGGUACCCCUUAUCUUUGUCAUCCAUUUAUGCAUCAAGAUCCGUGCAGACACAUUUGUCUUUUUUGUUUCUCUCAAACGACACAACAUAUGAACUUUAACUUUUGCAGAACAAUACAUUCUAACUACAAUCUAGGAAAAAAACUUUCAGAUUUUUUCAUGCAUUUUAAAUACUUGAAAUAAUAUUUUUAUUCAAAGAAAAUCUCAUUUUGUAUAUUUAUAUCAGACCAAAAAUCUGAAAGUUUUUUCACACAUUGAUGUUCUAAUGCUUGUUCGAUCUGCAAAGUUUGAAGUUCAUAUGUUGUUUCGUUUUCGAGAAAUAAAAAAGAGAAAUCUUCUUGUUGUUAGUUAGUUGGAGAGUACGGAUCUCAAAGCAAGGUUGGAGGGUUGAGGAUAAGAGGUUCCAUGUAGCCUGAGCUACAAAGAAACUUUGUGAAUCUUCUUGCCCGCCGACGACAAUACGAUGUAUGCAUUUGCGUACUUCUUGAACGAGCCUCGAGCCGUGGAGGUGCUGUCUUCCACCACCAAUGAUGAUUUGCACUCCUCGGUCCCAACCAUGGACUGGUCCUGGAGAAGCGCCGCACCCUCGCCGUUCACCCAGUACGAGAGGAUCUGCUCCUACACCACCGGGUCAGGUUGUACGCAACCCGGCUUUUUUUUUUUUUGAUAAAAGGCAACCCGGCUUGUACGCACUCCUUACCGAAAAAUGUCCACUGCUCUCGAAGUGCCAUGCAGGGGUGUCUUCAGGGUCUCCUCUCGAUCGGUGCUUUAAUCUUCAUGAUCAACUCAGCAUCAUCUGGCCAGAAAACUUCCCUUAUCAAACCUCAUUCCACUGUUCGCCAUCCGGCAAUAAGAGACCACCCACGACGUAUCCUUGGACAGCUCCUGCCACCCUGAAUCUUCAGCGAAGGUUCCUUCAGAAUCCAAUUAUCCGAGAGCCGCAUAGUAAAUAUUUCAUUGAUAGGUUGGAAUAUUGCUUAGGUAUUUCUCUUCAGACGUGCACCUUUCCUAGUGUGGAUUUCACCUCCUCUUGUCUUUCCACCUGCCAUGCUCUACUGACCAAGAGCGAGCAUUUUUGUGAACUUCACAACUGUGUCCAGUGCACCCCUCAAAUUUAUGUAUUACAUUCUUCACAACCUCAGCCUGUUGCCAGUUUGCAUGGAAGAAUAGGGUAAUGUCAUCAGCAAACAAUACAAUGUGAAAUUCCUGGAGUUGUUCUGGCGAUAUUCAGGUCUGCUAGUUCCCCAUUGCUUUCUUCAAAAGCCUCGACAAACCAUCUGCUCCAGAAAGAAACAUAUACGCGAUAGCGGGUCUUCCUGAAACUCAAUGUUUUUUUAUGGCUUCUCCUGCAAGACAGACUUAAUACCAGAGAUAUGUUCACAGCAGGAAUUUCUUCAUUGAGGACUCCUCCUGUGUUAUGUGUGUUAAACAAGCACACUCGAGUCCCAUGUCUAUGGUGUGAUAAUCUUGGUGCUACCUAUUUAUCUGCUAAUCCAGUCUUCCAUGCCAGGACCAAACAUAUUGAGAUAGAUUUUCACUUUGUUCGAGAAAGGGUAGCUAAUAAGCAAUUGGAGAUUCGUUUUGUGCACUCACGAGAUCAAGUUGCAGAUGGGUUCACAAAAGCAUUACCUACAAGGAGUCUUGAGGAAUUCAAGCGUAAUCUCAACUUGACCAAGUUGUGAUUAAGGGAGGGUGUUAAACCAGCACGUAUGUACAUGGUUCGGCAGCCUGGCUAGCCGGUCCCUUCCUUCCUUUCCUUGUAACCGAAGACUAGAGGUAGAGAUAGAGAUAGUCAGUUUAUAUUCUCUGUUAUCCUUUAUAACUAGAUAUCUCUUUCCUCUCUCCCAAGUUGUAAUCUAAACUACUUGUACGCUAUUUAGGGAGUCGCACCCCUGUCAAUAUUACAUGCAGGCGUCGCCCAGAGCAGGGUACGACGUUUCCCACAUGGUAAUCAGAGCCUAACUCUUCCCAUCUAGCGAUUUCCUCCUCCCACCGCCGCACCUCCUGCCAUGGCCUCCUCUAGCGCAACCAACUCCACCCUCUCUGGCCAGAUCACUGAACGCCUCACCCGAACAAACUACAUCCUAUGGAGAACUCAGAUCACACCUCAGCUUCGGGGGGCAGGGUUCUUCGGCUACGUAGACGGGAGCAUGCCGGAGCCGGCCAAGGUCGUCGUCAGCAAGGACAAGGAUGGCAAGGAGGAGUCCAUCCCCAACCCGAUUCACUCGGUUUGGAUCUGAGAGGAUCAGCAGGUGCUUGGUUACCUUCUGAAUAACCUCUCCAAAGAAGUGCUUGUGCAGGUGACGUCGAUCGCCCACGCGCACGAACUCUGGACAGCAUUGGCGAGCAUGUUCUCGUCCACAUCGCUGUCCCGCGUCAACAACAUCCGCGCGUCGCUCACGAACGCGCAGAAAGGACAGCAGUCGGUGGCCUCCUACUUCGCAUCCAUGCGGGGUUUCGCCGAUGAGCUAGCUGCAGCAGGCAAGCCCCUGCAAGAUGAUGAGUUGAUCUCCUACAUCCUCAACGGGUUGGAUAUGGAGUAUCAACCGCUCGUCUCCGCCCUCGACGCUCGGAUCGUCCCUGUCACCCUUGAUGAGUUGUUCUCUAUGAUGAGCAAUUUUGAUCAACGGGUGGCCAUCUUCCAAGGAGCAGCGCAGGAGGCGGCUUCAAAUCUUCUGCCAACGCUGCCACCCGCGGCCGUGGCGGGGGCUCACGUCAUCGAGGCCCUCCGCGGAACAGCAAGGGCAAGAGCAACGGCGGCGGAGGCAACAGCAGCAACAACUCCGCAUGCCACGGCGGCGGCGGUCGGCCCUCCUACACCAACAACAGGGGCCGGCGCAAUGGCAGCUCCUCCAACAGCAGGUCUCGCCCCGACACAAUCAGAUGCCAAAUCUGUGGGAAGCCGGGCACUCUGCCAAGGACUGCUGGUACCGCUUUGAUGAGGACGAUGAUGAUUCUUCUCAAGAUGAAAAAGUGGUCGGAGCUGCUGAUGGCUCCUAUGGUGUCGACACAAAUUGGUACGUUGACAGCGGUGCCACAAACCACAUCACCGGCGAGCUUGACAAGGUGACUAUGCGAGAGAAGUACCGUGGCAAAGAUCACAUCCACACCGCCAGUGGAGAAGGUAUGAAAAUUAGUCACAUUGGUCAUUCAGUUAUUAAAACCCCUCAUAGAAAAAUUCAUCUCCGAAAAUUUUUGCAUGUUCCUAGUUCCAAAAAUCUUCUUUCCGUUCAUCGCAUUGCCAUUGACAACCAUGUCUUUCUUGAAUUUCACCCCUUCUUCUUUUUGAUUAAGGAUCAGGCAACGAAGAAGGUGCUAUAUCGAGGUAGAUGCAUUCGUGGGCUUUACCCUUUGAUCCCGGAGAUUAGAAGAUUGAAUAAACAAGUUUUUAGUGCCACCAAAGUGUCUUCAAAAACACGGUGGCACGAUCGAUUAGGACAUGCUUCAUUUUCUUUAGUUGAGAAGUUGCUUAGGAAGAAUAAACUCUCAUAUGUUGGUGAGCGAGAUGUUGAAAUAGUUUGUGAUUCUUGCCAAAAGGCUAAAAGUCAUCAAUUACCGUAUCCAAUUUCCACUAGUGUUUCUACUAUGCCUUUGCAACUCAUCUUCUCUGAUGUGUGGGGGCCUGCACCCUCUUCUGUUGGUAGACAUACCUACUACGUGAGUUUCAUUGACGACUAUAGCAAGUUUUCUUGGAUCUAUCUUCUUAAGAAACGAUCCGAUGUGUUCCAAGUUUUUCUCAAUUUUCAAGCUUUGGUUGAACGAAAAUUCAAUAGCAAGAUCAUCGCCCUCCAGUCUGACUGGGGAGGUGAAUAUGAAAAAUUAAACUCUUUCUUAAUCUCUCAUCAUGUGUCUUGCCCGCAUGCUCAUCAACAGAAUGGGUCAGCUGAGCGCAAGCACAGACACAUUGUUGAGGUUGGCCUAGCACUUUUAGCUGGCGCCUCUAUGCCCCUCAAAUUCUGGGAUGAGGCAUUUCUUGCUGCAGUACACAUCAUCAAUAUGCUACCUAGUCGUGUCAUAAACAAUGAAACUCCCAUGGAAAGACUUCUCCACACAAAACCAGAUUACACAACACUUCGUGUCUUUGGAUGUGCCUGUUGGCCUAAUCUUCGUCCUUACAACAAUCGCAAGCUUAUGUUUCGAUCCAAGCAAUGCAUGUUUCUUGGUUACAGCAACCAACACAAAGGUGUCAAGUGUCUUGAUGUACCUACGGGUCGUGUGUAUAUCUCUCGCGAUGUUGUUUUUGACGAGACACAAUUUCCAUUCUCCAAACUUCAUCCCAACGCCGGCGCACUUCUACGUCAAGAAAUCCUCCUUUUACCACAAAAUCUCACCGGCCUUGAUCUAGGGGGAAAUAAUUCUGAUGAUCAACUGUUGACUAAUUCUCAUAACCGUGUGCAUGAGCUUUGUGAUGAUGCAGCUGAAAAUUGUGAAGAAAAUGGUGCAGCAACAGCCACAAACACUUCACAUUUUAUGUGUCAAACCUUGGGGAACAAAUCCCCCUCGGGAUCAGCAGCGCAGGAGAUCUGCAGCAGAUCCGCCUCGGGAUCGGCAGGCGGCAGGGCGCUGGAAACCGCGUCGCCAGCCAGGCGUGGCGCUGGCGCAUCCACGAGCGACGCGCGGCGCUCCUGCACCGGUCCUGACGCGGCCUCCAGCCCGCACCAAUCCGGCGUGGACACCCGGCCCACUGGGACUCGCUGGGCCAUGAGCGGGCCCCGCCACUACGUGCGGCGAUGGCAGCAGCCGAGCCCUCCACCGCACCGGCGCAAGACAUACACGGAUCCCGACGCCGAUCCUGUCCUGUCCCCUGGCCCGCGAUCCGGCGCUGAUUUGCCCGAGCCCAGCCAAUCAUUGUCGCAUGAUGGGCAACCUGGCGCGGGAUCGUCUGCGCCACAUGCACCCGAGCCGGCGCUUUCUGGAGCCGCAGAGGAUCCUGGCAAUCUGUCCGAGGUUGCUACAGCAGCGCCGACAGGAUCUGCCUCGGGAUCGCCGCCUGUUCAUGUGUCAGCAGGAUCUUCUACAGCCGUUGCUCCGCGUACACGCUUACAAAGAGGGGUAACCAAACCUAUUAAUUAUAAACAAGUUGUGAAAUUUGGUUUGGCGUGUUCCACAGGUGAACCUAGCACUCCUGAAGAGGCACUUAGUGAUGCACGAUGGAAGAAGGCCAUGGAAGAAGAAUACACUGCACUCCGCAAAAAUAAAACAUGGCACCUGGUUCCACCACGGCAAGGUAAAAAUUUAAUCGAUUGCAAGUGGGUCUUCAGAAUAAAGAGAAAAUCUGAUGGAACCAUAGUUCGCUACAAGGCCAGACUUGUUGCGAAGGGCUUUAAACAACGGUAUGGCAUAGACUAUGAGGACACUUUUAGUCCGAUUGUUAAAGCUGCUACUAUUCGCCUUGUAUUGUCUAUUGCUGUUUCCAGGGGAUGGAGUCUCAGACAACUAGAUGUACAGAACGCGUUCCUUCAUGGUGUUCUGGAAGAGGAAGUAUACAUGAAGCAACCUCCUGGGUUUGAAAGCAAAAGCAAACCAUCUUAUGUAUGCAAACUUGACAAAGCUCUAUAUGGACUGAAACAGGCUCCCAAGGCGUGGUACUCACGACUGAGUCAGAAACUGCAAGCACUUGGCUUUCUUCCUUCAAAAUCUGACACAUCCUUGUUUAUCUACAAUAAGUCAAAUACAUCCAUAUUUGUUCUUAUUUAUGUUGAUGAUAUCAUUGUCACAAGUUCAUCUAAUGAAGAUGUGUCAGGACUGCUAAAGGAUUUGAGUGCUGAGUUUGCUCUUAAGGAUCUGGGAGACCUGCAUUACUUCCUGGGUAUUGAAGUCAAAAGGCAUGGAGAUAGCCUUCAUCUCUCUCAGGAAAAGUAUGCCACUGAUCUGGUAAGGAGAGUUGGAUUGCAAGGAUGUAAGCCUUCACCAACACCACUAUCUAGCACAGAAAAACUGUCACUUUUUGAGGGAAAACCUUUAAGUCAAGAAGACAGUACCAGAUACAGAAGCCUAGUGGGAGCUCUUCAGUAUUUAACCUUAACAAGGCCUGACAUUUCCUUUGCUGUUAACAAAGUAUGUCAAUUUCUUCAUGCUCCCACUACAACUCAUUGGACUGCUGCAAAACGUAUAGUGAGAUAUGUAAAAGAUACUAUGGCCCUUGGCCUUACUUUCAGCAAGUCCUCUUCAACCCUUGUUAGUGCUUUUUCUGAUUCUGAUUGGGCAGGCUGUCCAGAUGACAGACGCUCCACUGGAGGUUUUGCAGUAUUCUUUGGACCAAAUUUAAUAUCUUGGUGUGCAAAGAAACAAGCCACAGUGUCACGAUCAAGUACAUAAGCUGAGUAUAAAGCACUAGCUAAUGCCACAGCAGAGAUUAUCUGAGUUCAGUCUAUGUUGAAAGAGCUUGGUGUGAAGCACACUCGAGUCCCAUGUCUAUGGUGUGAUAAUCUUGGUGCUACCUAUUUAUCUGCUAAUCCAGUCUUCCAUGCCAGGACCAAACAUAUUGAGAUAGAUUUUUACUUUGUUCGAGAAAGGGUAGCUAAUAAGCAAUUGGAGAUUCGUUUUGUGCACUCACGAGAUCAAGUUGCAGAUGGGUUCACAAAAGCAUUACCUACAAGGAGUCUUGAGGAAUUCAAGCGUAAUCUCAACUUGACCAAGUUGUGAUUAAGGGAGGGUGUUAAACCAGCACGUAUGUACAUGGUUCGGCAGCCUGGCUAGCCGGUCCCUUCCUUCCUUUCCUUGUAACCGAAGACUAGAGGUAGAGAUAGAGAUAGUCAGUUUAUAUUCUCUGUUAUCCUUUGUAACUAGAUAUCUCUUUCCUCUCUUUCAAGUUGUAAUCUAAACUACUUGUACGCUAUCCAGGGAGUCGCGCCCCUGUCAAUAUAACAUGCAGGCGUCGCCCAGGGCAGGGUACGACGUUUCCCACAAUGUGUGGGGAAGAUGUGAUGGAGAUCAGAGACUACUUUUUUCCAGAUGACUUUUUGGUAGAGCCUGCUGGCAAUUUCUUUUUAUUUCAAAUGCCUUUUCGCUAGAGCCUGCAUCGCUACAUUUCCAGCCUUUUUUCCGACAAAGCUACAUUUCAUUUCCAGCCUAAAAACAGAGAUAUGGACAAACCUUUCUAUAUGGAGGUUAUCAUUCUAGGGGCCUCUUAGCCCUCAGCUCCUUUUAUUUUUUUCGCUUGUAAUAUAAACCAAAAUCUAUAGAGUAUGCAGUAGAGUCCUAGUGUUUCUGUAAAAAAAACAGUGGUCUUCUGUUUCAUUUUUUUCUGUGUUGCUAUUCCUCAGUGCCGUCAGAGAAAAAUAGGGGUCGCGACAGAUUGCAAAAGGUGCACCCAGAGAUACUGCGAGAGUUGCAUGCGUAACAGGUGAAAUAAUUUCCUCUCUGCUUUUUCUUAGAGCCUCUGGUAGGCAAUCUUGCUUGGGUUUGUUUGUUGAUGUUCUCUUUGUUUAACAGGUACCCUUUGAUUGCGGAUGAGGUGUUGAAGAAUGGGGCCUGGGAAUGCGCCAAAUGCAGGAAGGAGUGCAACUGCAGCGUGUGCCAGUGAGCUAUAUGAAUCUGAUUCUUGCCACGGGGGAUUUCAGAUUUUUGUUCUUCUUUAUAGAUCUCUUUAUCUGUUUUUAUUUGGCAGAAAGAAGAGAGGGGAGGAGCCGACGGGGCGAAUGGUCCAUGCUACCAAGAGGCCGAAGGUCAGCCUGGUGCAAACUAAGAGCAUCAGUACUCUCAAGGAUGAAAUAGUUGUACCCAGGGGUACUCCGGUGACUUGCAUUGCAGGUAUAAAGCUGCAGUCUGAAGAUGUUGGCGCUGCUAUUCAAUUUCUGGAGUUCUGCCGCUCAUUUGGCGAGGUAAUUAUGGAAAGCAAAUAUUAUGCUUUAUUUAUCAUUUCAUGUUGCAUUGAACCAUUGAUGCAUCCACUCAUUUCUAAAUCUGGUUUACGCUAACUAGUUAUGGUUAGUUAAGUUGCAUGAGAAUGUUGCCGAGCUAAACAAUUAUGUUGUUCUCUAACACAAAAUAAGUCAUCAACUUGAGGCGCAUAUUUUUUUUUUUGAUUUCUAAAUUUAUAAUCUAAAGAAAGUUUAUUUGCAUUUUAUUUUAUAUGUUUCCAUAAAUGAAAAUGUUUAACUGUUCUUAGCUGCCUGCUUGCUUUAAGAGACCUUUUCUUCUGUAUUAUAAAUAGAACAAUGUACCACUUGAUUUAAGCAGAUCUGCAAAAUAGGGAAGGGGGGAGAUUGAAACUAGAUGACCCGUGGUCUCCUUCCCCCGAAACCCUUCCCUCCCCGCGCCGCCACCCGUGAGGCGGCCGGCGAGGGCCCCCAGAUCCGCUCGCCGCGAGCCUCCCCUCCUCCUCCCUCCUCCCUCGCCGCCGCCAGGGGGCGCGGCCGGGCGAAGCCCGACCGACGCCGGCGGCGGCGGGCCUAUUUCUUCCGCCGGCACGACGGGGCGGCGCGGGCUGCUUCUUCGGGUGCGGACGCGGGGCACCGCGGCGUGGCGGCGCGCGGCCUCCUGGCGGGNNNNNNNNNNNNNNNNNNNNNNNNNNNNNNNNNNNNNNNNNNNNNNNNNNNNNNNNNNNNNNNNNNNNNNNNNNNNNNNNNNNNNNNNNNNNNNNNNNNNNNNNNNNNNNNNNNNNNNNNNNNNNNNNNNNNNNNNNNNNNNNNNNNNNNNNNNNNNNNNNNNNNNNNNNNNNNNNNNNNNNNNNNNNNNNNNNNNNNNNNNNNNNNNNNNNNNNNNNNNNNNNNNNNNNNNNNNNNNNNNNNNNNNNNNNNNNNNNNNNNNNNNNNNNNNNNNNNNNNNNNNNNNNNNNNNNNNNNNNNNNNNNNNNNNNNNNNNNNNNNNNNNNNNNNNNNNNNNNNNNNNNNNNNNNNNNNNNNNNNNNNNNNNNNNNNNNNNNNNNNNNNNNNNNNNNNNNNNNNNNNNNNNNNNNNNNNNNNNNNNNNNNNNNNNNNNNNNNNNNNNNNNNNNNNNNNNNNNNNNNNNNNNNNNNNNNNNNNNNNNNNNNNNNNNNNNNNNNNNNGGCUUCGGGUCCCCGGCAGCGGCGUUGGUUCCUCUCCGUCGCGGGCGUGUGGUGGUGGUGCGGCUCGGCUGGUGGCGGUCCGGCGACCUGGUGGUGGUGGUGCUUCCACUUGGCGGCUUCUGUGGAGGGAGGCAGGGGAGCGGCUUGGACAGGGGCAGCGGCGUCGACGGCGUGCCGGCUGCAGCGCGAAGGCGGGAACUUUACGGGCCUCGGAGAUCCCGGCCGGGCCUGUGCGGCCACGGGCCUGGUAUGUUCCUGCUAUUGCGUCCGGUCAGCUACCGUCGUCGAUGGUGGAGGUGGGGCCCUCCCGCGUGCCGACGGUGCUGCUGCCCUAGUCCCGUCUCCUCUCCCUCUUUGUGUGGACCAUGCUUCACGGUGCCGUGGUGAGACGGCGUGGGAAGCUUCGUGACCGGGUUGGCGCAGGGUAAGGGUCUGUUUGGUGGCGAGCUCUGGAGUGCCUGAGGUGGAGGUUGGGAUCGGGAGAAAUCCCUGUUGGCUUGGCCGACACCGACGUGGUGGCGCUUGUGGGUACCGCCUGACCUUCCUGAAGGGCGUCGGGGCUACCCUUCCUCUCUCCUCACAGCGUACCGGGGGAAACCCUUGGCAACAGCGUCGUCAUCGUCGCGUCCCUUCUUGGAGGUGCUGAUUGGUACCGGUGCUUCGGAGGCUCGGAGCUUGGUGGGUGAUCUCCGGUGGGUGCAGCGGCCACGAGGCUUCUUGGUUUUUUUGUCAAUCCGCCAUUGUUGGCAUUAGUUUCUCUUGUAUUUUCUCUUUCUUUUCUUUUGGGCGUGUCUGUGCUGCUUCCGCCCCAGCACCUAUCGUUGGAUGUUCGGUUGGUUGCUUUGUAUACAAAGCGGGGGGAAACCCUUUCUCGGCAAUAGGGAAGGGGCUACCAGAAGAAAUUCUCAAAGACUUAACUCAACGCAAAGAGGUGUCUUCAGUUGUUGCCGACGUUCACAUAAAUCUUCUGUCUAUCAUAGAAAAUGGCAAAGAUAAGUAAGUAUACUCACAAACUUCUUUGCCCUUGUAGUUUUGCUCAUGCAGUUAAUAAAUGAGUAAAUGAGGGGGUUUUUUUCUUAGCCCUUUUGAUAAGUAUCCAAGACAAGGAGAUGAGUGGAUAAGACAAGUAGGCGAAUACAUCACCUUGGCGUUACAUGCAGAAGUUACCCUUCGCUGCUUAAAUCAAGGGGUAUCAGGGUAUAAAAAUUUGAACCCUUCUUGUAAGCUGGAGGUUCUGAAUUGUCUGUGUGAUGAGGCAUUGUCUUCUGAGUAAGUAGAUGCUACCAUAUUUUCUGGAAUAGUUCACUUCACUAAUGUCAUAUUAAUUAUCUUGUAACUUCAUUCAGAAAGCUGAGGACCUACAUUGACAUUGAAGAAAAAAAAAUGUGUGGCCAGACAAAAAAUCAAAGCUGCAACCAGAAAGGUAUUUAUCUCGGGAAGUUCCUUUUGUGUGGUCGAGUCACUUGGUUGACCUUAAUGAUCAUCGUUUUGUGUCUUGUUUCAUAGCAAAAGGAGCUGAAAAGAAGACAUAAUGACAUGACUAAAACAAUUGAAGGAGGAGAUAUUGCUAACAAUGAGGAAGCUAAUGAUAUCCUUUCUCAAAUAAAGGAAGCAGAAGAAGUCAAGCAGGCAGCUCGGAAUGGUCUGUAGCAGUAUGGCUUGAUUUAUCUUCAUUUCCUGCAUUCAAUUUGUUUAGCUUUGUUCAUCUGUUCAGUUCUCAGUCUGUUUGAUAUCUUUCACUUUUGUUUAUUAUAUUAUUUCACAUCUACACCGUCCUGCAUCGUUUAAUAUGUAUAUAUUUUUUCUAGAAAAUAUCUUUGUAAUAUAAGUACUUUACUAGGUUCUAUUAUUCCAUCUCCAUAUAGUCCACAAAAACUUUUUUUUUGCAUAGUUUUUAUCAAACCUUUAAAAUUUUAACCACCAAUAUCUUCUAGAAUAUUUUGACUGAGUGAGUGAAAGAUCAUAUAUAUUUUAUGUAGAUACUCGCACAAUAUAACAAUCUUAUCAGGUUUUAGAACUAUACCAAAAUAGAUACUAAUAUUUUAUGUAGUAUUUUGGAGAUUGUGCUAAUGUUUAAUAAAAACAUUAUCUUCUUAAAGACCGGAGGGAGCAGUAGAAGAAAAUGGUCAACAUAAAGACUGGUGGGAGUAUCUAACUUUCACAAACGUCAAAUUGUCUGCCAACCAUCCAUCAAUGUGUACUGACUGUGGGUUAACAAAUGGAUAAAUUCAAUUAUUUAUUAUAUAAUCCAAUUUUUUCAUGCAUGUGGACAUGCUUUUGAAACCCUGUACAGUGGAACAAUCGAUCUACGAUAAUUUUCAUUAAUAGAAACAGUGAUGUUACAAAUAUGAAUGAAAGAAAAAUACAAAAGGCCUAUGGAUAAAAGAGUCGUCCAAUUCCAGCUCUAUGUAUCAUGAUCAUAGUACUAGAAGUUUAGCAAGGACCACUCCUGGAAACAAACAGCAUGUUUGUCCCUGAUUUUAAAUUUAAGUAGAAUCAUCUUUAGGGGCAUAUCUCCAAUUCUGAAAGGUUGAACUGGAUUUUCUGAAUAUCUUCUCAUUUCUCUGAAGCCAGAUGUUCCAGCCUCAGUAUAACAAUCUCCAUACUAAUAUCAUUUGGUAGAUCCUCAAGAGCCAACAAUGUAUCUUCAUAGACAGAAGUACCUCAUUUUAUUCAAGGAAUGAGAGUGUACCAGCAACUUUGAGCAAAAUUGCAAUCCCAAAACAGAUACAUAAGUGUUUCUUCACAAUGAUGAUUACAUAUAUGACAAGAGUGAUCAGUCAUCAUGAAACCUUUUCGUUCCAGCAAGGAUCUUGUGUUAAUUCUACUCCCUCUAUUCCUAAAUAUAUGUCUUUUAAGAGAAUUUCAAUAUGAACUACAUAUGGAUGUAUAUAGACGUAUUUUAGAGUACAGAUUCACUCAUUUUGCUUCGUAUGUAGUACAUAUUGAAAUCUCUAAAAAGUCUUAUAUUUUGGAACGGAGGGAGUAUUCUGCAUGGCUAACGAGAAGAAAAUCUUAUGCUUGAGUCUACUACAAAUCUUCCAGAUUAACUUGAAAACUUUUGGAGCCUCAAAAACUCCCAUCAGGUGUUUAUACAUUUUUAAAAAGGAGAAUUUGGCAUCCAUUCUAUUGCGGUGCCAUCUGUCCUUACUAUUCUGAUCAACCACUGGGAUUAUGCUUGGGACUUGAAGAAAUUGAUUAUAGGCUGGAUUAGACAAAGGCAUAUGAAAAUUAUCAGGCCAAUCAUUUCUUGCACUAAAAUUUGGCAAAGAUUCUUUUUCAUUUCUAGCAAAAGAAUGCAAGUCAGGGAAUUUCUAAAGCAACGACAAGUUAGGCCAUUUAUACUGCCAGAAAAGACUUGUGUCCACUUGUCCCACAGACCAUGAGGCAAAAUAUCUUAAAGAGGGCAGGAGCAAUGCAUGUGGACAUAACCAUCCAAGAGAAGAUAACCAUGUUUUUUUCUUUCCGAGUGAAUAGGUGGAGAGUCAUUUCAGCCUUAGGCUUAUAUUAGAGUCACAUAUCUAACCAUGUAGUUAGGAUUUAAUGUUUAACCUUUUUCUUGGAUUAGCGUAGAGACAUGAAAGGAUAUACUAAUAAAGUAAUUAGUAUAUGUAAGGCUUAAUAUAUUCUAGGUUAUUUUGCACUAAUUAAUAAAUAUAAAUUAAUUUAAGAGGGGAACUGAUACAGAUACAACAAUAGUGUUUAUGGAUAUGGAUAGUGAUACCACAAAAGGAAGAAUACGGUAAUAUGCAGAUACCUUAAUUUAAUUCAUAUGUGCUCCAUGAUGUUGUAACAAUUGGAUGGAACUCUUUGUAACUCACGAUAAUGCAACUUGACUAUCCUUUUAGAGUCAAGUAAAUCAUGAUUGCUAUCUGUUGGCUAACUUGUUUCCACUAUAGUGCUUUGUGUUCCCCUUUUCUGGCACAUCUUUUUAGACAAAAAGCUCUAGAUGAACCCGACUUUGAUUUAACGAAGCCAUCAACCAGACAGGAAAUACAACAGACCUUGGCAACACAAUGGUGGCAACACAAUGGCUGAACCGAUACAAUGGGGUUUACUGGAGAGAAAACACAACUACAACCAUUACAGGCAAGCACCCAUGAAAAGGAACAGAAGAGAGCACACCUAGCAAAAGAUGAAGCACUCCAUGCUUGGCACUGAAGAAAUCAUAGCCGAAGCAGCCAAGGAAGAUAUGAUCGACCAUCCUAGGGGAACUAUUCUCCAUGUGGCACCUUGGGACUAGAGGAAGCACAAGACCUUCUAUCUCUACCACUUAAGGGGGGCCCUACCCCUCGUCAUGGAACGAAAGGCGACGCUCUGUUGGGAUUAGAAGGAUGCCGGACUCGCAGUGUGAAGUAGCCCUAGAGCGACCACCUAGACUUGGGAUAUACCUUGCCAACAACUCGCCGCUGUCCAAGCACAACCAAAAGGAGAUGGAAAGCUAUCGGGGAUAGCCGCCGAAGAAGGAGGCAACAGGGAACCGAGAUGACACGAAGAACAUCAAGGGAUCAGAGAAACCGGCCACAAAGAAAUUCGUAGGAGGCCUUGGCUUCCACCGUGCCACUGUCACCAGGAAGGGGAACCCUAUCCCCUUCUGCCAGGAUCGAAGAUGUUGGAAUGAUGAAACCGAGUAACACAAAACGUCAUUAGAGAACACCAACAUGAAGGAUGUUUCUGUCCCAUCUCUCUCUCUCUCUCCACUUUGUUGUGAAUAUCUUCAUCAUGGCACCUGAUUCUAAGGUUCUACACCCCCUUACCUGAAAUACUUGAAUUCCUCGUGGGAGGGGUGUACCAGAUUCAUAUUAAAUCCACUGGCUAGGACUUUAAGGUUUGUAUUUGCAUGGCCAUUGAUCAACUAACUAAAAGUCAAUGUAAGCUAUUUAUCCAACUUGAUGGGUGGAGUAAGAAGGUUUUUGAGAUGCAACAACAACCUGGCAUUAUCCUUGCGGCGAGAAUAAGACGUUAGACACCGCUGGGCCCAUUGUUGUUUAUCCUGCCAAAAUACAAGCAACUGUGACAAGGAUGGAUACACUAACGACAAUAAAAAAUAUGAAUGUCGCAUAGUGUUCUACAUGUGACACCAACCUACCAAUUUUAAUGUCGAAAGCCUUGCUCUUUUCACCAUUGGGCAGCUUCCAUUUUUGGCCUACCAUCGCUAGAAAACUUAGAUCACCAUUUGGUGAACGCACCAAGUCGAUCCCUCAUGGCACCUUCAAGAGUCAUGGUGAUCCUAAGACACCCACCCAGUUAAUUUUAGAUGGACAUACACAUGAUAAAUGUUAUCCCAUAUGGUAGUGAACUCAAUGAAGAUUCCUCAUGUGGCAAAAAGGGAUAUAUAGUAAGGACAUAAUGGCAAUCCAAAUUAACCCAAGUAGGUCAAAGGGGAGGGUGGAGAGGGGAAGUAGUAGAGGAUGGAGAAGGAGAGGCAAAAAGGCACUGUAGAGGUAGAGCCUUUGAGAUAAUGGUCAAGAAUUAUUGUGGAAGAGUAGCAAAGAGUCUGAGAAAAGAGUUGAGAGAAGAAAGGUCAGGCCUCGAAGAAGAAGCAUACCUGGAUGACUCAUAGAAACAUGAAUCACUUCUUAUGGUGGUGGCAAUAAAAAGAGCCAAUAGAGGCUACUUCUUCAUGGAAUCUCCUCCACCCUCCCUGGCUCCAUUUUCCCUAUGAUACUUUAGGUGUGAAACCCUAAUCUUAAGAGGCUCUUUGCCUUAUGUAAUGCUUUUAUUACCCUUAGCAAAAUCCACAUUUUGUUGGUGACACCUGGACCAUCUAGGCGCUCUCCAAGCAAAAGUUUCUAGGAUGAUGGCCUCGUGUUUGCUUUCGGUCACAUGGAUGCUAUGCCAAUGCCAAGAUGAUGCCAUGACAUCCCCACCCUAGAGUGUGCUAAAUUGUUAUGGGUAGUUACCGCAAUAUCAUGGAACCAUGGAGGAAUAGAAGAUUUUUCAAACUUCAUAAAAGCAAGACUUGAUGCCAACAAUGGUCCUACUAGUAUAAGGGCGUGUUGUCAUGACCUCGCUUUCGCCAAUCGUAAGCUACAUGCUAGGUCAUCUAAUAAGGUUGGUCUAUACUACAACCGAGAAUUAAUUUCAAGAUGAGUGUUUUGUUGCUUCCCUUUGCCAUUUACAACAAGUGCAUCGCUUGGUUAUCAGACUAGCAUAUCAUAUCGACAUGAACGUGAAGUUUUGAAAUCCGGUGAACUUACAAGUGACAUGAGAUCUUGUAGUUCUAUGAGAUAUCAGUGUUUUCUAAGGGUGGCCAUUCAACUCACCAAGGCAUAUUAAAUGAGAUGGUGUACCACAAGUAAAUGGCUCAUCCUUCAAAUGGGUAAAUGGUGCCUUUCUGUUGAAGUCUUUUGUUAGCAUAUGUGCUUUUCUAGAUAAACCUGACAAUGGAGACAAUCACUGAAGGAAAUAUGCCCUAGAGGUGAUAAUAAAGUUAUUAUUUAUUUCCUCAUAUCAUGAUAAAUGUUUAUUAUUCAUGCUAGAAUUGUAUUAACCGGAAACAUGAUACAUGUGUGAAUACAUAGACAAACAUAUAGUCACUAGUAUGCCUCUACUUGACUAGCUCAUUAAUCAAAGAUGGUUAUGUUUCCUAACCAUAGACAUGUGUUGUCAUUUGAUUAGUGGGAUCACAUCAUUAGAAGAAUGAUGUGAUUGACAUGACCCAUUCCAUUAGCCUAGCACUUGAUCGUUUAGUAUACUGCUAUUGCUUUCUUCAUGACUUAUACAUGUUCCUAUAACUAUGAGAAUUAUGCAACUCCCAUUUACCAGAGGAACACUUUGGGUACUACCAAACGUCACAACGUAACUGGGUGAUUAUAAAGGAGUACUACAGGUGUCUACGAAGGUACAUGUUGAGUUGGCGUAUUUCGAGAUUAGGUUUUGUCACUCCGAUUGUCGAAGAGGUAUCUCUGGGCCCUCUCGGUAAUGCACAUCACUAUAAGCCUUGCAAGCAAUGUGACCAAUGAGUUGGUUAUGGGAUGAUGCAUUACGUAACGAGUAAAGAGACUUGCCGGUAACGAGAUUGAAUUAGGUAUUGGAUACCGACGAUCAAAUCUCGAGCAAGUAACAUACCGAUGACAAAGGGAACAACGUAUGUUGUUAUGCGGUUUGACCGAUAAAGAUCUUCGUAGAAUAUGUAGGAACCAAUAUGAGCAUCCAGGUUCCGCUAUUGGUUAUUGACCGAGAAUAGUUCUAGGUCAUAUCUACAUAGUUCUCGAAGCCGUAGGGUCCGCAUGCUUAAACGUUACGAUGACAGUUUAUUAUGAGUUUAUAAGUUUUGAUGUACCGAAGUUUGUUCGGAGUCCCGGAUGUGAUCACGGACAUAACGAGGAGUCUCGAAAUGGUCAAGACAUAAAGAUCGAUAUAUUGGAAGCCUAUAUUUGGACAUUGGAAUCGUUCCGGGUGAAAUCGGCAUUUUACCGGAGUACCGGGAGGUUACCGGAACCCCCCGAGGGUUUAUUGGGCCUACAUGGGCCUCGAGGGAGAAGAGGGAAGGAGGCGGGAGGGGGCCGCGCGCCCCUCCCCUUCCUAGUCUGAAUAGGACAAGGGAAGGGGGGCGGCGCCCCCCUUUCCUUCCCCUCUUCCUCCUCCUUCCCCCCUUCUCCUACUCCAACUUGGAAAGAAGGGAGUCCUACUCCCGGUGGGAGUAGGACUCCCCCCUUGGCGCGCCCUCCUUGGCCGGCCGCCUCCUCCCCCCUGGCUCCUUUAUAUACGGGGGCGGGGGGGCACCCCAAAGACACACAAGUUGAUCUACGGAUCGUUCCUUAGCCGUGUGCGGUGCCCCCCUCCACCAUAUUCCACCUCGGUCGUAUCGUCGCGGAGUUUAGGCGAAGCCCUGCGCCAGUAGAACAUCAUCACCGUCACCACGCCGUCGUGCUGACGGAACUCAUCUUCGGAGCUUUGCUAGAUCGGAGUUCGGAGAUCGUCAUCGAGUUAAACAUGUGCUGAACUCGGAGGUGCCGUACAUUCGGUGCUUGGAUCGGUCAGAUCGUGAAGACGUACGACUACAUCAACCGCGUUGUGCUAACGCUUCCGCUUACGGUCUACGAGGGUACGUGGACAACACUCUCCCCUCUCGUUGCUAUACCAUCACCAUGAUCUUGCAUGUGCGUAGGAAUUUUUUUGAAAUUACUACGUUCGCCAACAGUGGCAUCCGAGCCUAGGUUUUAUGCGUUGAUGUUAUAUGCACGAGUAGAACACAAGUGAGUUGUGGGCGAUACAAGUCAUACUGCUUACCAGCAUGUCAUACUUUGGUUCAGCGGUAUUGUGAGAUGAAGCGGUCCGAACCGACAUUACGCGUACGCUUACGCGAGACUGGUUUCACCGUUACGAGCACUCGUGCUUAAAGGUGGCUGGCGAGUGUCUGUCUCUCUCACUUUAGCUAAAUCGAGUGUGGCUACGCCCGGUCCUUGCGAAGGUUAAAACAACACUAACUUGACGAACUAUCGUUGUGGUUUUUGAUGCGUAGGUAAGAACGGUUCUUGCUAAGCCCGUAGCAGCCACGUAAAAUUUGCAACAACAAAGUAGAGGACGUCUAACUUGUUUUUGCAGGGCAUGUUGUGAUGUGAUAUGGUCAAGACGUGAUGCUAUAUUUUAUUGUAUGAGAUGAUCAUGUUUUGUAACCGAAGUUAUCAGCAACUGGCAGGAGCCAUAUGGUUGUCGCUUUAUUGUAUGAAAUGCAAACGCCCUGUAAUUGCUUUACUUUAUCACUAAGCGGUAGCGAUAGUCGUAGAAGCAAUAGAUGGCGUAACGACAACGAUGCUACGAUGGAGAUCAAGGUGUCGCGUCGGUGACGAUGGUGAUCACGACGGUGCUUCGGAGAUGGAGAUCACAAGCACAAGAUGAUGAUGGCCAUAUCAUAUCACUUAUAUUGAUUGCAUGUGAUGUUUAUCCUUUAUGCAUCUUAUCUUGCUUUGAUUGAUGGUAGCAUUUUAAGAUGAUCUCUCACUAAAUAAUCAAGAAGUGUUCUCCCUGAGUAUGCACCGUUGCGAAAGUUCUUCGUGCUGAGACACCACGUGAUGAUCGGGUGUGAUAGGCUCUACGUUCAAAUACAAUGGGUGCAAAACAGUUGCACGCGUGGAAUACUCAGGUCAUACUUGACGAGCCUAGCAUAUACAGAUAUGGCCUCGGAACACGGAGACCGAAAGGUCGAACGUGAAUCAUAUAGUAGAUAUGAUCAACAUAGUGAUGUUCACCAUUGAAACUACUCCAUCUCACGUGAUGAUCGGACAUGGUUUAGUUGAUUUGGAUCACGUGAUCACUUAGAUGACUAGAGAGAUGUCUGUCUAAGUGGGAGUUCUUAAGUAAUAUGAUUAAUUGAACUUAAAUUUAUCAUGAACUUAGUACCUGAUAGUAUUUUGCUUGUCUAUGUUUUUUUGUAGGUAGAUGGCUCGUGCUGUUGUUCCGUUGAAUUUUAAUGCGUUCCUUGAGAAAGCAAAGUUGAAAGAUGAUGGUAGCAAUUACACGGACUGGGUCCGUAACCUGAGGAUUAUCCUCAUUGUUGCACAAAAAAGUUACGUCCUGGAAGCACCGCUGGGUGCCAGGCCUGCUGCUGAUGCAACUGACGACGUUAAGAACGUCUGGCAGAGCAAAGCUGAUGACUACUCGAUAGUUCAGUGUGCCAUGCUUUACGGCUUAGAACCGGGUCUUCAACGACAUUUUGAACGUCAUGGAGCAUAUGAGAUGUUCCAGGAGUUGAAGUUAAUAUUUCAAGCAAAUGCCCGGAUUGAGAGAUAUGAAGUCUCCAAUAAGUUCUACAGCUGCAAGAUGGAGGAGAAUAGUUCUGUCAGUGAACACAUACUCAAAAUGUCUGGGUAUAAUAAUCACUUGAUUCAACUGGGAGUUAAUCUUCCUGAUGAUAGUGUCAUUGACAGAAUUCUCCAAUCACUGCCACCAAGCUACAAGAGCUUCGUGAUGAACUAUAAUAUGCAAGGGAUGAACAAGACUAUUCCCGAGCUCUUCGUAAUGCUAAAAGCUGCGGAGGUAGAAAUCAAGAAGGAGCAUCAAGUGUUGAUGGUUAACAAGACCACCAGUUUCAAGAAAAAGGGCAAAGGGAAGAAGAAAGGGAAUUUCAAAAGGAACGGCAAGCAAGUUGCUGCUCAAGAGAAGAAACCCAAGUCUGGACCUAAGCCUGAAACUGAGUGCUUCUACUGCAAGCAGACUGGACACUGGAAGCAGAACUGCCCCAAGUAUUUGGCGGAUAAGAAGGAUGGCAAAGUGAACAAAGGUAUAUGUGAUAUACAUGUUAUUGAUGUGUACCUUACUAAUGCUCGUAGUAGCACCUGGGUAUUUGAUACCGGUUCUGUUGCUAAUAUUUGCAACUCGAAACAGGGACUACGGAUUAAGCGAAGAUUGGCUAAGGACGAGGUGACGAUGCGCGUGGGAAAUGGUUCCAAAGUCGAUGUGAUCGCGGUCGGCACGCUACCUCUACAUCUACCAUCGGGAUUAGUUUUAGACCUAAAUAAUUGUUAUUUGGUGCCAGCGUUGAGCAUGAACAUUAUAUCUGGAUCUUGUUUGAUGCGAGACGGUUAUUCAUUUAAAUCAGAGAAUAAUGGUUGUUCUAUUUAUAUGAUUAAUAUCUUUUAUGGUCAUGCACCCUUGAAGAGUGGUCUAUUUUUAUUGAAUCCCGAUAGUAGUGAUACACAUAUUCAUAGUGUUGAAACCAAAAGAUGCAGAGUUGAUAACGAUAGUGCAACUUAUUUGUGGCACUGCCGUUUAGGCCAUAUCGGUGUAAAGCGCAUGAAGAAACUCCAUACUGAUGGACUUUUGGAAUCACUUGAUCAUGAAUCACUUGGUACUUGCGAACCGUGCCUCAUGGGCAAGAUGACUAAAACGCCGUUCUCCGGAACUAUGGAGCGAGCAACUGAUUUGUUGGAAAUCAUACAUACUGAUGUUUGUGGUCCAAUGAAUGUUGAGGCUCGCGGCGGAUAUCGAUAUUUUCUCACCUUCACAGAUGAUUUGAGCAGAUAUGGAUAUAUCUACUUAAUGAAACACAAGUCUGAAACAUUUAAAAAGUUCAAAGAAUUUCAGAGUGAAGUGGAAAAUCAUCGUAACAAGAAAAUAAAGUUUCUACGAUCUGAUCGUGGAGGAGAAUAUUUGAGUUACGAGUUUGGUCUACACUUGAAACAAUGCGGAAUAGUUUCGCAACUCACGCCACCCGGAACACCACAACGAAAUGGUGUGUCCGAACGUCGUAAUCGCACUUUACUAGAUAUGGUGCGAUCUAUGAUGUCUCUUACUAAUUUACCGCUAUUGUUUUGGGGUUAUGCUUUAGAGACGGCCGCAUUCACGUUAAAUAGGGCACCAUCAAAAUCCGUUGAGACGACACCUUAUGAACUGUGGUUUGGCAAGAAACCAAAGUUGUCGUUUCUUAAAGUUUGGGGCUGCGAUGCUUAUGUGAAGAAACUUCAACCAGAUAAGCUCGAACCCAAAUCGGAGAAAUGUAUCUUCAUAGGAUACCCAAAAUAAACUAUUGGGUACACCUUCUAUCACAGAUCUGAAGGCAAGAUUUUCGUUGCUAAAAUCGGAUCCUUUCUAGAGAAGGAGUUUCUCUCGAUAGAAGUGAAUGGGAGGAAAGUAGAACUUGAUGAGAUAACUGUAUCUACUCCCUUAUUGGAAAGUAGUUCAUCACAAGAACCAGUUCCUGUGACAACUACACCAAUCAGUGAGGAAGCUAAUGAUAUUGAUCAUGGAACUUCAGAUCAAGUUUCGACUGAACCUCGUAGGUCUAUCAGAGUAAGAUCCGCACCAGAGUGGUACGAUAAUCCUGUUCUGGAAGUCAUGUUACUUGACCAUGAUGAACCUACGAACUAUGAGGAAGCGAUGAUGAGCCCAGAUUCCGCAAAAUGGCUAGAGGCUAUGAAAUCUGAGAUGGGAUCCAUGUAUGAAAACAAAGUAUGGACUUUGGUUGACUUGCCCGAUGAUCGGCAAGCCAUUGAGAAUAAAUGGAUCUUUAAGAAGAAGACUGACGUUGAUGGUAAUGUAACUGUCUAUAAAGCUCGACUUGUUGCAAAAGGUUUUCGACAAGUUCAAGGGGUUGACUACGAUGAGACUUUCUCACCCGUAGCGAUGCUUAAGUCUGUCCGAAUCAUGUUAGCUAUUGCUGCAUUUCAUGAUUAUGAAAUUUGGCAAAUGGAUGUCAAAACUGCAUUCUUGAAUGGAUUUCUAGAAGAAGAGUUGUAUAUGAUGCAGCCAGAAGGUUUUGUUGAUCCAAAAAGUGCUAACAAAGUGUGCAAGCUCCAGCGAUCCAUUUAUGGACUGGUGCAAGCAUCUCGGAGUUGGAAUAAACAUUUUGAUAGUGUGAUCAAAGCAUAUGGUUUUAUACAGACUUUUGGGGAAGCCUGUAUUUACAAGAAAGUGAGUGGGAGCUCUGUAGCAUUUCUGAUAUUAUAUGUAGAUGAUAUAUUAUUAACUGGAAAUGAUAUAGAAUUUCUGGAUAGCAUAAAGGGAUACUUGAAUAAAAGUUUUUCAAUGAAAGACCACGGUGAAGCUUCUUACAUAUUGGGCAUCAAGAUCUAUAGAGAUAGAUCAAGACGCUUAAUAGGACUUUCACAAAGCACAUACCUUGACAAAAUUUUGAAAAAGUUCAAAAUGGAUCAGGCAAAGAAAGGGUUCUUGCCUGUGCUACAAGGUGUAAAGUUGAGUCAAACUCAAUGCCCGACCACAGCAGAAGAUAGAGAGAAAAUGAAAGAUGUUCCCUAUGCUUCAGCCAUAGGCUCUAUCAUGUAUGCAAUGCUGUGUACCAGACCUGACGUAUGCUUAGCAAUAAGCUUGGCAGGAAGGUACCAAAGUAAUCCAGGAGUGGAUCACUGGACAGCGGUCAAGAACAUCCUGAAAUACCUGAAAAGGACUAAGGAUAUGUUUCUCGUAUAUGGAGGUGACAAAGAGCUAGUCGUAAAUGGUUACGUCGAUGCAAGCUUUGACACUGAUCCGGACGAUUCUAAAUCGUAAACCGGAUACGUGUUUUUAUUAAACGGUGGAGCUGUAAGUUGGUGCAGUUCUAAACAAAGCAUCGUGGCCGGAUCUACAUGUGAAGUGGAGUACAUAGCUGCUUCUGAAGUAGCAAAUGAAGGAGUUCAUUUCCGAUCUAGGUGUCAUACCUAGUGCAUCGGGACCAAUGAAGAUCUUCUGUGACAAUACUGGUGCAAUUGCCUUGGCAAAGGAAUCCAGAUUUCACAAGAGGACCAAGCACAUCAAGAGACGCUUCAAUUGCAUUCGGGACCAAGUCCAAGUGGGAGACAUAGAGAUUUGCAAGAUACAUACAAAUCUGAAUGUUGCAGACCCGUUGACUAAGCCUCUCUCACGAGCAAAACAUGAUCAGCACCAAGACUCCAUGGGUGUUAGAAUCAUUACUAUGUAAUCUAGAUUAUUGACUCUAGUGCAAGUGGGAGACUGAAGGAAAUAUGCCCUAGAGGCAAUAAUAAAGUUAUUAUUUAUUUCCUCAUAUCAUGAUAAAUGUUUAUUAUUCAUGCUAGAAUUGUAUUAACUGGAAACAUGAUACAUGUGUGAAUACAUAGACAAACAUAUAGUCACUAGUAUGCCUCUACUUGACUAGCUCAUUAAUCAAAGAUGGUUAUAUUUCCUAACCAUAGACAUGUGUUGUCAUUUGAUUAGUGGGAUCACAUCAUUAGAAGAAUGAUGUGAUUGACAUGACCCAUUCCGUUAGCCUAGCACUUGAUCGUUUAGUAUACUGCUAUUGCUUUCUUCAUGACUUAUACAUGUUCCUAUAACUAUGAGAAUUAUGCAACUCCCAUUUACCAGAGGAACACUUUGGGUACUACCAAACGUCACAACAUAACUGGGUGAUUAUAAAGGAGUACUACAGGUGUCUCCGAAGGUACAUGUUGAGUUGGCGUAUUUCGAGAUUAGGUUUUGUCACUCCGAUUGUCGAAGAGGUAUCUCUGGGCCCUCUCGGUAAUGCACAUCACUAUAAGCCUUGCAAGCAAUGUGACCAAUGAGUUGGUUACGGGAUGAUGCAUUACGUAACGAGUAAAGAGACUUACCGGUAACGAGAUUGAACUAGGUAUUGGAUACCGACGAUCAAAUCUCGAGCAAGUAACAUACCGAUGACAAAGGGAACAACGUAUGUUGUUAUGCGGUUUGACCGAUAAAGAUCUUCGUAGAAUAUGUAGGAACCAAUAUGAGCAUCCAGGUUCCGCUAUUGGUUAUUGACCGAGAAUAGUUCUAGGUCAUAUCUACAUAGUUCUCGAACCCGUAGGGUCCGCACGCUUAAACGUUACAAUGACAGUUUUAUUAUGAGUUUAUAAGUUUUGAUGUACCGAAGUUUGUUCGGAGUCCCGGAUGUGAUCACGGACAUGACGAGGAGUCUCGAAAUGGUCGAGACAUAAAGAUAGAUAUAUUGGAAGCCUAUAUUUGGACAUCGGAAUCAUUCCGGGUGAAAUCGGCAUUUUACCGGAGUACCAGGAGGUUACCGGAACCCCCCGGGGGUUUAUUGGGCCUACAUGGGCCUCGAGGGAGAAGAGGGAAGGAGGCAGGAGGGGCCGCGCGCCCCUCCCCUUCCUAGUUCGAAUAGGACAAGGGAAGGGGGGCGGCACCCCCCCUUUCCUUCCCCUCUUCCUCCUCCUUCCCCCCUUCUCCUACUCCAACUUGGAAAGAAGGGAGUCCUACUCCCGGUGGGAGUAGGACUCCCCCCUUGGCGCGCCCUCCUUGGCCGGCCGCCUCCUCUCCCUUGGCUCCUUUAUAUACGGGGGCGGGGGGGGGGGCACCCCAAAGACACACAAGUUGAUCUACGGAUCGUUCCUUAGCCAUGUGCGGUGCCCCCCCUCCAUCAUAUUCCACCUCGGUCGUAUCGUCGCGGAGUUUAGGCGAAGCCCUGCGCCGGUAGAACAUCAUCACCGUCACCACGCCGUCGUGCUGACGGAACUCAUCUCCGGAGCUUUGCUGGAUCGGAGUCCGGAGAUCGUCAUCGAGCUGAACGUGUGCUGAACUCGGAGGUGCCGUACGUUCGGUGCUUGGAUCGGUCGGAUCGUGAAGACAUAGGACUACAUCAACCGCGUUGUGCUAACGCUUCCGCUUACGGUCUACGAGGGUACGUGGACAACACUCUCCCCUCUCAUUGCUAUACCAUCACCAUGAUCUUGCGUGUGCGUAGGAAUUUUUUUGAAAUUACUACGUUCCCCAACAAUCACUAAUCGCUCCCCUAAACUACGACGAAAGAAUGCGUUGUCUUUCCAAGGGUGGAGAUGUCAACAUGCUCAUAACGGACCAGUGCAUGAGUUUUGCAAGGGAGAUAAUGCGAACGUCAAUUAAUUAGGCUUGUUCACUUGCUUUGGUUAUAUCUUAAGUUACUACCUUAUCAGUUACCAUAAUAUUAGGUUCCAUGUUUGUGUGAUUCUUAUAAGAUUAGACUCGCUAUUUUAGGGGCAAAAGGCAAUAAUUUUUAUCUCUCUUAUCUCUACUGCAUGUGUUGUCAUCCUACACAUCCUCUCAAUUCUACAAAUCCUCUUUCCCCUUUGAUCUCGUACCAUCGCGGCCCUAGGACAUAAGGUUCGAUGACAUAAGUAACGUCUUGCGUUGCCAACUUAAUUUCCAAGGUCAAGCAACGAGGAUGUGGCAACUUGGCAUCAAAGCCAUUGUCGUUGUUUAUCAAUAAGCAACAAAUGUGGCCAUGACUCAGCUCGAACUAAAAUAUAAGUAUCAAAGCGUGCACGGAGCAACCGAACCAAAUUGUUUAUUAUGUGUAACAACUAACCAUUAGCAACACAAAAUUUGUUGUCAUGCACUACGAACCCACAAACAUCAAUGUGUUCUGCAUGUGAGCAUGUUCUUGAGAAGAACGCGACACCCGUCAUUGGGCCCUUAGACAUACAUGACAUGCUGACAACACCGGCAAGAUCCAAGUUGUUGUUAUCAACAUACAUAGCCACACAAACAUCAUUGCGAAUUCCUCAUGUCGUCGAUGUUGCUGUUAUUUUGGCAUCACCGUUGUUGUUAACCGCCAGGAUGCUCAUCAUGUAUCUUGCCAAGUUGGAGUUGCUUGAGCUUUGCUCACAUUUGCUACCUCAUACUAAAUGUUUGUGACCACCGCUAGAAAGGGCUUAUGCCUCAAAUAAGAGGAGUCAUUCUGCUGAGGUUAAGACUGGUUGCUGGCCAAUUACAACAUGAUGAUAAGUUGUCUUGCUAGUGAAAGAAAUGUGGAUGCACAUGGCAUGCAAGAGAAGCAUAUAGUCAACUCUUUUUUCCGAAAAGAAUAUAAUCAACACUUAGUCAUCUUCGUUUAUUUUUUUGGCCCACUUGUAUUUGAGUCGAUUAUCUUCCUUGACUGCCCAAUAAUAUUGCAUGAUCUCCUUUAUACGCACACUUUGUCCUACCAAACUUCUACAUUAUUGUUUUCUGUGCCAUAUUUCACUCUUUGUGUCUUUGUCAAGGCACCAUGGAAUUAUAUUUUUGCAUCUUGUUUCUCGUCCUACUAUCCAUCACACUUCUUACUGUAUUCCCCAUCAGGACACAAUAGUGUUCACUCGGAAUCUAGUCUAUGUUAAAUAGAGGGUAUCUAUGGUGAAUCAAGCUGGUGGUAGUGUGAACUUGUACAAUUGGUGUUAAGAGUUUAGAGAAGGUGUGGGCCAUGGGCUGCUUGAGGUUUAGAGCAAACGCUCCAAAAGCCAGGUCUCGCAGUAAUAUUGGUAAGUCGUCAUAACUUGUCCUACUUAAAGGGGUGGAUAUCAGAUACGCGUUAAAAAUUCUAACUGAGAAUUUGAUAUCGUGAUCUGUUUCCUUCAAUAUGAUAGAAAAGUCAGUCAUCAAUCAGAACCAAAGUAAUUAAUCCCUAUUUACUGGUAAUAAGGUAGGGCUGAGGCAAUCAUGAGGAACCCCUUUAGUUUGAACUUAACACAAUCUUUCAUUGACAACAUUCAGUAUGUAAAAUAAGUAUAAUCCGAAUGUGUAAGGUUUUCCUUUUCAAUUAAUUUGGCCUCUACUUGCAACUUCUGGUUUAUUUUUCUGUUCAUAAUUUGUAUAAUGUGAAGUCUUAGACUGGCCGGGUAGUUUAUUUUCCAGAACAUGAAUUAGCUGAAAAUGUUCUCUUACCAUUUCAAGCAUAAACUGAUUGUUUAUUUUACUAAUUACCACAACCAAACUGAGCCUAAUUCAGUUGGUGUGGGAGGUGUAGACGUAUGCAUCAUCACUUAGGUCCGAGUUUCAUUUGACAGGUGAGUUACGGUGCCUUUCUUAUACUUCUGCUUUGUCAUGUGAUGUGUUAAAAGUCAAAGCUUUGUUCAGAAAAAAAAAGGUAUAUAGAUGUUCUGUAUUAAUAUUCUUCUUGUACUUCCCAACUGUGCCAGAAUCAGAGGAGCUGCAACGUGUUCAUAGGACCACUCCUGUUAUGGUAGACAAUGGAGUAAAAUACUGGAAGCUGGGUGGCUAUUGUAAUAACAAUACAAACAUAAUGCGUCAAGGUUUGUAAUUAUUUUGAGGUAAGUUUUUAUUUUACUCAUUAGCAAUAUAUAUAUAUAGUGACUAGCAAUACCAUGUUUUUAUCAGAAUUCGUUGACGAAAAUAGAACCAAGAACAAAGACAUGUGGUUCAUGUUCACUGAAGACGAACAUAAAAUAGUUGAAGAUCAUGUAACUACAAGGUAACGAGUUCACCUUACCAAUUUAUUUUUCAGCAUCUUGCUAUCCAAAAGCUUGUAUAUAUAUUCCUGUCUUACGUUGUCAAAAGGCUUUCCUUGGCAAUUCAUUUCACAUGUUCAUGAAAAGCAGUAGCCAGCACUCACCAUCACCAGUAUUUCUUCUGCAUGUUACCUAUCUACCACCACUUUCUCCUGCCAUCAUGAUCUGAUGCUUCCAUUACCUGCUAUUCAGGGGGCAUCUAGGGUUGGGGUUGUUCUACUAUCCCAUGUGGGAACUAACAAGAUGAACAAAUUUUGAUUGGUGAUAUGGUUAUUUUUUAGGAAGGUUACCGAUUUACUUUGAAAGGUUCUCAAAAUAAGCUUAGGUGAACUUUUUUUACUACUUGUGUUUUUUCGGAUGCUUGAAUAAUGUAGUCUGGAGCCCCUAAACAGAUAGUUUAUGCCUUAAUUUCAUGCAGUUUUGGUCCUCUGUUUCUUUUUGGAAAUGUGUAGCCUGAGUCUUAGCUUCUUUACAUUUGGUCUCGAGAUAAAAUAUUCUUUGUAUACUAUACUAUUAUAACCAAUAUAUAACAGAAAACGGUAAACGGAGAGAAUAUACUGAAACGGAAACAAAAAUUUGCAAAAUAGAAAUGAAAAUGGAAUUUUUUACGCGGAAACGGAAAAAACGGAGCAAUGCUUUCCUGCAGAGCAGACACGGAAACGGAACCUUUCGUUUUUCUAAAUAUGGAAUUUCCGUUUAUACUAUGGGCCAAUGACUGCUUUGUAACUCAAUCAUCAAACAACACAUAAUGAGACAGUGAGCAGAAUGGUCCAUGUGAGGCCCAACUUAUACUAUACCACACAUGUACUCAACAAGAUCAACACAAUUAUCGAGUGCUAUUACAAUACUAUGCUAAGUCACUAACCUAAUCAUAUACCACUAUAAAACCUAAUCAUAUUAUUUUAUAGCUAUGCUAAAAUUGGUUAAGUUUUUUUGGCUUGCUUAUGUUUUUCUCUAUGGUUCAAGGGGUUUUCAAGUAUCCGUCAACAUCCGCUUUCCUUGACGUGCAUGCUCCAUAUUCGCACCAUGUUUGUUUCCUGUUUCAUCUAUUUUCAUAUUCAUUUUCGGGGUUUUGGUAUUCAUUUCUGCUUCCGCAAACAAAAUAUGAAAACAAAUGUGGUGGCACUCGGUUCCAUUUGUUUUCGCUCUAUUUUCAUCCCUAGUUUCAGGAUACACCACAUUUUCUUUUACAACCACAUCGUCACUAUUUAUGUUCUAACAGCAAAGCGUAUAUAAACCCCUGCCCAUGCUAUAUAUAUCAGGAAACAUACGUAAAAUAUAAUAGCGGAGAUGUGCAGAAAUUUGCACAGGGGGUCUCAGUUUGUUUCUUAAAACCCCUUGCCCAUGCUAGAUCAGGAAAAAGCUAGUUCGUAUAACAGAAUAUUGCUUAUGCUAGUGUUGCUGGCAUUGCCCCGGAAAUAAUACUUUUAGCUAGUUUAUAUAAGUUAGAUAGGAUAAAACCAUAUUUUAUAUAUGCCACCAUAGCGUGUGUCAUUGCAUCGAACUACUAAGUAUUUACGCUCUUAGUAUCAUUGAUGAUUAUUGAUCUAAGUAUUUAGUUCAGAGUGGGAGUUGUGAAUUCUUCUCAUCUUGUGUUGAUGUUCUGUUUUGGCAGGUGAAUGUACUACCUACCCUAGCCAAGACCUGGGAACAUGUGCAAUGGCAGUAUAUUUAUACAUGAAAGUUCUAUACAGUUGCAGAACAACCAACAGUUCUCAAAGAUUUAGUCGCAGCGUUCGAAUACAGACCUUGUGGCAUGUUUGUCCUUUUCCAUAUGGAAACUCAGCAUGACUUUGUAGCACCUUCUAAAAUAUGUACCCUGGAUGUUGGGAAAUUGAGAGAAAUUUAUCAUUAGCAUUUGAUUGGCGUACACUUAAAUUUACAUGUUUGUGUCGUAUUUAUGUAAUUAUUAAUCGUACUAUAGCAGCAAAGGAUUAUUUCUAGUCUCGAACCUGAGAGAUUUAAUAGAUUAUUUGUGCCUUGUUUGGUUUGUGCCCUAGGCAGUUGGUUUGGGGUACGGUCGGUUCACUCGGAGGACCCCUCCUCGCAAUUUGAAGGCUAGCAUAAUAUAUUUUCUCUAAACAUCAUCAUAAUCUUAACAUAUAGUCUUAAACCAGCAUUUACUUGUAAGAUAUUUAGUGUUAAAUACACAGAACCAUUUUUUGCAAUCUUUAGGGGGUCCCAUGGCUCCCCCUAGAUCCGCCUUCAGCAGAACCUAGCCGGAGAUGAGAACAAUGCGGAUAGCCUGCGAGUGAGCACAAGGCUACCUUUGUUUACGCUACCGCUGGCAUUAGAUAGCCACUGAGCCGGAGAAGGGGACGACACGGUCGGACACAGUGUUUUGACAGGAGCUCGCCGGGGAUGACCUAGGGGAGAUCGGAGAGAAAUCGGCUAAGGAAGAGAGAUCGUGCUAUGCGUUCUUAUUGAGCUGAAAAACGGUUAGUUGGAGGAAGAAGAAACAUAUCCAACUGUUUAUUGGGGUGAAGGAUCUGAAGAUGAGCAUUUUGAUUCAUGGGAAGCCAAUUAAAGCGCAUACGUAACUUCUACUACCCAAAAACCCUAGCUAAAGGCUUCCCAUCUUUGACUUGUAAGAUGGAAGGGAUGUCAUUAAGAAACAGUAUAAUGGAUUGAGCUACAGCUGCUCACAGCGUUUUGACGUCCAUGACCGUUUGAUUAGAUCGAUCGGUUGUCCUCGAGCCUCGCGCAUGGUGUUUCUAGGGCCGCUGCUCCACAAACUUACCUAGGCCUGUUAUAGUCGAUCGGGCUGGAAAUAAAAGAUGGGUCGGACCUGGCCUGGUGAUACUCUUCCUUGCGAGCCUCUUUUUGGCCCUGCACCGUACUAGAGAUUCCUCGGCCGGCUGGUCACCAGUCUACAUAUUAUUGAACGAUAAAUUUAUUAAAAUUUACAUCUAGCCUGACGCAAGUACUCAUGUUCCUCUCACAUUUCACACGGAGAUCUAUCAGGUAUACUACACAACCAACUCUUGAUGCUUUUUCUGGCCACCACCGGUAGAACCAAAUACAUACAUGUAUUUUUCAUUUUGAUAUGAUUUGCUAAAAUUCAACAAAAUUUGAAAUUUUGAUUUCUUUGAACGAUUUUGUCUUUAAAAUAAUCGAGACUUUUCCAAGAUUACUGUCUUCUUACGGAAAUCGACAAUUCGGGAGUUUUAGAAAAAGAAUAUGAAUAUGUCUUCUUUAUAUAUGUAUAUAGUCCAAAUCUCUCAGAUAUUAUUACGCUUCUCUCUAGAUAGAAGGGCGUGGCAACUCACGUGAAGAUGUUCUUUUUCUAUGAUGCAUGUGAAGGAUGAGUUCAUUUUGGCCAGUCUUUGCACAUAUUACAACUUACUUUUGUACUGUCUCCAUAAUCUGAAAUUAGAUGGAUGGUUACUUUGAAGAUAUAAUUAAAUAAUAUGGUGGGAGAUAGAACAGAAUUGUGAUGGUUCCAAAUAGUCCAAUAUCUAAAUUUUCUCAUAUUGUUCUAUCAUUCUUUCAUUAAGAUGUCUUAUUAUUAUGUGAAAAUGUCUCCAAGGUGGGCCGGCACGGCAACGCGCGCCUUUAUGGUCUAGUAGAGCUCUGUGCCAGCAACGGUGUGUGUUCUUCUGGUAUUCACAUGUAGUGGGUCUACAACAGAUACUGGGGGUCGAUCUAGCUAAACUCAUGUGGCAGCAUAGGUUGUUCGCGACUCAGGGUUCUGCAACAUACGGUGGUGACUUUAGUGGAGGUCAUCAAUACUCAAAGCUUAAGGCGGAUGUUAAUCGCUAGCCAACGCAUGGGGUUUUGGGACGGUCCCCUUAGUGGACUUAUGACGGCACCCGUCACCUCCCAUAAUAGGUGGGCCAUGGGUCCUGGCGGCAACGGGCAUUCUUGUCUAUGGGAUAGGUGUCUCUUAGCACAACUCAAAACCUAGCUAGUGUACAUCGGCAUGUCCGUUCACGUGGCGAUACACAUGUCAGGGGUGCGUGUGUGAGCGACUAUCGUACCAGGGAAUUCUUCCUUCGGAGUUGGGGCGACAAGAAGCGCGAGUUCGGUUUAGUGGUGCUCUUCGUGUACAGAUUCUUGAGCUAUGGAGCAAAAACUCUAGGUCUGGCCUUCACUGGUGUUUUCCCAGCGAGGUCACAACGUUUGAUGGCCCAAGGUUAAAGCUGAGUUUAGCAAUGCGAUCCAGUCUUAUUCCCAUCCCCUCGUCCUCAUCUCGGUACUUCCUCCUCUAAAAAGAGGUGCGUUUGACUGGCAACUCGUCGUGUUGCCAUAAACGAUGAGGCGUUGUUGCUGACAAUGCCUCAUAAGCACUCACUAUUGACAUCGGCACAUAAGGUACAUCGCAAACCAUCGGCGUGGUCAUGUACACCUAAAACUUACAAGACGGGCGAGUGAUGACACAUUAAGUGGUACUACAAUUUACUAUAUCCGUUCUUUGGCGGAAUGGCUACUAGUAAGAUCUGAUGUCUUCAUAAUCAAUAUGAUGAAAAGUUGAAGAAGAAGAACAUUCAUGUUUGAUGUGAGAUCCACGGUGAAGAUGCAACAUGCAAGGCAAUUAUAUAUAGGGAUUUAGAGUUGUAGUUUACCGUGUGUAUAUAAUGUUACCUGGCGAAUGUUCGCCAGAAACACAUGGCAUUUCGAAUGAUUUUGAUGUCAUUUCUAGUUGUGUGGGGAUGACAGUUUCGUCAGAGCGACGUGACAUUUUCUAGGAAGAUGAAAGUUUUUAAGACUUCAUUCCAGAAAAUGCCAUGUCGCUUUGAAAAAACUACCACCACACAUACACCAAAAAUGCCAUGAAAAUCGUUCGAAAUGUCACCUGUUCCUGGCGAACAUUCGCCAGAGAUGAGGGUCCUAUAUUUAAUGUUCCUAUCUACUGAUCAUAGUGUUCAACACACGAAAAAAAAGGAAAGGCUCUCGGCCCCCGCGUCGUCCCAAAGGGCGACACGGGCGGCUCCCCCGACCCACCGCCGCCAGGCCCCUCUACUCCGCCCUUCCUACCUCACCGUUGCCAGCGUUCCCACCGGGCAAAGUCCCGACAUGGGUAGGCGGCGGGUUGGUCUCCGUUUCCUCUCCCUCCCUCUCCUCUAGCCCUCCCUAACCCUAGUUGCUGCUGUCGGUGCGGGCUCCUUUGUCGCGCUGCUGGAGGUGCUCUGCUCGGGAGGCGAUGGUCACGGCCAGAGAGUUGGCGUCGUGUUGCCAUCUCUCUCCUCGACUUGGUGGUGCUCCGACCUUGCACCCGCCCCGGCCCAGAUCUGGGGUCCGGCAGGGCUCUCCGACCCGGUUGGUGGUCGCAGCCUGUGGGGCUGUGGCCGCCGCCUCCUUCGUGUGGUGGGUCACGGCAGGGGUGCCGGUGGCCGCCUCGACUGGCCUGGCGCCAGGGGUUGAUGCCUCAAGUGAUGACCCCUGUCUAGAUCUUGGGCAGGGUGGGGUCCGGUGAGCCGGAUGGGCGGCCGUGACCAGGGGUCGUGGCUGCCAUCUUUCGUGCGUAGUUUGGAGCUCCUAUCGUCGGCUGGUUUUCCCCUUCCAGUGAGGGUCGUGGUGGAUCUACUUCGCUGGGUGAAAUCUGUGUUGACCAGCGGUGGUGCUGAGUGUGGAGGCCCUCGGAUGCUGGGGCGGUGGCCCUGGAUGGCGAGGCCGCGCGUUUAGCUCUAUGGCAAGCAGCGUAGCGGUGGUGGUGGCAUUUCUCCUUGGUCGUGUGGAUGGCGAGGAGGGAGGCGGCAGGAAACCUGGUGGUGGUGGUGCUUCGGCAGCGGUGUUGCCCAGAUCAUGUCAUGGAGGUCUGUUUUGGUGGCGGCGGACUUGGAUCGUGGUACCUCGGUGUGGCACGAUGAGACUCCGAGAAAAAGCUUCACGCUUCGUCGCCAGCGGCGGCGAUGCCUGUGGGUGUCACGUCCCUCUUGGGGGCGUCAUUGUGGUUCUCCUUCCGUGUCAGGGCUUUGGGUGAAAACCCUCGACCGUCUUUCGGUCGCAGCGACGGCGGCGUGUGGCGUUGCCACCCUCUUGGAGGCAUUGCCGUGGAGCUCAGGCACCCUUCGGUUACGUCUCGUCAACAUCGGCGGGCGAACUCAGAUCCUCUUUCUCGAUGCCCCCUCGGCUCUGGCAAGAGGCGUUCCUAGCGGCUUCUUAGUCUCUCUUGGAAGCACGAGUUCUCUUCUUGUCAGUAGCCUAGUUUUAUCUUUGAUCUGCUUUGUAAGAGGAUUUUCCUCAUCACCUUGUAUCGGUUCGGCCAUGUUGCUUUAUAUACAAAGCGGGGUGAAAGCCUUUUUGAGUAAUGUUCCUGUCUACUUUGUAGAAAGUAUAGGCAGGAGUUACAUUAAACUUGGGUCUGCUUAGAGGGUCCGGUGGUCUCCGAAUCAAGCUCAUGUAACUGGGUCGUGAGAAGCGGCUGAUUGAUUAUUGCAAACUAUAGCCGACUUCGGAGUCGACUCCGGUUCUGAUUACAACUAGCACCCAAGCAGGCUUGCUCUACAAAUACAUCCUCCCCCUUCGACUAGCAGGCAAGAUCAGAUCACAUCGAUUCCAAAACACCAAUUUCGUACUAUCUCAUCUGCAACUAAAAAUGGGAUCUAUGGACGACUCAAGGAUGUAUAAGCGGCAGAAGCGCAAGGAGAAGCACCUCUACCUGGUGCUGGACGACUGGGACAAGGGCUUCACCAUCCGCAAGAUCGACGCGGAUAGCCCCGACGAUCACCGCCGCAGCCUCCUCGACGAACCCCCUGUCAUCCGUCUGCUCUCUCCCAAUCCUAUCCACCGCAUGGCGUUCGCCGCCCUGGGCAGCAGCCACGUCCUCGCAGCCAGCAACAAACACCCCGCCACCCUCGUCUAUGACACCGACACCGCCGGGCUGAUCACCGGCCCUCCCGUACCGGACGCGCUCCAAGACGCCUACAAAAUCUUCUUGCCCGCCGACGACAAUACGAUGUAUGCAUUUGCGUACUUCUUGGACGAGCCUCGAGCCGUGGAGGUGCUGUCUUCCACCACCAAUGAUGAUUUGCACUCCUCGGUCCCAACCAUGGACUGGUCCUGGAGAAGCACCGCACCCUCGCCGUUCACCCAGUACGAGAGGAUCUGCUCCUAUGCCGCGCACCCGGACGGACGCACCAUCUUCUUGUCUGCCUGCACCAUGUUCGGCUGCGUUCAUCAGUCCGUCCGUACCUUGUCAUUCGACACCGGCCGCUCCGAGUGGACGGCCCACGGGGACUGGGCGCUGCCUUUCAUGGACAGAGGCCACUUCGACAGCUACCUGGACGCCUGGGUUGGGCUUCACGAGGAUGGCUAUGUCGGCGCCUGCCAGGUCGCCUCCCCUGCUCCUGCGGGCGACAUGAAGAUGNNNNNNNNNNNNNNNNNNNNNNNNNNNNNNNNNNNNNNNNNNNNNNNNNNNNNNNNNNNNNNNNNNNNNNNNNNNNNNNNNNNNNNNNNNNNNNNNNNNNNNNNNNNNNNNNNNNNNNNNNNNNNNNNNNNNNNNNNNNNNNNNNNNNNNNNNNNNNNNNNNNNNNNNNNNNNNNNNNNNNNNNNNNNNNNNNNNNNNNNNNNNNNNNNNNNNNNNNNNNNNNNNNNNNNNNNNNNNNNNNNNNNNNNNNNNNNNNNNNNNNNNNNNNNNNNNNNNNNNNUGCGGCGGGGAUCUCGGCGGCUUCACCCUGUGUGGAGGGCUUCGGCUUCCGGGGUGGCGGCCCCGGACGGCGGCGCGCGACGUGGCCUGUACGGCGGGUGGCGUUGGCGGGUGCAGGUGGGCCACCUCCCUGGCCGUGAGGGCGGCGCGGAGGCGGCGGGCGACGGCUGCUGCGGCGACUUCUCGCCAGUCGUUUGCGCCCUGGAGAAGUGGCGUCUUCAACCUCGAUCCACUCCGAUUCGCGCGGAUCUCGGCCUCUGGCGGCUAUGGUCGCUGGAUCUCGUCGUCGGGUGCGCGGAUCUGGUGCUUGGGGGCGGAUCCGGGGGAAACCCCUGGCUGGUGCGGUGGCCACACCGAAGGCGGCGCCUUUGUACGUCGUUUACCUUGUUGGAGGCUUCGGUUGGACUCCUCCUCCUCCCAUCCCGUCCAAGAGCUCAGGUGAAAGCCUCAGGUCCCCUUUUCCUGGCGACAACGACAUUUUGGUGGCGUGUUCCUUCCUGAGGGUGUCGUCCGGGGAUGGCUCGAGUGGUGGUGGAGUUGGGUGUGGUUCGAGGGCGGCAAAUGAUGGCCUGAUUUCAUCAACGACAUCCUUCUCUGGUCCAGGUGCGGAGGGUUCCAGCCACAGGUUCGAGGGGAUUGGGGUCCCCGCCGCCAUGCCGGCGGUAGGCCUUCGGCGUGGCGAUUCCUAUCCUUGACCAGGGGCAUGGUGUCGCAUCCUUUUGGCCUUCUUUGAGGUUCCAGCGUCUGCGCCCGAUAACUCUCGUCCGAUGUUUUGCCUUGCUGCUGCCGACGAUGGUGUUUUGGUGGUCGGUCCUCCGUUUCAUGUGGGUAUGUCCCUGGUGCCUCUCCUUUGGCAGCCGGGGCACUCCGAUUUGGAUUCUAGGGUGAAUCACUCCGUCGGCCGCCGGUGCGGCACCCGUCGAACCCGGGUGGUAGGGUAGGGACCCUUUGCGGUGGCGGAGUCAAAUCAUGUGUGCCCUGUUUGAUCCCUUUGGCGGCAGUCAGCGAUCCUCCUGGCGCCUUCGUAGGUUAGCUAGUUUUUGGCUUUGCGUCGUUCGAUGGCAAGAGUGGUGUGCUCUUUGCCUUCGAGUUGUUCUGUUGAGCACAUUGUAUCCUUUUCUUUCCGCUUUUCUCUUUUUUAUUGUAAGUUGCAGUCUUGUACGCCUGGCCGAUUGAUGGCUUUGUUAAUUUAAAGCCGGGCUCUUUUUGAGCCUUCGUUCUAAAAAAAAAGAUGCCGCGGCUGGACUGGAAGAUGGCCAGCGAGAAGCUCUGGAGCAAGGGGACGGAAGUGGAGAUGCCCACCCUCACCUGCAUGGGCGGCGCCAAGGUUUUGCCUCGUGGGGUGUGUGGUGCGCGAGGGGAUGAGGUCUGGUUACACCGCUGAAUGCGUGCUCAACGUCACCACGUUUCACCUCAGAUACAGCCAUAAAGGGGAGCUGCAAAUCUUUGAACGCGCCACCAGGUCCUGUCAAAUGUACAAGGAGCGCUUGUCAUUUUCCCCAGUAGCGUUCUGGAUGUAGCCUGCUUGGUUAGUUCUGUGUUGUUACGGUGUUUAGAAAAGUACAGAUUUCUUAAAAGGCACUGAUAGGCGCCGGUGCGCCGGCCUAAAUUUGGGCCGGUCGCACGGCAGCCGCACGAUUAGCGCGUCAUCGACCGUCUAUCUUGCCAGCUGGCCCACGCCCUUCGUUGACUUCGUCUUUCACCACCGCGAUCCCUCUCUGCGAGUAGUUUCCUGCCCCGCCGACCACCCCGCCGGCUGCAAACCUCGAAGCAGGUCGCGCCUCACGCGACCCCUCCCCCCGCAGCGCAGUUAGGCGCCUCCCCCUCGUCGCCGGUCGUCGCCCGGCUCCAGCGGGACGCCGUCGCUCCCUCCCCCCAGCGUCCGCCGUCGACAAUGGGGAGGACGGCGUGGUUCGCAUCCAAAACAAUGGUUGUAGCAAAAAAAUGCGCUGCUUCCAGCAAACUUAAAAACGCUCGUAUCAAAAAUUGGAAAAAUGAACGUUGUUGAAGCAAAAAUCAAAGAUGCCGGUUGUAGAAAAAAUAAAGCUCGUUCCAGCAAAUCUAAAGGCAUGUGGUAGCAAAAAUGCAAAAUUUUGGCGUUGUACCAACAAAACCAAAUAAAACGAUGGUAGCAAAAAAUGUUGAUUGUUCCAGCAAAAAAAUAUUAUGAUGGUAGCAAAAAGAGUAAAUUGGGCAUGAUUCCAACAAAACCAAAAAAAAUGAUGGUAGCAAAAAAUGUUGAUGGUUCCAGCAAAUACAUAUUACGGUGGUAGCAAAAAACUGAAAAUUGGACGAUGAUGGUUCCAUCAAAUCAAAACGCCUGUAGUAGCACAAUUAGGCGCUGGUUCGAACAUCUUGUCGUCGUGGUUGUAGCACUUGUCGGGGCACGGCCAUCCACCCCGUUGCUUGCCCGUGGUCGUGGUCACCCACCCGUCGCAACUCCUCUGUCCACCGGUUGUAGCUCCCAGCGAGACCGGUUGCAGCUGUUCCCGUCCACCAGAUGCAGAUCCCCGGCGUGCUUCCUCCUCCGCCCAGCGCCGACCCGUGGUCCAUCACACGGGGGCGUCGGGGGGCAGGAAGGGAAGGGCCGACGAGCAGAGGUGAAGAGAGAUGAAGAGAGGAGCAGGGGAUGCCUCGCCGGUGGGGGCCUCGCCGGAGAAACCGCGGCGCUGGUCGAAGCCAGGCGCAUGGAUGGAGAGAGGCGAGUGGGUAUGGAUAUGUGCGAGAGAUGCUGAGGAGAGAGGCGAGCAGGGGAUGGAAGGAUAAGGCACACGUGGUUGAGAUAUAAAAGGACGGGUGUGUGCGGGCCCUGUGGCCGCGUGGCACGUAUGUGGUCGCGCGUGGUCGCUCGCGACCGGCCGAGCGUUCGGCCGGUGCGCCACAGCCAAACGUUUCCCUUUCUUGAAAGAAUCUGCCCAGCUGGUUUAGGACGGGCACAGAAAGCAACAAUUAAAGUGCCAAUAUACAUAUUAUAUUCCUUUGCUAAAUAUUUGGAAGAUUUUACUGAAGUCUGAAAGAAGUGUCGGUUUCGAUGUCGCAGUGUUUAGAAAUUACAGUUUUCCUUUAGGACAGAGAAAACAACGGUUCGUUGUGCUCCUUCUCCAUGCCCUCCCGACACACGAAGAAUUAAUGGGUGAUAAGAAACAGCCUUACAUCGCUGUUAAUUUCUCAUUCAGAGAUGAUUAACUGAUAUGAUCCGUGCGCAUGCAGAGUUCUUGAUGUAAGAAGGGUGUGUGUUGUGUUGCGUAUAUAUAGCAGGGGCGUGGCAACUAGAGGCGGUUGCGGCGUCAUCCACGCUGAGUCCCUUGCCGGCGAACAGGGCCGCCGGCGACGGCAGUCACGGACCGCGUUCUGCACGCUUGACACGGUGCCGCUCCUCCUCCCUGUCGCCACGCGCCACGACGGCCUGCCCUGCCCCCUAGUACAAAAUUGCUCUGUGGACAUACACGACAUCCAGCCGACACUGUAUCCAACGGUGGACCUGUCCUGCUGCUGGGCACUGAAUGGUGUGAUCUUAUGCAUCGUCUUCAAAUCGUCUGGAUAUCAUCGUGUGUGUAGCAGGAGUUCUUAAAUAUUUAAAUAUGAAUCACAUACGGAUGAAUAUAAACGGAACGUAGAUUCAUUCAUUUUGCUUCGCAUCUAGUAAUCUUUAAAAGAAUUUAUAUUUAGGAAUGGAGGGAGCACAUUGGCAGUGAAGGUAGUACGCGUCAUGUAGGUCCCUGGCUUAUUCUUUUGGUUCGUGGCAUGCAUGUGGUCAAACAAGAAGGCCCAAAUGGUGCAACAGGAGCUUAUUGCAGUUUCGUUUGUAAUUUGUGGGUUGUGAUGGUAGCUCUAGAGUUAACAUUUUAUAACUAGAGAAAGAAGAGAAUUGAUGAUAUGGAUUUAUCUUCCCAUUUGAUUCGUACAUGUUAGUGACCCCUGAGAACCGUGUCAGUGGAAGUGAAGUGGUGUAUGUUCCGCUCUCCUGUCAUGGCGGCUCCCGUGGCGACUCGCACGCUGCCCUAUCUUCCCCAGUUUCGAUCAUGGUUUCGUCUCUCCUUCCCUAUUCUUCGGCGCCCCCAUGUCUUCUAGUCUGGUCGGCGAAACAGGUUUCAGGCCUUGGCCGAGGUCUGUGAUUACGAUGCGGAGGAUGCAGAGCCCUUAAGAGGACGGAUGCUGGGUUCUUUGGCGGUUGGUUUGGGACGUGACAGUGGUCGACGUGGCGCUCCAUGAGGUCUGGAUGGUGGUCCAAAGAAGCAUUGUGCGCUUGCAUCUGGGGGUUGCAACUCGCUCUUCUUCGGCUUCAGUGCAAGGCGACGAUCUCGCAUGGGAUCCUGGAUCCGGUUUUGAGCUUGCCGCAGUCUCCUAUCUCUUCCUCUGUGUUGGGAAGCUCAUUGUCAUCUCACUCCUCUCGCAUGCCACUUGGAUCUGGCGGGACAGCGGCGGAGCGAGGUGGUGGCGGAAUUGUAGUUGGGGGUUCCUAUUCAACCUUUGCGGAUUGUGGGCCUUCAAAUGCUGUCGUGGUGAACCACAUGCUAGUUGGGUUGGUGCCAUGUCCGCUAAGAGUUAUCCACCAGUCAUGGAGGCAUAUUUGGGCCUUUCAAAAUAAGUUCAUGUUCAGCCCGUCUCGUCUCCUUCUCUCUAGCUCUUAGUUUGCCCAUCCCUAAGAGCCCAUUCCCGGCCCUCUUGUCUCUAGCCCCAAGUUGCCCACCCCCAUCGGGUAUAUAUGGGUGCACUAGUGCAGAACCGGGCAAUAGCACUGGUUCGUAAGGCCCUUUAGUGCCGGUUCCAUAACCGGCACUAAAGUGUGGUCACUAAAGCCCCCCCCCUUAGUACCGGUUCAGCACGAACCGGUGCUAAAGGGCAACCACGUGGCACGAGCCAGCUCCGGGGGCCUGGAGCCCUUUAGUACCGGUUGGUAACACCAACCGGUACUAUAAGAUUUGGGGUUUUUUAGUUUUAUGAUUUCUUUUUCAUUUAAUUUUGUGUUUCCAUUUUAAUUCUUUUUCAUUUGCUGGUAUUUUACGAUACUACACAUUGUAAACGUUAUGCAUAUAUAUAUAUAUAUAUAGUAGAACCAAUCAUCGAGUUCAACAUGAUUGUCAUGAUAUUAUAAGCGUUCAUAUAUAACACCACAAAAGCAAAUCACUUAAAUUCAGAACGAAGAACACGGACAUGAAAUGACAAGUACUAAUUAAGAGCAGCAUGAAGAACUAGCUAAAUCACUCCUGCUAGCUACUCUCUCUGGUAAAAUAGCAUAGAACAUGUAUAGCUCUCCUGAUUGAUCAUACUGGAGCAUGCCGAUGAACCUGUCUGCUAAUCGUGGGCUGCGCUUCUCAUUGCUGCCCCCUAGUACUUCUCUGCGAUCAUUAACAAUUUUCCUCCAAUCUUUCACUGUUAAGCAUUCAUCGCUUCUAGAAAUCCUGAAUGCAUUCAUGUGCAAUGCAGGAUAUCUUGGCCUUAAGCUAACAAUUGAUAUCUGACCUUUAGUCUCGAUCCUCUGAGGCACAACUGUCAUCGGGAGUCCCUGUUGAAGAACAUCGUAUAGUACUUAAUUAAUAUACUUAGCAAUGAAAGUUUAGCAAAAAAAAUAUGUAUGCAAAAUAUGCACUGAGGACAAAUAGUAAAUAUCUUACCAUCAUUCCUAAAUAGAUAUGACCAUAGUUCAAUACCAUCACUAUUGGUCGCACGUUUUGAGUACUAACAUUUCCAAAUGCAGGAAAAAUAUUUGUCUUGACAGUAUGAAGAUCCUCAAGCCAUGAAACAUAGUGACUUAUCUCCUCGCAGUUUAGUUCAGCUCCGGGACAAUAGAAGGUCCUGUCUACCAAGCGCCGGACAUGUUUGGUUGAAUGGAGAUAAGCUGUCAAUAGAAAUUAGUUGUCAGUUAUUUUUGAAAUAAGCAAUAUCAAAGACAAAAAUAUAUUUGAGAAGAACUCACAUAAUGGUAGAACUGGAGGCGUCUGCACAUCGAUCCAUAUGUCUCUAUUACCUUCAAUAUCAUUUUCCGGACGAAUAUCAAAGGUGAUAACCAUACUAGGCUCAAAUGCAUAAGCCUUGCAUAGUGCUUGCCAAGUUUUGCAUUUAAAAUAAGUGUACGUGUGUGCAUUGUAUACUUUCACGUUGAAAGUAUAACCAUCAUGCUCAGUUUUCAGGUAAGCUCUCUUUACCUCCAUAGUUUCCAUAUCUUUGAAACCUAUCUUAUCGAAGACAAAAAUUCUUGCAUGACAUGGGAUGCGAUAGUAGAAUAGUGAAAAUUAAAAAUUAUAAGUCAGGCAAAUGAAGCAUAUAUAAGUCAUGCUUAAUUACGAAAACAGACUUGUCGUUGUGACUUACUGUAUCAAAUUCGAAAGUCUCAUCCAGCUUGAUGCUAAAUCGCUUACCAUCAACAAAGAAAUUUCUGUCGCACUGGCCGCACUCGUCUUCACAGUAUGUGCACAUACCGAAAUUUUUUCCGUCGUCAGACGACAUUUUCUAUGUUCAUAUUAGGCGAAACAUUAAACACUUACUAAUUCAAUUAAUUCAACUACUUCUAUUAAUUCAACUAAGCAUUUACUAAAAAUAAACUAGUUAUAUUAAUUCAAUUAGUUCAACUAACCAUUUACUAAAAAUAAACUAGUUAUAUUAAUUCAAUUAGUUCAACUAAGCAUUUACUAAAAAUAAAAUAGUUCUAAUCCCACUUAGGUGAAACAUUAAACACUUAUUACUAUCUAACAUUAAUUAAUAUCUAGCCAAUUCAAAUAUAUAUCUAACUAUAUUCAUCUCUAACAAUUGACAUUACUAUAUAUUUAUAUAAACUCAAAAUAUAUAAAAACAUUAAAUAAACAGAAAAACUCAUUAACAAAUAAUAUUUUAAUUACAUAAUCAAAUCUCAGAUACGACAAUUUUCUUACUAAAAAUAAACNNNNNNNNNNNNNNNNNNNNNNNNNNNNNNNNNNNNNNNNNNNNNNNNNNNNNNNNNNNNNNNNNNNNNNNNNNNNNNNNNNNNNNNNNNNNNNNNNNNNNNNNNNNNNNNNNNNNNNNNNNNNNNNNNNNNNNNNNNNNNNNNNNNNNNNNNNNNNNNNNNNNNNNNNNNNNNNNNNNNNNNNNNNNNNNNNNNNNNNNNNNNNNNNNNNNNNNNNNNNNNNNNNNNNNNNNNNNNNNNNNNNNNNNNNNNNNNNGACGACGGACGACGGGCGACGGGCGGCGACGACGGGAUCGAGCGGCGCGACGAUGUCGAGAGGUUGGAGACGAAAGUGGGGAGAUGUAACUGAAAUUUUCGUAAGUGCUAUAUAUAUAGGAUGGGCCUUUAGUACCGGUUGGAGCCACCAACCGGUACUAAAGGCCAACUUUGGCCAGGCCAAGAGGCGGGAAGAGCAGGCCUUUAGUACCGGUUGGUGGAUCCAACCGGUACUAAAGGGUGAUCUUUAGUACCGGUUGGAGCCACCAACCGGUACUAAAGCCCUCGCGCUGCCACCCCAAAGUUUAGUCCCACCUCGCCGGGCGAAGGGCAGCCGCACUGGUUUAUAAACCCAGCCGCGGCUCCCUUUUUGAACUCCUCUAUAUAGCAGGCUUGUGGGCCUAAAUUCUGCGCGUUGCCCUGUGAGUCUGCUGAACCUUUAAGACCUGUAAUUGCACGCCCGUGGCCUAGCAGGCCCACAGGGCAGCGCCCCAAUUUUUUUAUAGUUUUUUUCUUUUCUGCUUUAUUUUCUUCUAUUUAUUUCUGCGUAGUUUUUUGUAUAGUUUUUUCUUUUUUGUUAUAUUUAUUUUCUUCUAUUUAUUUCUGAGUAGUUUUUCAUCUAGUUUGCCAAAAUUCAACAUUUUCAGAGUACAUUUUGUAGUGAUUUUCAAUUUCACAGUCAUUUUAUAUAAUUUUUUUCUUUUCAGCUAUAGUUUUUUUUUCUGCUAUUUUUUCUUUUCUGCAAAACUUGAUGGUCAAAGUCCGGAGUUAUAACCAAAGUUUAAAAAAAAAGAAAUGUCGACGUGCAAUUAGUUUGUCCGGAGUUGUAAUAAGUUAUUUUUAUAGUUUUUUUCUUUUCUGCUUUAUUUUCAUCUAUUUAUUUCUGCGUAGUUUUUUGUAUAGUUUUUUCUUUUCUGUUAUAUUUAUUUUCUUCUAUUUAUUUCUGAGUAGUUUUUCAUCUAGUUUGCCAAAAUUCAACAUUUUUAGAGUUCAUUUUGUAGUGAUUUUCAAUUUCACGGUCAUUUUAUAUAGUUUUUUUCUUUUCAGCUAUAGUUUUUUUUUCUGCUAUUUUUUCUUUUCUGCAAAACUUGAUGGUCAAAGUCUGGAGUUAUAACGAAAGUUUAAAAAAAAGAAAUGCCGACGUGCAAUUAGCUUGUCCGGAGUUGUAAUAAGUUAUUAAAAAUAAAAAAGAGGUGCAAUGCUCGUUAAUUUGCUUCAAGCCUUUCGGAAUAUUGUAAACUGCACUGCGCAUAGCUCCGUGCAGUCUACCAUAUUCCUGAAGGCUUGAAGCUAAGCAACGUGAGCAUUAAGCCUCUUCUUCAUCGUACACUCAGGGCUUAUAAAUCGCUCCUAGUCCCUCUCUCUUCGCGAGGUGGGACUAAAAAACAGCUUAUUAAGAAACUGUAGUACUGGUUCAUCCAUGAACCGGUACUAAAGGUGCUCCUGGGGCCCCAGCCUUACCUGACACAACCUCAUUAGUACCAGUUCGUGGCACGAACCGGUGCUAAAGGUUCGGCACGAACCGGUACUAAAUAGCUCCUCCCGCCUAGCAGUUGGUGCAUACUGAACGCAAAAAAUAUAAGAGCAUUUAGAUCAUGAUUUUAUAUUUUUUUACAGUCUAAAUUGUCAAUAUGAUUUUAUAACAUCAAAAAUACUUUGAUCAUCAAUGAUCUUUGUGUGUACAAUCUGAAUUGUUAAUAUGAGUCAUCAACAAUUUAUAAACCGAUGAAGACUCAUAUUGCGGCCACAAAUUCUACACAUAGAGUUCAAUGAAGACCAAGUGCUUGUGAUAGUUUGAAAAAUAACAUAUUUAAGGUGGUAAAAGGCUUGUUAGGGGAGCGAGGUGGGACUAAAAACAGCUUGCCAUAACCUCAUUAGUACCUGUUCGUGGUACGAACCGGCACUAAAUGAUGAUGGUGGGGCCAUAGCCUGACCGCAGGCUGACACAGCCUCUUUAGUACCGGUUCGUGGCAUGAACCGGUACUAAAGGUUCGCCACGAACCGGUGCUAUUGAUCGCCGCCACGAACCGGCACUAAUGUACACAUUAGUGCCGGCUGAAAUUCAAACCGGCACUAUUGUGCUUCACAUUUGACCCUUUUUCUACUAGUGGUUGGUUCUUGACCCCCUAUUUAGGUUUUCCUACAUCUAGGUUUGUUCUCACACUCUUCUUCUCACCUCCACUUCUCUUCUUCUCUUUUCCCCAAACAAAAAAAAUGUCUCUUCUUCUCUUUUGUGGUUGUGGUGGCGAUGGAUCCUUCAUGCGGUCCGUUCUCUAAGCACGAUGCUAAUGGCAAGCGUCGCUUCAACGACGACAAAGAGGAUCUAUCAGACCUGGUUCGCAACCAAGCUGAGCUUCGUCCGAAGUUUCAAAGGGAGCAUGAAGAGCACGAGUAUGAGAGUUGGGGCUCACCGCCGACUUCGUGCAAGGAAGAGGAGCGCCGCCUCGCAACGGCGACUCCUUCUCGGCCUCCUCAGGCUAGAUCCGAUGACGCCCUAGAUCCGUGGCUUAAAGCGCAUGACGAUGGGUUCUUUGACUUCAACGGCAACCCUAGAUCUAGAUCUGAACCUAGAUCUGAGGACUACAUCAACUCCUCUGAAAAUAAUGGGCACGGUAAGAGCAUUACUAGUAGAGCCCUCAAACCCUCAAACCCCUGAAAAUAACCGCUUUUUUUACAGUUUUCGCCGAAAAAACGCCGUAGACUAGAACCUCUAAACCCUCAAACCCGUAAAAAAAAUUAGAGGUCCAACCCUCAAACGACUUUGCAAUCUGUAGAAGUAGGGGUUGAGGGGAAAAUCUCCCCCCAACCCGCACUCCUCCUCAUCGCGCGGGAGCCAACCGCUCCUUCUCCGCUCCCGCCGCCUCCCGCCACCUCCCGCCGCGUCGGCCAUGGAAGGCCCCGCCGCCGCCNNNNNNNNNNNNNNNNNNNNNNNNNNNNNNNNNNNNNNNNNNNNNNNNNNNNNNNNNNNNNNNNNNNNNNNNNNNNNNNNNNNNNNNNNNNNNNNNNNNNNNNNNNNNNNNNNNNNNNNNNNNNNNNNNNNNNNNNNNNNNNNNNNNNNNNNNNNNNNNNNNNNNNNNNNNNNNNNNNNNNNNNNNNNNNNNNNNNNNNNNNNNNNNNNNNNNNNNNNNNNNNNNNNNNNNNNNNNNNNNNNNNNNNNNNNNNNNNNNNNNNNNNNNNNNNNNNNNNNNNNNNNNNNNNNNNNNNNNNNNNNNNNNNNNNNNNNNNNNNNNNNNNNNNNNNNNNNNNNNNNNNNNNNNNNNNNNNNNNNNNNNNNNNNNNNNNNNNNNNNNNNNNNNNNNNNNNNNNNNNNNNNNNNNNNNNNNNNNNNNNNNNNNNNNNNNNNNNNNNNNNNNNNNNNNNNNNNNNNNNNNNNNNNNNNNNNNNNNNNNNNNNNNNNNNNNNNNNNNNNNNNNNNNNNNNNNNNNNNNNNNNNNNNNNNNNNNNNNNNNNNNNNNNNNNNNNNNNNNNNNNNNNNNNNNNNNNNNNNNNNNNNNNNNNNNNNNNNNNNNNNNNNNNNNNNNNNNNNNNNNNNCCCCGGCCCCCGUCUCCGCCCCGGCGCCUGCCCCCGCCACGGCCCCGGCGCCCGCCCCCAAGAAGAGCCGGCCGUGGGCCUCGAGGGGCCGCCAAGGUCGUCGGCUCGUCCCCUGCCGUGAAGAAGCCGCGGAAGAAGCCCGCCGCCGCGGUCGCGGCCUCGCCCGCCAUCGUCGCCGAACCUCCUCCCGCCGUGCACGAGGUGCUCGAGGAAAUGACAACCCCAUCCUCGUUCAUGGACCUCCUCCAAAACGCGGAGCUGGACCUCGGAGCUCCGCCUCUAGACCCCUUUAGGGUUGGCGACGACUUGGAGGAAAAGGAGGAAGAUGAGGAGGAUGAAGGGGAUGACGAGGAGGAGGUGGCCGAGAUAGGGGUGGAGGCAUUCACCGCCGCUUCCCGCCCACACGCUCGGUCGACAAACUACACCGAGGCGGAAGAUGUCCUCUUGGUUCGUGCUUGGGCAGCUGUGGGAAUGGAUGCUACCACCGGCACCGAUCAAACCGGUAAACUCUAUUGGCAAAGGAUCGAGGACGUCUAUUGUAGGAUCAAGCCGAAGACUAGUGGGUUCAUCCAUCGCACAUUCCGGUCGCUUCAAGGCCGGUGGGAGUUGAUCAAGCCCGCUUGUUCUCGUUGGAGUGCGGCCAUGGACCAAGUGAGGGAUGCAUCACCUAGUGGAACCGUGGAGAGUGACUAUGUGAGUACAUAUUUCUUCACUAUUUUGAUUAUGUGUGUGCACUAUGCUAUUGGUGGGUUCUUAUGUGAUUUAUGUGUGGUUGAUAGGAGACAAUUGCCGGCUUGAGGUACAAGGAGAUGGCCGCUUCCAAGGGCAAGCCAUUCCCAUUUAAGCAUGUUUGGUCAAUUCUUCAAACCUUUGACAAGUGGAAGUUGAGGGAUCAAGAGACCGCACCCAAGAAGUCGGCAAUGCUAAGGAUGGACGAUAGUGAAGAUGAGGAGGAGAGGAACGUGGGCAAGCCCGAGGGAAACAAGAAGGGCAAGCUAAGGGUGAAGAUGGAAGAAGAGGCGUCAAGCCUAAGGGAGAAGAUGGACCACAUGAUAAAGGCAAGAGAGGAAUUGACAACGAAGACAUUGGAGAUGAAGCUUCUUAUCACCGAGAAGAAGAAAGAGGUUAAGCUUGCACAAGUUGAAGCAAAACGUGAAGAAGCAAAGCGCAAGGCCGAGUUGGGGGAGAGGAUGAUCAAGCUCAAAGAGGCAAAGGUAUGGAAAGAACUCAUGGUGGAAGAGAAAGAGCACAUGAUGAUGUCCAAGAAGGACAUGGAUCAAGACCAAUUGCAAUGGUGGAAGGACUACAAGGAGGACAUAGCGGAGAGGAGAGGAUGUUUCGUGUUGCGUCCUCUACUUUUCGAUGUGACACUCCGAUGAGUAGUUGUGGUGAUGGCGGUGUGUACGACUCCACCGGUGCCGAUGGAGAUGUUUGAUGGAGCCCGCUUGUGGUCUAGGAGAUGGCGCCGAGGUGCAACUUUUGGUAUGAUGCCGAUGAGAGGAGGAAGAUGAUGAUUUUGUGAUGUAAACUAUUAAACCAUGCAUCAAUAAUUGUCAUUUGGUAGUUUGUUUGGAAGUUGAUUGUGUUCUUAUUGCCAUAAAUUGUGAGAUGUCAAAUGAUAGAUUUAAAGGUUGGAGUUGAGGCAAAGACUAGAACCCUCAAAUCCAACCCUUAAAGCAGUUUACGGGUUGGGUUUGAGAGUUCUAAUAUUUGCUUCUGUUUUUCAACCCUUAAAAGUGUCAAAAAGUGACACUUCUCAACCCUUAAAAGUGCUUUGAGGAUUUAAGGGUUUGAGGGUUCUACUAGUAAUGCUCUAACCAGUCCGAGAAUGGCAAGUUCAAGUGUAAUGAUGGCAGCUCCGGUUUUGGGAUUGUUGCUCGUCCUCCUCCGCCGGCAAAAGGCUGGUCUACGAACGGCGUCCCCUCGGAGUGGAGCGGCGCCGGCUCCGAGGUGGGUGCUGAGGAGAGCGACGGCGGCGCAUCGGAUGGCGUCGCCCCGGGGACGAGGGGCGCCGGCGAGGAGGUUGGCGCUGUUCCGGAGGCGAACAUCCUCAGCGUCACCGUCGAUGCGUGGACAUGCCACCAGGUGAACCCCUCGUACGUUAAUUUGAUCCUCUAGAUGCAAGAUCAUGGACGUCUAGCGUAGUAGUGUUACGCUCCCGCUACGAUUACUUCAGGAAUUUGCAAGAUUCGAUACAGAUUGAGAGAAAGAAUUGUCGUGCCGAUAAGUACUAGCGACUAGAGCCCCACGACUAGUAAUUGGCACAGGGGUAAUUGGCACAGGCCACUAACAUCUGACUAGCUUGUUUAAUUGUUUUUGCACCUAAAACAUCUGUAUCUUCUCAUGUCAAUGCCAGUUUCUUGGAUACUGGAGUACACACUACUAAUGUGCUCCGGAUAUCUUAGUCUGCAUACAAUACCUGCUCUUAGGAUGCUUAUAAUUAAUUUAAUUAGUCCUGGGAUUUAUUUUGUGUCAGAUCAUUUCUGGCAGACAUCCAUCCCUCGCCGGAAGACUAAUUAUCCUUCCAAAUUGGUACUAGAUAUCUGUGGUAUUUAUGUUGUCUGUAGUGCACUUGGUAGAUAAAUUCUUGGGACUGCUCAUGGAUGGUUGGUUGUCCUAUGAAUAUUGAAAGUGAGGAUGCGAUACUAAUUGUUAGAGGAUCCUAUACAUCGUUCUAUUAGGUUAUUAGUGUAUAUUGCCUAGUUCUAGAACUGCCAUAAUCUUUGGAUGAUCUGUCAUGUUUGUAUCGAUCUUUACGUUUGGGGUACUGCGCCCAGCCAUCUGUUGCAUGAAACAAGAUGAUGGUAAAACCACUUAAAUGCCGUGUGGUGCUUCUUAGUGCUGUCCUUUUUAGUUCAAUUCGUGUUUGCAUUAGGGGCAGCCGUGAUUUUGGUUCCACCACUUUGACAAUUAGGUUCUGAAGAAGAUAAGGUUCAGAGAUGAUAGUUGAUGAAUCAUACAUAUGCUGAUAACACCUCCUCCUAGGAAAUAAGUAUUCAACUUGGAACGUACAUUGAAAUGAUAGAGAUUUAGUUGAAGUAACAUAUUGCUGUAGUUAUAUUACUUAUCAAAACAGUAUUAUAUUAAUUCAUAGGUAAUGGUUGGAACAAGUAAACUGAAAUUCAGCUUAUGUGAUAUUUUCUGCCAUUGAAUUACUCUUGUCAUAGAUAUGGAUAUUUGUCCUUCUAAAAAUGAUAAUAUAAUACUGUUUUGAUAAGCUGAAUUAAAAUGAUGUUUGUCGAUCUUUAUAUUCAGAAACGUAGUGAUGGCACAUCAUCACUUGCUAAUUUUGCAGUGUUUGUUUCAUAAAAACUGUACCUACCCUGUGGAGUCUCGUACAUAUGCUUUUAGGGUGGUGUUUGUAUUCAUGUUGCUGUGCGUCCUAGUGCUCCUUCUGCUGCCUUUUUUGUUUUGUUUUGCAAACUAUGUGCCUUCUGUUGUGUGCUGUGUAUUGCUUUCCCAGCGUCUGUGCACGUGGCCAGCCAUUAAAGGUGAUUUAGUCGACGUCGCUGCUGGUCAGAACGAAAGGAUCGAACAUCAGACCACAAGACCUGGAGUUGCACCUCGAACGGCACAGUGCUGGGCUGUGCUGGACUUGGAUCCACUGUUCACUACUGUUGCGUGCUGCAGUAGUGAAGGUUGGUGCUCCAUCGGAUGCUGUUCUGGUGUUGCAGUGAUCACGACAUGUCUCCGUGUCGUCCCUGUGUUGGGGUCACCUUGCUUUGGUUUCCGUUUUGCCACGCAGGCUCGAAAUAAUCAGGGAACAAACCGUAACUUGUAACUUGAGGGGUCACCUCACCAUUGAGGGCAGCAAAGCCACACACGCAUCGAUGGAUUAAGUCUUGGUAUCCACCAGACAGCGGUGGUGGCAGAGGCCCUCGGAGCACUUGGUAUAUCCACUAGGAUUAAUGCUUCAGAAGACGAGCUCUCCUAUAACUGGACCACCACCCCACUAGCUUCCCAGUGGCUCUGGAAUUCUUCCGGUAAAAAGAGAACACCAGUUUAGCAAACUUUCAGUGUUACCAUUCGGCAUCAAAGGGAAGGGGAAAUUUAACCUCGCGAGGAAAAGACCCCCAUAUCCCUGCAGCGAGAGGACAUUGAACAAAUAGGCGCAGUGCUUCAUGGCCACACAUGCAAAGGGAGCAAAUGGGGUCAUGUGGCCAUCUCCUCCUUUUAGCAAGAUAGUCCGCAGUUAGGCAUUUUCCUUGAACAUUGAGCCAUGAAAAGAAUCUUGAGGGGAGAAUCAACUUUGCAUAUAAACUGAAUAGUGUAGCUGGAGCUGGCAGUAUAUUUCUUAUUUUCAGCCCACUUCCAUUCCACCUUAUCCAACACAUCGGACAGAGAGAAGGCAGAGGAUUUAUGCCAGAAAUCAAUGUAUUCAGUUAGGACCUCAGAGUCUGGGUUCCUCUUUAUGUGUGUAAUCCAUCUUUUAUCAGUCAAGCCAUCCGCAACUGAGAUGUUGCUUUUCCAGCUAUGCUUGUAUAGCUUUGGGUAGGCAAUAAUAAAUGGGGCGAGGCCAUUUAACCUGUGAUCGUUCCAGAACGACAAAGAACGGCCAGUUCCUGUAAUGGAACUUCUGGCAACAAACAGCCCUUUGACCUCCUUGUCACAUGGAAGGGGUAGACCAUGCCAAGGUUUGUCUGCGUCCAUUGCGUUUUGCCAUGGCCAGAGAACUUUAAGUUUAAGGGCCUUCCCUUGAGCAGCCAAGUCAGGAAUGUCAAGUCCACCCAGAUUCAGGGGCAUACAAACUUGGGACCGACACAGCAGGCCCUUCCCCGCUGCUGAUGGCAUCAGACUCAGCCCAUAGGAAGUCCCUUCUGAGCUUAUCGAUCUGCUUGAUGACCCAUUUGGGCUGAUCCAUCGCCAACAGCUGAAAUAUAGGCAGAGCAGAGAGCACAAAACGCACCAGGGUUGCCCACCAGCAGAAGAAACCAAUUUUGCCUUCCAACCAGCAAUGUAUUUUGCAAUUCUCGGAAAUCCUGACGUUUGAAUAUUUUAUCGGAGAGGCAUGCCAAGAUACCGAAAAAGGCUUUCGCCCCGCUUUAUAAAUAAAGCAACCGCCACAGAGCAUACAUACCACAUAGGUUCACACACACACCCAAGCCUCACGAAAAAGUACCAAGGUUCUGCUGAGGGCACAGCUCAACAAGCCCAAAAAAGAGGCAAACAACAACAACACAUCGCACCCGACACCAGGGGGCUAAUCGGGCUCCGGCGGUGGCGGCGGCGGCGGCGGAGAGAUGCGGACGGCCAUCGAUCGAAGGUCGGUGAUGAAGGCGGAGAUGGCGUCACGGUCCGAGGAGCGACUAAGCGGCCGCCAAAGCUGCAAGAAACCCGAGAAUUUGUAGAGGGCGUCAGAAGGGCGACGAAGGGGAGCGCGCUGGAUCACGAGUUUAUUGCGAACGGUCCACAAUGUCCACGCAAGGACCCCAACUUGCAGCCACCUAAUGUGGCGAAUGGACACGGGGGACAAUUGGAGUUCAGCAAAGAGGUCCGGGAAGUUAGUGUGGCACCAACUCCCGCCGACCACCUCGCGGAAGCAGCUCCAAAGGAAUUGAGCGGAGAUGCAGGAGAAGAAGAUGUGGUUCGAGUCCUCCGGGACGCCACAGAGAGGGCAGAUACCGGAGCCGGGGCCAUUGCGCUUCCGGACCUCCACACCAGACGGAAGUCUACCACGGAUCCAUUGCCACAUGAAGAUGCGAAUCUUCAGAGGAACCCGGGCGGUCCAGACCAUCGAUAAGGGGAGGGGUGCGGAGGAAGGGGCGAUGGCCGCAUAGAGCGAUCGGGUGGUGAACAAGCCCGACGGCUCAAGUCUCCACCUGGUACAGUCCGGCCUAUCAUCCACAAGCGGCUCAUGAAACGCAACGCAAUCAAGCAACUCACGCCAGGCGGCGGAUUCCGCCGGCCCAAACGGACGGCGGAAGGCAAGGCGCCCCAGAUCAAGAAGGGCCCUAUUGACGGAAAUCAUGUGGUCAACUGCAAUAAAGAAGAGGGCAGGGAAGCGAGCCGCGAAGGGGGAGUCACCCGCCCAACGGUCAUACCAUAAUAGAGUCGAGAGGCCAGAACCCACCGAGAUGGAGGUCCCAAUGCGCAGCACCGGGAGAAGCUGAACAAUGGACUGCCAGAACUGGGAGCCGCCCGAUCGCUGGCAGAAAGCAAGGGGCUGACCCCGAAGGUAUUUAGUCCGGAUGAUGUCCAGCCAGAGGCCACCCUGGCCCUGGGCGAUGCGCCAAAGCCAACGGAAGAGGAGAGCGAUGUUCAUUCGCUUGGAGCACAUGAUACCCAGGCCACCCUGCUCCCGGGGCUUGCAGAUGUCAGGCCAGCUGACCAUGUGGUACUUCUGCUUAUCAUGCUCACCAGCCCAGUAGAAGCGAGACUGGAUCUUGGCAAUCUCCUUAUGAAGGGACUCAUGGAGGCUAUAGAAGCUCAUAAGGAACAGCAGCAGGCUAGAGAGAGAAGAGUUGAUAAGAAUAGUGCGGGCCGCCUUAGAGAGCCAUCUCCCCUGCCAGGGCUCGCACCGGGAUUGGAGCUUAGAAAUAGCAGGCCUCAAGUCCGCGGCAGAGAGGCGCGAGUCACUGAUAGGGGUCCCCAAGUAGGAGGUGGGGAAAGAGCCCAGGCGGCAGUUCAGCCGGUUGGCGAUAGCCUGAGACUCCAAGGGGGAAUAUCCCAUUAUCAUGACGUCGCUCUUAUCAAAGUUGAUCUUGAGGCCCGACAUUUGUUGGAAGCAGAGAAGGAGGAACUUGAGGUUGGCGAUGUCCGUCUCCGAGCCUUCGACCAUGAUGAUCGUGUCGUCAGCAUACUGCAGGGUGGAUAUCCCGGAGCCCCCCGAGAGAUGGGGGGUAAUCCCACGAAUGUGACCAGCAGCCUUGGCCUUAUCAAGAAUGGCGGCCAAGGCGUCAACCACCAUAUUGAAGAGGAACGGGGAGAAGGGAUCGCCCUGGCGCACCCCACAGAGGGUAGGGAAGAAGGGACCAACCUCGCCGUUGAUGUUAACCGCCGUGCGACCACAAGAGACCAUUUGCAUGACUCUGGUGAUCCAGCGGUCAUCAAAGCCCUUCCGAAGAAGGACCUCUCUGAGGAAGGUCCAGCUAACCGUGUCAUAGGCUUUGUGAAAAUCUAUCUUCAGAAACAUCGCCUUAAGGUGUUUGGCCCGGACCUCAUGAAGGACCUCAUGAAGGACCAAAACCCCGUCCAGGAUAUAUCGCCCUCUAAUGAAGGCCGACUGGUUAGGAUGGGUAAUCCGAUCCGCCAGCAGGGUCACCCUAUUGGCGUACCCUUUGGCCAAGAUCCAUAAAAUCACGUUGAUGACCGUGAUCGGCCGGAAUUGGCGGAUGUCAGACGCCCCAGGGACCUUGGGGAUGAGAGAGAUGAUCCCAUAGUUGAGGCGAGCGAGAUCGAUGGCACCCACAAAGAACUCCUCAAAGAUGGCCAUGACCUCGGGUUUAAUGACGUUCCAAAAGGUCUGGAAGAAAAGAACGGGGAGACCAUCAGGACCAGGGGCCGAGGAGGAAUUCAUACCCUUGAUAGCCUCCCAGACCUCCUGCUCAGAGAAGGGAGCCGUCAGGGCAGAAUUCUCCGCCCUGGAAACUAACUGACUACCGGCCCAACAAUCGUGGGCGAGGGACACGCCGCUCCGAGGAGCGGCGGAGAAAAGGGACCUAUAGAAACUAUCGACAUGAGACCGGAUGUCGCGAGGGUCCUGGAGGAGGGUAUCCCCAUCCCAAAGGAGGGGGAUGGUGUUGCGUCUACGGCGGCCGUUGGCGAUCGCCUGGAAGUAAGCGGUAUUCGCAUCACCCUUCAGGACCCACUUCUGGGCGCCCCGGAUGCGCCAAUAGGCCUCCUCAUCGGAGUAGAUAACGGAUAGUUGGUCCUCGAGGUCAUAUCGAGAGAGCCACUCAUCCGGAUAGUUGGUCCUCGAGGUCAAGAGCUUGGAUCGCGGAUAGAAGCGCUUUCUUGCGCUCUCUGGAGUCACGCCCAAGGUUGGCCCCCCAUCCCUUCAUAAAUUGUCUACCACGUUUCGCACAGAAGUGCCACGUGUCAAUGGCCGAAGGAGGCCUGGGAUGUGGGUGGGCACGGGCCGCAGUCCACCGGGCGCAGACUGCGUCCUUGAAGCCAGCCUGGGAGAUCCAGAAGGUCUCAAAGCGGAAACGGGGAGGGAUAGGCGGACGCUCGUCCGCAGAGGAGAGAAGGAGGGGGACAUGGUCCGAGCCAAUCCUAGUGAUGGCGCGGAGAGAGGAGAGGGGGCAACGGAGGUCCCAAUCCGGGGAGACAAGGACCCUGUCCAAGACGGACUGGGUCGGGGAGGAUUGAUGAUUGGUCCAGGUAAACCGCGCACCAAUCCUAUCAAUCUCCCGCAGGGCGAGGUCAGCGAUGAAGUCAUUAAACAUCUGCAUUCUGGCAAAGCAGACAUUGCCAUUGUUCUUGUCUUCCGCUACUCGAAGCAGGUUAAAGUCGCCCCCCACCACCACAGGGAGGGAGGCUGCCGAGAUCUUAAGAUGCAGCUCCUCGAGGAAGGCCGCCGACCUACUAUGGUCGGCAGGUCCGUAGACAAUGAUGAUCUCCCAUUUGAAAUUAAGAGAUCUCUCGAAAAGCUCCAUGCUGACGAAGAAUUCCCCCCGAUCCAUACUGCCCACCUCGAAAGUGGCAUCCUUUACGCCUAAAAGGAUGCCACCCGAGUGGCCAGCGCUCCCACUAGAAGGGAGCCAGUGCCACGCAAAGAGGUGGGAGCUCAAACGCUCGAGCUCGGGGAGCGAGAAUUCGCGACGCAUGGUCUCUUGGACAGCCACGAUGUCAAUGUGCUCAUCUCGCAUGUACUCCACAAGCUGGCGGCGACGACCAUCAUGGCCGAAGCCGCGGAUGUUCCAGAAGAGGGCCCGCAUUAUGGAGCCAUCGGGGGGCUGCUUGACCCCAGGACUCGGGAGGCGCUCUGGGCGCGGAGAGCGGCAGUGCGGGAGCGGGUGCGGCCGCGGAUCACGGCCGGGGGUGGAGGGGCCUGACACCGCGGCCCGGAGGAAGAGGGAGGUACCCCGUCCGCAGGUGCGUCCGGGGGGGAAAGGAGAGCAGCCCGGACCUCGGCAAGCUUCCCCUCAAGGAUCUCGCGUGCCCGAAUGGCAGCGAUCUGAACUAAAGGGGGGCCGACCUCCCCCCUGAAAAUGAUGGCAGAGUCGGAGGCUACUUUGGCAAGGUUGCCAAGGGGGAUAGAUUCUAGAGCAGAGAAGGAACAAGACGAAGCCGAAGGGGGGAUGGGGAGCGUACCUGGCUCCAGGUUACGGGCAGCAGCGCGGAUCUCGGCCCGCUCGCGGAUGGGCAGCGCCGGGGAUCCUCCGGGUGGGCCGCGUCCAGCCGCGCACUCCGGCGAGACGCCACCACCGAGGAGGAGGUCGACCUGCCGCGACGGGAGUAUGCAGCCGAGCGGGGAGGGGGAGGCUGGGCCCCCAUCGGGGUGAGCACGUGGGUCGCCCCCUCCCUCAGGCCCGGCAAGGGAGGCGGCGCCAGCAGAGGAAGCCCGGAGCAGCCGGAGAAGAGAGGGUCCGCCAGCGGCGUCCCAGCCUGUGGAGGAGGAGGCGGAGGUGACGGGGCGGGGAGGGGCGACGGCGCCGGGUCGGUGCCCGGGAGGGAGGAGGCGGACAGGGCAUCCUCCCUCUCCGUGGGCGACGGCAUCGGGUCGGCGGGCGGGGGGGAGGGGGCGGCCGGGGCAGCCACCCUUGGAGGGAGGAACGGGUCGGGGAGGGCGCUAGCGGUCGGGGAGAGGUGGGCCUCCGAUGGCGAUGCCAUCCCCUCCAGAAGCGCCUCCAAUGCCACGCGGGAUGGAGAGGCGACGACGGGCAUGACUGCCGAAACCCUCCCGGAGGCAGAGGAUGGCGACAGAGAGCGCGGGGAGGAGGCCGGGCAGACCACCAUACCGACACUGGAGAUGUCGCUCCCCUCGGAGGAAGAGGCCGGCGCGAGAGCAGGGUAGACCAGCCAGGAGAGGAGUGCGGUCUUGCGGCCCUGGCCCCCCCCCCCUGUCGGUGGAGGGGGAGAGGCGGAGGGGGAGCGGGAGUCCUCAGAUGCCCCCUCCUCAUCCGAACGGCGGGAGCGGUGCCGCCCGUGGUAGUCUCCACCGGCCCCUGGGUUGCCUCCGGGGAGGCCCGCGUCGAAGGAGCGGGGGCGCCCAAUGUGGUUGGGAGGCUCGGGGGCAAACCUGAGGUCAAAGCCCUGGUCGUUGAAGAAAACGCGGACGGAGGUGCGGAGCUUGGUGGAGUCGAGACACUUGACCUUGACCCGGACCUCCUCCUCCUUGCGGAGAGAGAGCUCAUCCACGGCCACCACCUUGCCCAGGAGACGGGACAUCUGGCGAAUGACGGGCUCGGACCGCGCAAUGUCGGGCAGGCCGAAGAUGAGGAUCCAGGCAGUGUCGAGGACGGCCACAGCCUGAGCGUCGAGAACUGGCUCGGAGAUCUCGACCACCAGCUGGUUGAGGGCGAGGGUGAUCCGGCCACUACGCGUCGCGUAGCCGUAGCUGACCGAGUCAGGGAAGACUACGAAGAAGAUGUGGGCAGCGGAGGGGGUGACCACCCAGUCCCACUGGUGUCGGUAGAGGUGGUUGAGCUCCGCCUCGAGCAUCUCAGGGGACGCCACGCCAUCGACGACCGUGACAAUCGCCUGGAGGGAUGGAGACGGCGGAGGGGCAUCCGGGACCUCGGGGUGGAAGAAACCCAACCCCUCAAUCCCAUGCCCGUACAUCAUGAGCUCGUUGACCACCGGUCUAUCCGGACACAGGAUGGCAGGGUGGCCGGGGUCCUUGCAGAUGUGGCAGCGCUGGGGGUUGAUGCAGGAAACCUGAGAGUGGCCCCUCACCCCACAGUUGAAGCAGGGGGGGGCGAGGAAGGCCGGAGACGGGCCCCGGAGCUGGGGUGGAGCCAGUGCCCGCCGGUGGAAGCACGGGCGGCGCGGGGCGCACGCCACGCCGCUUCUUCUUCUUGGCCGGGCCGGGCCGUCCGCGGCUGGGGCCACCCCCGGGAGCCAAGGCCGGAGCCACACUCCCCGAGGCAGCGGCGUGGGGUGGCACAUAUCGCCGUGGUUCGGCCGGGGUGGGGAGAAUCCCAUCCCGGGGGCGGGGCGAGCUCGGCCUCGCGGAGCGGGAAGGGGAGGGAGAUCGAGCCCGGCGGGAUGGCGGCGACGGAGAGCGCUGGCGGCCACGCCAAUCGGCCGGAGAAGUCCGAGGGGAGCGGGACCGGCCCCGGCCCUCGCGGCGGGGAGGGGACCGGCGACGCUCCCGCAGCUCCCUUCGGAGCUCCUCCUCGCGACGGACGCUGUCGGGGCAGGGCUGGGCGGGCUCCCGGUGGAGCUCGCCGGCCUUGCGUUUGUCGCGGGGAGCGGAGUCUUCCCACUCACGAGGCAUGUNNNNNNNNNNNNNNNNNNNNNNNNNNNNNNNNNNNNNNNNNNNNNNNNNNNNNNNNNNNNNNNNNNNNNNNNNNNNNNNNNNNNNNNNNNNNNNNNNNNNNNNNNNNNNNNNNNNNNNNNNNNNNNNNNNNNNNNNNNNNNNNNNNNNNNNNNNNNNNNNNNNNNNNNNNNNNNNNNNNNNNNNNNNNNNNNNNNNNNNNNNNNNNNNNNNNNNNNNNNNNNNNNNNNNNNNNNNNNNNNNNNNNNNNNNNNNNNNNNNNNNNNNNNNNNNNNNNNNNNNNNNNNNNNNNNNNNNNNNNNNNNNNNNNNNNNNNNNNNNNNNNNNNNNNNNNNNNNNNNNNNNNNNNNNNNNNNNNNNNNNNNNNNNNNNNNNNNNNNNNNNNNNNNNNNNNNNNNNNNNNNNNNNNNNNNNNNNNNNNNNNNNNNNNNNNNNNNNNNNNNNNNNNNNNNNNNNNNNNNNNNNNNNNNNNNNNNNNNNNNNNNNNNNNNNNNNNNNNNNNNNNNNNNNNNNNNNNNNNNNNNNNNNNNNNNNNNNNNNNNNNNNNNNNNNNNNNNNNNNNNNNNNNNNNNNNNNNNNNNNNNNNNNNNNNNNNNNNNNNNNNNNNNNNNNNNNNNNNNNNNNNNNNNNNNNNNNNNNNNNNNNNNNNNNNNNNNNNNNNNNNNNNNNNNNNNNNNNNNNNNNNNNNNNNNNNNNNNNNNNNNNNNNNNNNNNNNNNNNNNNNNNNNNNNNNNNNNNNNNNNNNNNNNNNNNNNNNNNNNNNNNNNNNNNNNNNNNNNNNNNNNNNNNNNNNNNNNNNNNNNNNNNNNNNNNNNNNNNNNNNNNNNNNNNNNNNNNNNNNNNNNNNNNNNNNNNNNNNNNNNNNNNNNNNNNNNNNNNNNNNNGAAAAAGCCGAGGGGGAGGAACCCGCCGGCGAUGGGGAGGAGGGCGGGGGGCUCGGCGGCCUGGCCGCCACCACCGGGCGCCGCCACGAGGAGCGGGCGGCGCCCCUCUCGGAGCGCCCAGCCACGCCCCAGGAGCGCUCGCUCCGGCGACGAGGGGCUUGGCCAGCCAAGGCCCCGGCUUGGGAGGGGGCGGAAAGGGGGGGACUCCGGGGAGCCGCAGGGGGGGAGAGGAGCGACCGCCGGCCAGGAGCCGAACCCCUCACGUGAGGGGCUGAGCUCCCGGGCCGGCAGGGAGGAGAAGGCUGUCUGCCGUGGCGGGGGAGCGCCGGGACCGGCGAGGCGGCGGGCGGAGGGAAAGGAGGAUCCUCCGCGCAGUCGGCCCAGGAGAACCGCUCCGUCGACGCGAAAGAGGCAGGGGAGGCCGGUGGCGCGGAGGCGGGAGGGGCCCUGGGGGCGGGGGAGGCGAGGCGGGGAGCCGCCGGCGAGGUGGCGGCGUCGAGCGCAGGAACGCCUGCUGGAGCGCCAGCCAUCUCCUCGCAUGCCAAGAUAUGAGCAGGGGAGAGCCACAAUCACUCUCAGCCCUCCAGGGGGAGGCUUAGUCGAUCUUGUCUUGUUUGAAACACAUAUCUAUUCUGAAGUUCUCGACGACUCUGUUCCAUUCUUCAGGCCGGCGCAACAAGAGGACUUUUGCCCUUUCUGUCCUUGCUCGGAGGCAUCUCUGUCGACAAGGUGUACACAUAGUUCUGAAGAAAGUUGACCUAAACUUGUGACAAAGCUCCGUCCCUGACCUUGCACAACGUCAUUCCUUAGAGCAUCCACAGUGUGCAUUUUUCACUGCCUCUAAGCACUCUCUCUCUUCUUAGAGGUCGCCUGCAUACACUGCAGUUCACGCCUCUAAGCAAAAAAUCUCUAGCAUCGCCUCUUAGCUUGGAGGCUGCCUCUAGUGAUUUAAAUAAUCAAGCAGCCCCACCCGUCAGCCUGUUUGUGCUCCCAACGAUGCAUGUGAUGCACCAAAGUUCUCCUCCAUUCAGAUUACCAUGCCUUUGUUUAAUCAAUCAUGGGCCCACAAUAGAGGCUGAAGCAAAAUGUUAUACACUGCGUGGUUUUCAGAUUGUUUGGAGGCAGCGCUGUGGGGUCCAGCUUAGAGGCAAGCUCGCCUCUAAGCACUGUGGAUGCCCUUAGAGCAUCUCCAGCAGCAGCCCAAUAAUUUGGUGCCCUAAAUUUGGUUUUAGGUGUGGAGAGAGAAGGUUCUUGGUCACCAGGAUUUUUUUCUGCUUUUCCAACAGACCUAAAACUGGUGCCCUAAGUUUCAGCUUGGGUGCUCUCAUAUGGAUCCGACGAUAGGCAGGCCAGGAGGCGGAUCUGGUCGUCGCCGGGGCACCGAGCUCGAUUUUGUCUGCAGUAGUUCGCAGGGGCAGAGAUGCCUGCCAGGCCACCUAGGAAAGGCGCCAGGAGGGACCAGGGACUGGAGGGGAGCCGGGGGGUGCGGCCAACUCCGACGGCGCCGCGUCGCCCGGGUGCUGAGAGCUCCAAAGGGACCUGUGGCUCGGCGGUGGUCUCGUUGGUCGAUUGGAGGUCUCCCAGCUGCUAAUCGACCUCGGCGGCCGACGGUAGUGCGGCUGUGACCAUUCCGGCCCGCGUAUGGUGGGGGAACGGCCGGAAUCGGCGGCAGUGGAGGGGGUCGCGGCAGACGUCUCGGCCGACGGGACUGGGUGCGGCCGAUGGAGUGGCGGCGGCGGCCUCCGGCAGCGAUCGUGGUGGGAGGCGAGUCGGUGGCGCGAAGUUUCACUUGUUGGGGUUCCUACCGCAGCCGAAUUGAUUUUUGGGCAACUGCUGGUGGUGAUGUAUAUCUGCAUCAGUUGUAGCAAUAUUUUGGGCAGGGCCUAAAAUUUUUUGGGCACCAUAUACCUAUAGGGCUUCUAUUGGAGGCGUUUUUUGCCCCAAGUGACCUAAACAGAAGUUUUCUGGGCAUGGCUGCGUUUUUAGGACUGCUGUUGGAGAUUCUCUUAGGUGCCAUGCACACCACAACAUAAGAAGCACGAGACCGCGCUGCUCAGGUCUGAUUCUAGAGAGGAGCAGAAGGAGCCACUCUGGUUCUGAAUACUGAAAUACAUACUCAUCGGGAAUGUCCCACACAACUCGGAGUUUCUCCCUCAAAGCACGGGCUUUAGUGCAGUUCACCACCGCAUGAAAACCAUUUUCUUAAGCACACCCACAUAUGUUACAAAUGUUGUCAGCUUCCAGGGACCUUCACCAUUUGUUUCUUUUAGUGGCUAGAUUGUCUGACGCCAGUCUCCAGCCAAAAACUCUAAUUUUGUUUGGCACAGGCGCUUUCCAAAUCAGCGACCACAUGGACUGCUCCCCAUCAGGAUUGUUACUGCUGCUCACCAUCGCCGGGUCAGCAUGCUUCAGGUUGUAGGCAACCCUAUCCACUGCUCUCAAAGUGCCACACAUGGGUGUCCUCAAGGUCUCCUCUCGAUACUUUAAUCUUCACGGUCAACUCAGCAUCACCUGGCUAGAAAACUUCCCUUAUCAAAGGUUCAUUCCACUGUCACCGCCCGACAACAGGAGACCACACGUUGUAUCCUUGAACAUCUCCUGCUACCCUGAAUCUUCAGCGAAGGUUCCUUCAGGAUCUAAUUAUCCCUCCAGACUGGAAUAGAAUUACGAUUACCGAUUCUCGUAACUAUCCCCCUUUUUAAGCAGUUCCAAACCGAACUCAAUUCCUCUCCAUGCUUGGGAUGCUUCACCGGUAAAAACUGUAUCAAGGACAUUAUUAGUUUUAGUACCUCACCUUUACAAAACCGAGCACAUAAAUCCUCCGCCGACUCGAUAACCCUCCAUGCCUGCCGAACUAACAGAGCCUGGUUUAAGCACUUUGUGUCUGUAAAUCCCAUACUUCCACGUAUUUUCGGUUUGAUCGAACUGUCCCACGAUGCCCAAUGCACUAUCUUUUUCCUGCAUCUUCUCCCCACAAAAACUGCCUGAUGGCCUUCAUGUAAUUGUUAUGGGAACUUGAGGGAACUUUAAACACACUCAUGGUGUAUGUUGGAAGAGCCUGCGCCACUGAUUGGACCAACACCUCCUUUGUUGCCAUAUACAUGAAUUUUCAUUCCAAUUCGAGAGCCGCUCAGUAAAUCUUUUCAUUGAUAGGUUGGAGUAUUGCCUAGGUAUUUCUCUUCAAACGCGCACCUUUCCUAGUGUGGAUUUCACCUCCUCUUGUCUUUCCACCUGCCAUGCGCUACUGAACAAGAGCGAGCUUUUUUGUGAAGUUGGCAACUGUCCAGUGCACCCCUCAAAUUUAUGUAUUACAUUCUUCACAACCUCAGCCUGUUGUUGUUUUGCUUGGAAGAACAGGGUACUGUCAUCAGCAAACAAUAGAUGUGAAAUUCCCGGAGCUGUUCUGGUGAUCUUCAUGUCCGUCAGUUCCCCAUCAUUCAUUGCUUUCUUCAAAAGCCCCGACAGAUCAUCUGCUAAAAGAAGCUGAUACGGCGAUAUCGGAUCUUCCUAUCAAAAGAAACACAAGGUUUUCUCCUGUCUUCUCCUGCAAGACAGACUUAAUACCAGAGAUAUGCUUCGCUGAAGGAAUUUCUUCAUUGAGGACUACUACUGUGUUAUGCGUGGAGAAGAUGUGAUGGAGAUCAGAGACCACUUAUUUUUCAGAUGUCUUUUCGCUAGAGCCUGCUGGCAAUAUUUUUGUCCAAAUUGGAGCUCCCGACAUACUGACCAGCUGCAUCAACUGCAUUUCCAGCCUAUAACAGAGAUUGCCGAACCUUUCUAUAUGGAAGUUAUAUCGUUCUAGGGCCCUCUUAGCCCUCAGCUCCUUUUCCUUUCCUGCUUGUGAUAUAAACCAAAAUCUAUAGAAAGUAUGCAGCAGAGUCCUACUGUUUCUGUAAAAAGUGAAAUGGUCUUUCGUUUCAUUUUUUUCUUUCUGUUUUGCUAUUCCUCAGUGCCGUCAGAGGAAAACAGGGGUCACGGCAGAUUGCAAGGGGUCCAAUAAGAGGGGCAAGUGCCCUCUCAGAUACUGCAAGAGUUGCAUAUGUAACAGGUAAAAUAAUUUCCUCUCUGCUUUUUUGCUUAGAGCCUGUGGUAGGCAAUUCUGUUUGGGUUUGUUUGUUGAUGCUCUCUUUGUUUAACAGGUACCCUUUGAUUGCGGAUGAGGUGUUGAAGAAGGAGGCCUGGGAAUGCCCCAAAUGCAGGAAUGACUGCAACUGCAGUAGGUGCAAGUAAGCAAUCUGAGGCUGAUGCUUGCCAUGAGGGAUUUUAGAUUUUUGUUCUAGUUGAUAGAUCUCUUUAUCUGGUUUUAUUUGGCAGAACUAGGAAAGGGGAGGCGCCGACGGGGCGAAUGGUCCGUGCUGCCAAGAGGCCGAAGGUCAACCUGGUACGAACUGAGAGCAAUGAUGCUCUCAAGGAUGAAAUAGUUGUACCCAGGGGUACUCUCGUGACUUGCAUUGCAGGUAUGAAGCUGCAGUAUGAAGAUGUUGGUGCUGCUAUUCAAUUUCUGGAGUUCUGCCGCUCAUUUGGCAAGGUAAUUACAGAAAGCAAAUAGUGGUAUAUUUUAUUUAUCAUUUCGUGUGAAUUGGAUCAUUGAUGCAUCUAGUACUCAUUUCUAAAUUUGGCUUGCGUUAGCUAGUUAUGGUCAGUUAGGUUGUCUGAGAAUGUUGCCGAACUAAAAAAAAAUCUAUUGUUUUCUUAUUGCUUCUGUCUUGUUAACACAAAAUAGACCAUCAACUUGAGGGGCAUAUUGUUUAUGAUUUCUCAAUUUAUAAUCUAAAGAAAGUUUAUUUGCAGUUUAUUUUAUAAUCUGGCACCAAACUUGUUAUAUGUGUCCAUAAUGAAAAUGUUUAACUGUUCUUAGCUGCCUGCUUGCUUUAAGAGACCUUUUCUUCUGUAUUAUAAAUAGAAUAAUGUAUCCAAUGAUUUAAGAAGAUCUGCAAAAUAGGGAAGGGGCAACCAGAAGAAACUCUCAGACACUUAACUCAACACAAAGAGGUGUCUUCAGUUGUUGCUGACGUUCACAUAAAUCUUCUGUCUGUCAUAGAAAAUGGCAAACUCAAGUAAGUAUACUCACAAACUGCUAUUCCCUUGUCAUUUUGCCCAUGCAGUUAAUAAAUGAGUAAAUGAGGUUAUUUUUUUCUUAGCCGUUCUGAUAAGUAUCCAAGACAUGGAGAUGAAUGGAUAAGGAAAGUAGGCGAGUACAUCUCUUUGACAUUCCAUGCAGAAGAUUUCACCCUUCGGUGCUUAAAUCAGGGGGUAUCAGGAUAUAGAAGUCUGAACCCUUCUUGUAAGCUGGAGGUUCUGAAUUGUCUGUGUGAUGAGGCAUUGUCUUCUGAGUAAGUACAAGCUACCAUAUUUGCUGGAAUAGUUCACUUCACUACUGUCAUAUUAAUUAUCUUGUAACUUCGUUCAGAAAGUUGAGGACCUGCAUUGACAAUAAAGAUAGAAAAUGUGUGGCCACACAAGAAAUCAAAGCUGCAACCAGAAAGGUACUUAUCUUGGGAAGUUCCUUUUUUUGUGUGGUCAAGUCGCUUGGUUGACAUUAAUGAUCAUCAUUUUUUGUCUUGUUUCAUAGCAAAAGGAGCUAAAAAGAAGAUACGAUGACAUGACUAAAACAAUCCAAGGAGGAGAUACUGCUAACAAUGAGGAAGCUAAUGAUAUCCUUUCUCAAAUAAAGGAAGCAGAAGAAGUCAAGCAGGCUGCCCAGAAUGGUCUGUGACAGUAUGGCUUGAUAUAUCUUCAUUUCCUGCGCUCAAUUUGUUUAGCUUUCUUCAUCUGUGCAGUUAUCAAUCUGUUUGAUAUCUUUCACUUUUGUUUAUUAUAUUAUUUCACGUCGUCUAUAUUAUACCAUUCUGCACCUAUAUAUUUUUUUCUAGAAAAUAUCUUUGUAAUAUAAGUACUUUAUUAGGUUUUAUUACUCCCCAUAGUCCACAAAAACAUAACUUUUUGGGCAUAGCUGUUUUAGAACUUUUAAAACUUUAGCCACCAAUAUCUUCUAAAAUGUUUCGAUUGAGUGUGAGAAAACCAUAUAUAUAGAUUUGUGUAAAAGAUACUAGCACAAUAUAACAAUUUUAUUAGGUUUUGGAGUUGUAAAAAAAUAGAAACUAAUAUUAUAUGUACUAUUGUGGUAAUUGUGCUAGCGUUCAAAACACUAUCUUCUUAAAGACCGGAGGGAGCAGUAGAAGAAAUGGUCAACAUUAAGACUGGAGGGAGUGUCUAACUUUCACUAACAUCAAAUUGUUUGCCUACCAUCCAUGAAUGCGUACUGACUAUAGGUUAACAAAUUGAAAAAAUAAAUGCAAGUAUUAUAUAAACAUAUUGUUUGAGUAGUCCAACCCAAUUGUGUUAUGCAUGUGGACAUUCUUUUGAAACCCUGGACCGUAGAACAAUCGAUCUACGAUAAUUUUCAUUAAUAUAAACAGUACUCCCUCCGUCCCAUAAUGUAAGACGCUUUUUGGCACUAAUGUAGGACGGAGGGAGUAUGUUACAAAUAGGGGGAGCAAAAUGAAAGGAAACUACAAAAGGCCUACUGAUAAAAGAGAGUUGUCCAGUCCCAGCUCUAGGUAUCAUGAUCAUAGUACUAGAAGUUUACCGAGGACCACUCCUUGAAACAAAAGUAGAAUCAAAUCAUCUUUAAGGGCAUAUCUCCAAAUUCUGAAUGGCUGGACUGGAGUUUCUGAAUAUCUUCCAUUUCUCUGAAGCCAGAUGUUCCAGCAUCCCAGGACAAUCUCCAUAUUAAUAGCAUUUGGUAGAUCCUCAAGAGCCAACAAUGUAUCUUCAUAACCAGAAGUACCUACUUUUCUUCCAGGAAUGAGAGUGUUCCAGCAACUUUGAGCAAAAUUGCAAUCCCAAAACAGAUGCAUACGUGUUUCUUCACAUUGAUGAUUACAUAUAGGACAAGAGUGAUCAGUCAUCAUGAAACCUUUUCGUUUCAGCAAGGAUCUUGUGUUAAUUCUAUUAUGCAUAGCUAACCAGAAAAAAUCUUAUGCUUGAGUCUACAAACAAUCUUCUAGAUUAAUUUGAAAACUUUUAGAGCCUCAAAAUCUCCCAUCAGGUGUAUACAUUUUCAUAAAGGAGAAUUUGUCAGUAAUUCCAUUGCAUUGCCAUCUGUCCUUACUAUUCUGAUCAACCAGUGGGAUUAUACUUGGGACUUAUGAUUAUAUGCUUGAUUAGACAAAGACAUAUGAAAGUUAUCAGCCCAAUCCCUUCUUGCACUAAAAUUUUGCAAGAUUCUUUUUCAUUUCUAGCAAAAUAAUGUAACUCAAGGAAUUUCUGAAGCAACAGCAAGUCAGACCGUUUAUCCUGACAGAAAAGAAUUGUGUCCCCUUGUCCCACAGAAUAUGAGGCAAAAUCUUUAAAAGAUGGCAGUGGCUUCAAAUACACGUGGACAUAACCAUCCAAGAGAAGAUAACCUCUUUUUUUCCGGGUGAAUAGGUGUUAAGUCUUUUCAGCCUUAGCCUUAUAUUAUAUGUCACAUAACUAACCGUGUAAUUACGAUUUAAUAUUUAACCUUUUUCUUGGAUUAGCGUAGAGACAUGAAAUGAUAUACUAAUUAAGUAAUUAGUAUAUAGGCUUAAGAUAUUCUAGGUUAUUUUGCACUAACUAAUACAUGUGAAAUUAAUUUAAGAGCGGAACUGAUACUGGUACCACAAUAGGGUUUAUGGAUAUGGAUAGUAAAGGAUACCACAAAAGGAAACAUAUGGUAAUAUGUCGAUACCUUAAUUUAUACAUAUGUACUCCAUGAUAUUGUAACAAUGGGAUGUAAGUUUUUUUAAGACUCAUGUUAAAAUGGAACUUGACCAACCUUUGAGUCAAGUAAAUCAUGACUGAUAUCUGUUGGCUAACUUGUUUCCACUAUUAGUGCUUUCUGUUCCCGUUUAUGGAGAGCAUGCACAACUACGUACAGCCAUUACAAGCACCUAUGAAAAGGAAAAACAAAGAACACAACUUGCAAAAGACGAAGCAUUCCACGCUUGGCAUUGAAGAAAUCAUGGCCGGAGCAGCUAAGCAAGACAUAACCGACCAUCAUAGGGGAAUUAUGCUCCAUGUAGGACCUUGGGACUGGAGGAAGCAAAACACCUUCCAUCUCUAUCAUUGCAGAGGGACCCUACUUCCUUGCCUUGGAACGGAAGGCACUGCUCUGUCGGGAUUCAGAGUUGCUCACCCAAGAGCUAGAAGGAUGCCAGCCUCGCAGCGCGAAGUAGCCCUAGAACUACCACCUACACUCGGAAUAUACCUUGUCGGCAACCCGCCGUUGUCCACGCACAACCAAAAGGAGCUAGAAAGGUACCAGGGACAAUCGCCGAAGGAGGCAGCAAAGCAUCGAGAUGACACGAAGAGUAGCGGCAAGGGAGCAGAGCAACUGACUGCAAAGAAAUUCUGUGAGUCCUCGGCUUUCGCUGCGCCAAGGGGAACCCUAUCCCCUUCCGCAAGGAUCGAAGAUGCUGCACCACUGAAACCGAGUAAUGCAGACCGUUAUUGGGGAGCACCAACUUGAAGGACGUUUUCGGCACCUCUUUCUCUCUCAUCCUCCACUUUGUUGUGAAUAUCUUCAUCAUGGCACCCGAUUGUAAGGUUCUACUCCCCCUUACUCGAAAUACUUGCAUUCCUUGUGGGAGGGGUGUAGCAGGUUCAUAUUAAAGCCAUUGGCUAUGACUUUAAGGUAUGUACUUGCAUGGGCAUUAAUCAACUAAUUCAAAGUCAAUGUAAGCUAGUUAUCCAACUUGAGGGGCGGAGUAAGGUUUUUGAGAUGCAACAACAACCUGGCAUUAUCCUUGCGGCGAGAAGA